rnacentral:lncRNA from 1 species
CAAUCUUAGCCUCUGUGACCGCCAGCUUAGCCUCCUUCCUAGCUGCCUUAUACCUAUCCAUGCACACUCGCCUCUCCUCCUCAUUCCACCACCAGUCUCCUUUGUGCCCACCAGAGACGCCCGUCGAGACCCCUAACACCUCUCUCGCAGCCUCCCUAAUAUAGUCUGCUGUCGUUGACCAUAUAGUGCUCGCGUCACCACUGCUCCUCCAAGCUCCCAUAGCUGACUACCGCCCCUCCAAUGCUUGGGCUUUAUCCUUAGUUAAGGCUCCCCACCUGAUUCUCGGUCUUCCUCGAGUAGACCUUUUCCUCCUCUUUAACAUAAUACCAACGUCCAUCACUAAGAGCAUAUGCUGCAUCGCGAAUAUCUCACUCGGAAUCACCUUGCAAUCCUUGCACAACCCUCUGUCACACCUCUUGAGGAGGAGAUAAUCAAUAUGGGUUUUCGCCACCGUAUUUUGAAAAGUAACCAAAUGCCCCUCCCUCUUCUGAAAGCUAGAGUUCGCAAUCAACAACCCAAAAGCCUUAGCGAAGUCCAACAAUGAUGUACCUUCUCUGUUCCUCUACCCAAAACCAAAGCCUCCAUGCAUCUCGCCAUAACCACCUGCUGUCGACCCAAUAUGCCCAUUGAAAUCCCCUCCUAUGAAUAGCUUCUCAGCAAGCGGAACAUGACGCACAAUCUCAUCUAACCCUUCCCAGAAGCGCCGUUUAACCUCCUCAUCUAGGCCCACAUGCGGCGCAUAGGCGCUAACGAUGUUUAGGGUGCACUCUCCAACCACCAACUUAAUAGUCAUCAAUCUAUCAUUCACUCGUCUAACCUCAACCACCGACUCUCUAAGUUCCCUAUCCACUAAGAUGCCCACUCCAUUCUUACCUUUCUGGACUCCUGAGUACCAAAGUUUAUACCCGUCCAUGUCCCUCGCCCUCGACCCUACCCACCUUGUCUCCUGGACACACGCUAUAUUGACCCUCCUCUUCUGGAGGAUCUUCACCAACUCUAUAGAUUUACCCGUUAAUGUACCUACGUUCCAUGACCCAAUUCUCAACCUACAGNNNNNNNNNNNNNNNNNNNNNNNNNNNNNNNNNNNNNNNNNNNNNNNNNNNNNNNNNNNNNNNNNNNNNNNNNNNNNNNNNNNNNNNNNNNNNNNNNNNNNNNNNNNNNNNNNNNNNNNNNNNNNNNNNNNNNNNNNNNNNNNNNNNNNNNNNNNNNNNNNNNNNNNNNNNNNNNNNNNNNNNNNNNNNNNNNNNNNNNNNNNNNNNNNNNNNNNNNNNNNNNNNNNNNNNNNNNNNNNNNNNNNNNNNNNNNNNNNNNNNNNNNNNNNNNNNNNNNNNNNNNNNNNNNNNNNNNNNNNNNNNNNNNNNNNNNNNNNNNNNNNNNNNNNNNNNAAGUUUUCCUGAAGCGUGUCGGAUCUGCUCAAGAGCACUGGUAAGUCCUGUUGUGUCUCGCCUGAAAGUUGUUCGGAAGUCGCCGGAAUUUAUGAAACUUGCCGGCAAUCUGAACUCACCGGGAAAUAGUCUGUCCUCGUCGGGAAGAAGCUGCACAAAAUUGAUUUUGCCGUGCCGGCAAAAGAGAUCGUGAGUUCGUCGUUUGCUUUGGAGUGACAGAGUGAGGGUGAAGAGAAAAGCUAUGAUUUGCUUAGCCAAUCUACAAUGCUAAAAUGGGUAUUUAGAUUUCACGGCCAGAUUCAGUGACGGAGACGGUGGUCCUUAUUGCAGCGGCAGAAAAUCUCAGCUCAAAUACAAUUGCAGUUUUGCGAAAAUGUCCAAUGAGAUAAGAAGAAAAUGAGAAAAGAGAAAAGGAGAAACAUCAAAAGCAGUAGAGGAAGAAAAUCUCUUGAAAUCCAAGUCUGAACCCUUUUGGAAACAAUAAAGAACAAGAAUAAGAAACAAUUAACUCACUUUAUAAUUAACAAAAAUUAGUCAAUACAUAAGCAUGAUAAGAUAUUUAAUCCAAACUUUAAAUAUGAAUAUUCCCAUAAAUAAUAUUCAAAUAUUGGAAUAAAUACAUCACACUUAGAUAUUCAAUACAAAGCAAGAAAAUUAAGAAAUGAGUAAAAAUGGGUAAGAAAAUCUCAACCAAAAGCUUCAAAUCUUCAAGUCCCAAGUGUGUGUGCAAGAACCCUUGCUCCAAAGCUUGUUUCUCUAGGUCAAGAGACUGAAAAUUAGCCAAAGAUGUGUUUCCAAUAAGCUAGGUCGUGUAUUUUUGGGUUUGGAAUAGAGAAAAUGUGAAUUGGCAAUUCUGCCCAAGUCUGAAGCCCAUUGACCACACUUGCGGAAGGAUCAUCGCAGGUGCAGCUUCGCAAAUGCGAAAUUUCUCUCGCAGGUGCGAGCCUUGUGGAAAAUUGACUACUCCACAGAAACGGACAUAUUGCCGCAAAAGCGUAUCCGCAGAUGCAGACUUUCAGCAGAAGUGGCUCUGUAGAAGCGAUAUCUAAUCGCAGGUGCGAUUCCAGUGGACUUUAUCCUUUACCGCAGAUACGACCUAAUUCUCGCAGGUGCAGGCCCGCAUAAGCGGGCACUAUUCUGCAGAUGCGAUUUUACUGAAGCAAUUUUGCACUUCUUUAACUCAUUUUUACUCAGUUCCACUUCAAUUGAAUUCAAUCCUCUUCAUAACUACUUUCACCUGAAAAUCUAGCAAUACACACAAUAAAUAACCUCAUAUUAUAAUUAAAGGAUUUAAAAACUAAAGAAAAAGGACUCAAAUUGUCACGGCCCAAUUCCAUUUUAGGCCGUGAUGGUGCCUAGCACCAUUGCUAGGCAAGCCAACAGUGAACAAUCUAGUGAUUUUCCUAUUUUAAUAAGUUUUUACCAAAAAAAUAACUUACCUUAAUUUACUAGGUUUAGUAAGAAACAAAUUUGAAUUAAUAAAACGAAAGCAGCUGAAUGUAUUUAUGGCCAUAUGAAUAAAACCAAAAUUACAAGUCUACUAGUGUGUGCCAAGAUCUAAUGUCAUAAGCGUGUGGGCUACUAGUAGAAUAUACAAAAGUUCUCUACUCUACUGUCUGAAAUAGAAUAAACAGAAAAUAAAUCAAAAGAGAAAUUCUGGCUGCUGCUGAACGGCUCGUAAGGGAAGCUCACCGUGUGGUCUCGGACCGGAAGUCAAGCGUGCGCGCUGGAUUGAUAACCAGAUGCACCUGCCUCAGAUCCUGCACAUCAAGUGCAGAAGUAUAGCAUGAGUACAUAAACAACAUGUACCCAGUAAGUAUCUAGUCUAACCUUGAAGAAGUAGUGACGAGGGGUCGACUUCGACACUUACUGUGGGCCAAAAAUAUAAUAGUAUGAAGUUCUAAUUAAACAUGAUAUAUAAAAUGAUAAUAGAACUCAGAGCAGGAAAUAUAAGUAAAUAAUCCUUCCAUUUCAAGUAAGAACCAAGUCAUUUCUCUCGUCUAAUCCUUUCACCUUCCAAGUCCAUGGAACAAUAUUAAAUAUAAAGGGGUUCCAAUAUCUUUACGCACGAAUUAUACCAAGGACGUACGGCCCGAUCCAAAUAUACAUAUAAAUAUACUGUGCACCGCCGAGGGUCGAACGACCUGAACCAUAAAUACAUCAAUUAACCCACCGAGGCGAAUAGCCCACUCCCAUGAGAUUAAUGGAAAUUUACCCCGCUCGCGGAAUAUACUUGCGAAGCUGUUGAAUAUAGAUUUUUCUUAAGUUAUCAUAAUAUUUCUCAAUUCUUUUUUCAAAAUAAGAAAUUGAGCUAUGAACCUUUAAAAUAUUGAAAUCCCCAACCUCCGCUUUAAUCCAAACAAUUAGUAAGCAUAAACAGGCAACGGUAUCAACUAAAACUUGGUUUAAGCCUAAAUCUACCCGGACAAAAGCAUGAAUAGUAGCUACGCACAGAGUCUCAUCACUUCGUACGUAUGUAGCCCCCACAAAUAGAAGUACAUAAUGAUUAAGUUCACCUAUGGGGUUAAUUCCUUCUUACAAGGUUAGAAAAGAGACUUACCUCGUUUCAAGGCCUACUUCCUGUUCCAAGAAUGUGCUCACCCUAAAUUCAGUGUCGAAUCAACCCAAAACUAAUCAAAUAGUAUAUAAACUAAUCAAUACAUGCUCAAAAGUUCGUAUUCUAACUAUUAAAGCUAUUACCCAACCCCAAUUGAAAAUUCCCAAAAUUCACCCAUGGGCCCACGUGCCCGGAUUCCAGAAAAAUUCAAAGAAAAUUGUUACCCAUAACCUCAUGAACUCAAAUAUAUGAUUUUUACUAAAUUCCAUAACAAAUUCUGUGGUUAAAUCUCAUUUUUGUCAAAAACCUAGGUUUUCAUCUAAACCCAUGAUUUUCACUAAUUUACAUGUUAUAAUCUACCCAUGAACUAUGUAUUACACUCACAUUAUGUGAAAAUUACUUACCUCAAAGUGCUAGGUAAAAUCCCCUCUCUAAGAGCUUCAAGAAUCGCCCAACAAUGAAAGAAAAUGAGCCAAAAUAGCCUAAGUCCCGUUUUUAAAAGAUGAUUCUGCCUAGGGGUCCUUAUACGCGAUCACGGCCAAGCUCUCGCGAUCGUGAUGGCUAAACUGAAGAGCCCAGGAAAAGGCUCUACGCGAACGCGAGAGGAUCUAUGUGAACGUAAUACACUAGGCUGCCUACUCCCCGCGAACGUGGGGCCCAACACGCGAACACGUAAGGCAACUAGGUUGCCCAGGCCCAGGCUUCUACGCGAACGCGGCCUGCUCAAUGCGAACGCGAAGGCCAAAGGGCCCAGGCCUCCUUGAACGCGUCCCUGCGUAUGCGAACGUGAAGGGAAAAAACCUACAGUCCCCAAAUCCUUCACCGCGAAUGCGAGGAUCUGUCCGCGUUCGCGAAGAAGGAAACCAGAACAAAAUAUCUGGUGUUUUCAACUUAACUCCGGGUGGUCCGAAACACACCCGAGCCCCUCGGGACCCCGUCCAACUACACCAACAAGUCUAUAAACAUAAUACAGACUUACUCGAACUCUCGAAACGCAUAAAACAACAACAAAAUCAAGAAUCACACCCCAAAAUCGAAUUAAAUCAAAAUAUGUAUUCCAAGUUUCCAAAUUUCUCCGAGCGCGCCGAAUCAUACUUAGACUACUCGGAAUGACACCAAAUUUUGCGUGCAAAUCUUAAAUGACAUUACGGAAUAUUCCCGGUCUCAGAAUCCCAUUUGGACCUCGAUAUCACAAAAACUUACUCCAAACUAAAUUUAAAGAACUUCAAAACGUUCCAAGAACAAACUUUCACUAUUAAGCGCCGAAACGCUCCCGGUUCAUCCAAAAUCCGAUCCGAACAUACGCCCAAAUCCGAAAUUAUCAUACAAACCUAUUGGAACCGUAAAAUCUCAAUUCUGAGGUGGUUUACUCAAAACAUUGACCGAAGUCACACUUAGCUUUUUUACCCAACCUUAAAGAACCAAGUGUUCCGAUUUCAACCCGAACUCUUCCAAAUCCCGAACGAACCAUCCCCGCACGUCAUAAAAUAGUAAAAGCAUGUACGAGAAGUUUUAUUUAGGGGAACGAGAUUCUAGAAAGAAAAAUGACCGGUCGAGUCGUUACAUUCUCCACCUCUUAAACAAACGUUUAUCCCCGAACGGGUUCAGAAUCAUACCUGGAAUGCUGAAUAGGUGUGGAUAUCUGCUCCGCAUGUCUUCCUCGGACUCCCAAGUUGCCUCCUUGACUGGUUGGUCCCUCCACUAGACUUUUACUGAAGAAAUCUUCUUAGACCUCAAUUGGCAAACCUGCCUAUCCACAAUGGCAACUGGCUCCUCCUCAUAACCCAGGCUCUCAUCUAACUGAAUCGUGCUGAAGUGUAACACAUGUGACAAGUCGGCAUGAUACCUCCGUAGCAUAGACACAUGGAAAAAUAGAUGAACUUACGAUAGACUAGGAGGCAAAGCAAGCUCAUAAGGAACCUCUCAAACUCUUCUCAACACCUCAAAUGGGCCUAUAAACCUUGGGCUCAACUUGCCCUUCUUCCCGAAUCUCAUAAUCCUCUUCAUCGGCUAGACUUUCAAAAGAACCUUCUCGUCCACCAUAAAUGAUAAAUCACGCGCCUUCUGAUCUGUGUAACUCUUCUGUCUGGACUGUGCUGUGUGAAGUCGCUCCUGAAUCAAUUUUACCUUUUCCAAGGCGUCCUUUGCCAAAUCAGUACCAUAUAACUUAGCCUCGCUGGGCUCAAACCACCCGAUGAGAGAACGACAUUGCCGACCAUAUAAAGCCUCAAAUGGAGCCAUUUUGAUGCUGGACUGAUAACUGUUAUUGUAAGCAAACUCGGCCAAAGGCAAGAACCGAUCCCACUAUCCCCCAAAGUCAAUCACACAUGCCCUGAGCAUGUCCUCCAAGAUCUGAACUGUCUGCUCCAACUGCCCAUCGGUCUGUGGAUGAAAUACUAUGCUGAACUCUACACGAGUCCCCAACUCACUUUGUACUUCUCUCUAGAAAUGCGAAGUAAACUGAGGACCUCUGUCUGAUAUGAUAGAAACAGGCACACCAUGCAGCCUAACUAUCUCCUGGAUAUAAUUCUAGGCCAUUCUCUCUGAAGUAUACGUAGUCAUCACAAGAAUGAAAUAUGCCGACUUGGUCAAUCGGUCUACAAUAACCCAAACUGCAUCAAACUUCUGCAAGGUCCGCGGCAAACCAACUACGAAGUCCAUAGUAAUGCGCUCCCACUUCCACUCAGGUAUAGUCAUCUGCUGGAGUAGGCCUACUAGCCUCUGGUGCUCACACUUAACCUGCUGGAAAUUUAGGCAUCUGGCUACAUAUUCAACUAUGUCUUUCUUCAUCCGCCGCCACCAAUAAUGUUGCCUCAAGUCGCGAUACAUCUUCGUAGCACCUGGAUGAAUGGAAUAUCGAGAACUGUGCGACUCCUCUAGAAUCCUCUCCCUCAAGCCAUCAACAUUUGGAACACAUAGAUGACCCUGGAGUCGCAGGACACCAUCCUUGCCGAUAGAAACCUCCUUGGCACUACCCUGCAGUACAGUCUCUUUGAGAACCGUCAAGUGCGGAUCAUCAAACUGUCGAGCCUUGAUCUGCUCCAAUAGUGAAGACUGGGAAAUGACGCAUGUAAGAACUCGGCUGGGCUCUGAAAUAUCCACCUCAUAAGUCUGUUAGCCAAAGACUGGAUGUCCAAGGCUAGUGGUCUAUCCUCCGCUGAAAUGAAUGCCAAGCUACCCAUACUCUCUGCCUUCCUACUCAAGGCAUUUGCGACCAUAUUUACCUUGCUCGGAUGAUAAAGAAUGGUGAUGUCAUAGUCCUUCAGUAACUUAAGCCGCCUACGCUGCCUCAAAUUGAGAUCCCUUUGCUUGAACAAAUGUUGCAAGCUACAUUGAUCAUUGUAAACCUCAUAGGACACCCCAUAAAGAUAAUGACUCCAGAUCUGAAGAGCAUGAACAAUUGCGGGUAACUCCAAAUAGUGCACAUGAUAAUUCUUCUCAUGGGGCUUCAGCUAACGUGAAGCAUAUGCAAUAACUCACUCCUCCUGCAUCAAUACACAACCUAAGCCAACUCUUGAAGCGUCGCAAUACACAGUAUAGAUCCCUGAACCGGAAGGCAACACUAGGACUGGUGCUGUAGUCAAAGCUGUCUUGAGCUUCUGGAAGCUCGUCUCACAAUCAUCGGACCAACAAAACUGAGUACCCUUCUGGGUCAAUCUAGUCANNNNNNNNNNNNNNNNNNNNNNNNNCGCCUGAUACAACACUGACCCUAGACCUUCACAGAAUCUAACCAAACACACACUUGGAGAACAUAGCAUAUAGUUUUUGUUCCUGCAAGGUCUGAAGCACCACUCUCAAGUGCUGCUCGUGCUCCUCCAUGCUACUUGAGUAAAUCAAAAUGUCAUCAAUGAAGAAAAUGACAAAUGUAUCAAUAUAAGGCCUGAACACCCUGUUCAUCAAGUCUAUAAACGCCACUGGGGCAUUAGUCAAGCCGAAGGACAUCACCAAAAACUCAUAAUGGCCAUAUCUAGUACGGAAAGCAGUCUUCGGAAUAUCCAAGUCCCGAAUCUUCAACUGAUGGUACCCCGACCUCAAGUCGAUCUUAGAGAACACCCUAGCACUCAGUAACUGGUCAAACAAAUCAUCAAUACGCGGCAGCGGGUACUUGUUCUUGGUGGUAACUUUGUUCAACUGGCGGUAAUCAAUGCACAUCCGCAUAGUCCCAUCUUUCUUCUUCAUAAAUAGCACUGGGGCACCCCAAGGUGAUACACUUGGCCUGACGAACCCCUUUGCUAGCAACUCCUCAAACUACUCCUUCAAAUCUUUUGGAGCCAUACAGUUCGGUGAGAUAGAUAUAGGCUGGGUACCUGGAGCCAAGUCAAUACAGAAGUUGAUAUCACGAUCUGGGCAUGCCUGGAAGAUCAGAAGGAAACACAUCGGAGAACUCCCGGACUACUGGUACUGAAUCAAUCGCCGGAGGCUCUGCAGUAGUAUCCCGAACAUAGGCUAGUUAAGCCAAACAACCCUUCUCGACCAUGUGUUAAGCCUUCAUAAAAGAGAUAACCUGACUGGAUGUACUGACAGACAAACCCUUCCACUCCAAUCUAGGCAACUCUGACAUCGCUAAGGUAACAGUCUUGGCAUGGCAAUCAAGGAUGGCAUGAUAUGGGGAUAGCCAGUCCACGCCCAGGAUGACCUCAAAGUCGGUCAUAUCAAGCAAUAGAAGAUCCGCUCUGGUCUCGUAUCCAUAGAAUGUGACUACACGGGACCGAUAAAUGCGAUCCGCAAUAACAGAAUCGCCCACAGGAGUGGACACAUAAAUAGGAGUACCCAAGAACUCCCGAGGAAUAUCCAGAAAAUGAGCAAAUAGAGAUGACACAUACGAAUAGGUAGACCCUGGAUCAAAUAGUACUGAAGCUCCCCUACCACAGAUAGAAUUAAUACCUGUGAUCACGGCAUCUGAGGCCACUGCAUCUGGUCUAGUCGAAAAGCAUAGAAUCUGGCUGGAGCGCCACCUGGCUAGCCCCCGCCUGCCUGACCUCCACCUCUGGAAAGGCCCCUACCCACCUGCCCUCCACCUCUGGGUGGCCGGAUGGCUGGUACGACUACUGGUGCUGAAAUUAUGGGUUGCCGACUCUGCUACACCGCCUUGCCCCGUAGUCUGGGGCAAUGUCUCUUCAUGUGACUAGGAUCCCCGCACUCAUAACAACCUCUCGAAGCGGUGGACUGAUGCCCUGAAAUCUGACCCUGAUGGCCUGAAUACCCAUCGGGAAAAUCCUGAAGAGCGGGUGAGCGGUAUGAACUCUCUCGCAUGGCACUGAAAUAGGCACUGGAAGAACCCUGAUGACCGGAGUACCCACUGGAAGAACCUUGAAUAGCUGGCAGGUGGUAAGAAAUCUCUAGCAUAACACUGAAGUAGGGUCGCGCUAAAAUACCCCGAGGAGGUGGUGGUGCUGAAUAUGGGGGCCUACUGGGCUGACCCCUCCCAAAAUGACCUCUGCCCCCAGCUGGGGCACCUCUAAACUCUCGAGAAAAAAUGGGACCUCUUGUCCCGCUGCAUCUUCUCUCUAUCCCUCUGACGGUAACCCCCAAUCCUCCGAGCAAUCUCCACUACCAACUGAUAAGAAGUCCCCAUAUCAACCUACCGAGCCAUACUAGCCUGAAUACUAGAGUGCAACCCCGCAACAAUACUCUGCUCUCGCUCCGCCUCAGUGGGAAGUAUCAUAAGUGCAUAGCGAUACAACUCAGAGAAUCUCGCCUCUUAAUCAGUCACUGACAUCUGACCCUACUGGAGCUGCUCAAACUGAAGCCGAAACUCUUCCCUUUGAGAGGGUGGAAUAUACCUGUCCAAGAAUAGGCGUGUAAACUGGUCCCAAGUCAUGGGAGGAGAACCUGCUGGUCUGCCAAGGAGAUAAGACUUCCACCACCUACGUGCUCUACCCUCUAACUGAAAGGUAGUGAAAUCCACCCUGUGAGACUCCAAUAUGCUCAUGUUGUGCAGUCUGUCCCUGCACCCAUCAAUGAAGUCCUCAUGAUCCUCAUGUUGCUCACCCCCAAGAUCGUAGGGUGAAGCCUGGUCCAUCUAUCCAGUAGCUUCUGCGGGUCGUCGGUCGCAGCUGCUCUGGACUCAGGUACAACUGCUGUAAUUGGCUGGGCUUCACCUACGGGUAGCGUGCCUAGGGUCUAAUAUACUGCAGCUGCAUGCCCAGGAGCCUGAGUAGUAGGGGCUUGUGCUCCCCCUCCUGCCUGAGAUGUGGCCCUCCUGCCUGAGAUGUGGCUGGGUAUGCUGGAAAUAAACCAGCUUGGAUCAUAGAAUCCAUGAACCGCAGCAUACGGCCCAUGACCUCCUGAAAUCCCGGUGCUGACAUGAAAUUAACCGAGGCUGGCUCUGCUGCGGGCACCUUGCCAUGCUCCUCAUCAAUGAGAUCCUUCACUGGAUCGGUUAGUGGUGCAACUGGGGCAACUCUGGGAUGUCCUCGUCCCCUACCUCGGGACGGUGCCCUCCUCUGGCCUCUGCCUUGGCCUCUAGCAACAGGUGGAGCAGCUUCUCCCGGGUCCGGAACAUUUGUCACGCGCGUUCUCACCAUAUGUGAGAGAGUAAGAGAAGAAACUUAGUACAUCAUCAACUGCACGAUAGGAGAUGAAUAAAGAGUAGUUUCCUAACACCAUAUAGCCUCUCGAAGAUAAGUAUAGACGUCUCUGCACCGAUCCGCAAGACUCUAUUAGGCCUGCCCAUAACUUGUGAGACUUACGUAAACCUAGUGAUCUGACACCAUGUUGUCACGACCCAAUUCCAUUUUAGGUUGUGAUGGCGCCCAACACUAUUGCUAGGCAAGCCAACAGUGAACAAUCUAGUAAUUUUCCCAUUUUAAUAAGUUUUUCCCAAGUAAAUAACUUUCCUUAAUUUACUAGGUUUAGUAAUAAACAAAUUUAAAUUAAUAAAACGAAAGCACCUGAAUGUAUUUAUGGCCAUAGGAAUAAAACCAAAAUCACAAGUCUACUAGUGUGUGCCAAGAUCUUGUGUCACAAGUGUGUGGGAUACUAGUAGAAUAUACAAAAGAUCUCUACUCUACUGUCUGAAAUAGAAUAGACAGAAAAUAAAUCAAAAGAGAGACUCUGGCUGCUGUUGAACGGCUCGGAAGGGCAGCUCACCGUGUGGUCUCGGACUAGAAGUCAAGCGUGCGCGCCAGACUGAUAACCAGAUGCACCUGCCUCAGAUUCUGCACAUCAAGUGCAGAANNNNNNNNNNNNNNNNNNNNNNNNNUAUAAUAGUAUGAAGUUCUGAUUAAACAUGAUAUAUAAAAUGAAAAUAGAACUCAGAGCAGGAAAAAUAAGUAAACAAUCUUUCUAUUUCAAGUAAGAACCAAGUCAUUUCUCUCGUCUAAUAUGUUCACCUUUCAAGUCCAUGGAAUAAUAUUAAAUAUGAAGGGGUUCCAAUAUCUUUACGCACGAAUUAUGCCGAGGACGUACGACCCGAUCCAAAUAUACAUAUAAAUAUAAUGUGCACUACCGAGGGUUGAACGGCCCAAACCAUAAAUACAUCAAUUAACCUGCCGAGGCGAACGGCCCGCUCCUAUGAUAGUAGUGGAAAUUUACCCCACUCACUGAAUAUACUUGCGAAGCUAUUGAAUAUAGAUGUUUCUCAAGUUCUCAUAAUAUUUCUCAAUUUUGCGGCCAAGAUCUCGCGAUCGCGAUGGCUAAACUGAAGAGCCUAGUAAAAGCUCUACGCGAGCGCGAGAGGACCUAUGCAAACACAAUACACUGGGCCGCCUACUCCUCGCGAACGCGGGGCCCGACACGUGAACGCAUAAGGCAACUGGGUUGCCCUGGCCCAGGCCCAGGCUUCUACACGAACGCGGCCUACUCAAUGCGAACGUGAAGGCCAAAGGGCCCAGGCCUCCUCGAACGCAUCCCUGCAUAUGAGAAUGCGAAGGGCAAAACCUCCAGUCCCCAUAUCCUUCACCGCGAACGCGAGGAUCUGUCCGUGUUCGCGAAGAAAGAAACCAGAACAGAAAAUCUGGUGUUUUCAACUUAACUCCGGGCGGUUUGAAACACACCCGAGCCCCUCGGGACCCCGUCCAACUACACCAACAAGCAUAUUAACAUAAUACGGACUUGCUCGAACUCUAGAAAUGCAUAAAAUAACAACAAAACCAAGAAUCACACCCCAAAACCGAAUUGAAUCAAAAUAUGAAUUCCAAGUUUCCAAAUUGCUCCGAGCGCGCCGAAUCAUACUUAGACUGCUCGGAAUGACACCAAAUUUUGCGUGCAAGUCUUAAAUAACAUUAUGGAACUAUUUCUGAUCUCGGAAUCCCAUUUGGAACUCGAUAUCACAAAAAAUUACUCCAAACCAAAUUUAAAGAACUUCAAAACCUUCCAAGAAAAAACUUUCACUAUUAAGCGCCAAAACGCUCCCGUGUCAUCCAAAACCCGAUCCGAGCAUACACCCAAGUCCGAAAUUAUCAUACGAAUAUAUUGGAAUAGUCAAAUCUCGAUUCUGAGGUCGUUUACUCAAAACGUUGACCGAAUUCAAACUUAGCCUUUUUAGCCAACCUUAAGGAACCAAGUGUUCCGAUUUCAACCCGAACUCUUCCAAAUCCUGAACUAACCAUCCCCGCAAGUCAUAAAACAGUAAAAGCUUGUACGAAAAGUCUUAUUUAGGGGAACAUGAUUCUAGAAAGCAAAACGACCGGUCGGGUCGUUACACAAAUAAAUGGUAAAAUUACUACUCAUCAACACCCCAACUUAAAACUUUUGCUUGUCCUCAAGCAAAUCAAAAUCAAAUACUCAAUGAGGCUCUACUAUUUAAAGCUCAAGUAGCAUCGCUAUCAUUCCCAAAUCAUAUUCUCCAAUUAAGCACAACACAUAUGGCUUUGGUUGGUACUAAUAAUUAGGCUCAAGCAUGUGAACUUCAACCAAAUAACUCCCUCAUUUAAAACUCAAUCUCAAGAAUGCAAAGGAGUUUCAAAAUAAUCAAGUAACAACCAAGCCUUAAGAAGUGAUUCAAAAGCAUUUGUCUACUACAUAUGCUCAAUUUACUUAAUUCAGAAUCUAUCAAUGUCACCAAUCCAUCAUAAUCCAUGUGCCAUCUCAAGAAAUAAAGUCCCAAAAAUUACCAUAGUUACAAUAACAACACAAGGGACAACUGCACAAAGACACUCACUCUCCACAAAGAAUUUCAAGUGUUACCAAUAUCAUGCCAUAAGCUUGCCCUUAUUUUAAUCUGCCGCCAAUCUAAGAAAGUUCGGUUGGAGAUCGCAUAAGGACUUUUUAAGCUUGUAAUAUAGGCUCAGGGAAGGGUAGGAUACGCAUUUGGGAUUCAAGUGACUACACCCCCCUUGAACACUACUCAUAAAUUUAUCUUUAUUUUUGCACUUUGUUUCUUUUUAAACCACAUAGCCCUUAUUGACCUCUAGUUACCAACAUAGAACCACCUUAAAGUACCUCUCAAUUUUCAUAUAUAUAUAUAUAUAUAUAUAUAUUGUUUUGCUUUUCUUUUGGAGCUUGAGUAUCUUCAUAUAAACAACUUUGAAGUAUAUGCUUUUAUACAUAAUGUACAUCUUCAACAUUUUUCAAUUAAUACCAACACCGCCAACUUAGGUUUUUAGCCUCAUGCUUAACAUUCAAGGAGGAAAGGGUUCAAAAGAGGAAAUUAUUUCACAAAUGGGAUAAAUGUUUGUAAUGUGAUAGCCAAAGAAAAUGUUAAAGGCUUAAAUGAGGUUAACUAGUGAUAAUAUUUAUGCAAUGAUAUGCUCGAAAAGCUAAAUUGGCUUUUUUUAAAGAUCACAAAAAAUACCUAAGGUCAUCCCUCCAACCAAACAUAAUUAGCAUUAGCAUUGAAAGACCAACCGGGUAAGUUCUAGAUGAUAACAGUAAAUAAAAGAAUUAUUUUUAAUAAAAAAUUAACACACAUGGCACAUGAACUUAUCAAGGUGAUUAAUUUAACUUCUUAAUAAGAACAAUUAGAGCAAUAUCAUGCCAACUAGUGGGCAAGGAGUCACAAAAUGAGCCAAAACGUUAUCAUAAAAAUUAUUCUUCCCCAUGCAACUUAUUUUUUUAAUUUACAACCAAAAGUCAGAAGGGUAUUCUUAAUUCACACUUAACAUACAAGAGACUAAUUUUAUUAGUACCAAACAAUCCAAAAGUCUCCACAUAACAAAACAAGACUAAUUCUCUUAAAAAAGUUGUCACGCCAUCCAUCAUAGGCAAAAGUCACCCGGUUCAACAUAAAAAUAUUCCCUGGAAAAGAAACGUAGCAUAAAAGAAAACUCAUGGAGAUUUAUUAUAAAGUAUAUUAUUACUUAAAGAAAUAAAAAUAAUAUAAACUAAAAACUACUAAAGAAAAUAAAAUAACAAAAGCGACUAAUACUAAAGGAACAAAAAAAAAAACAUAAACUAAAAACUACUAAAGAAAAUAAAUAAAUAAAUAAAAAUAAAAUAAAAUAACAAAACCGACUAAUCCGCAAAUACACCACCAGUCACAAACUACGUCCGGCAAAAACACACGAUACAAAAUAGUAACACAAGCCCUGUAAGGGCACACAAUAUUCCUACAAAAGCAUAAACCCGGCAAAGGCACAAGUUAGACAUUAAUGUACAAAUAAAGUAUAUUCCCUGAAGCCACCCCCAACUAAAAGCAUUGCAUUGUCCUCAGUGCACAAUAUCAGAAUAAAAUAAGAGUAGUUUGAAGGUCUCCCUGAGGUCUGCAUCAGACUAGCAGACUGCGGGAAAAGGCUCAUCACUGCUGUGUAGAGCUCUUGGCCUCAUCAUCAGCGGUAUCAUCAAUAUCAACAUCAACAUCAUUCUACAAGAAGGAAUACUCUUCACUAUCAUCUUUGUCCUCGACAGGUAUCUUCUUGUUCGGCUGCCCCCAUUUGAAGAUGGCCUUGAUGCCUCUCCAUAUCUUUACCAUGAACGUGCCCUUCUUCUUGUAUUUCUCUCUCUCCUUCUGGAAUUCUACCUGGAGAUCAACAUGAGCCUUGGCCAUAUUAUCAUAUGCUUCCUCGAGCCUCUUAACAAAACCUGCUAACUUUUCAUGAUACUUUGCCUAUUUUUAUGGGCCUCUAGGUAUGUCUUCAUCUCUUCUUUAGUACAGUACUCAAGCAUAGACUAGGAGUGCGGGGGUCCAGUCGGGAGCCGUGACACUAAGUCACGUAUGGAGACAAGCUGGGAGUUCAGCAACCCAAAUGGUCUCUCGGGCAGUGUCGUCUAUGAGGACUAUGGUCCGGCAACUGUGGUGAUCUUCUUCUUCUUGCUUUUCACUGCACUACCCUCACCGGUCACUCUCAACGGAUGAAAGGGUUUGUCAGCCGGUAACCAACGAUCGGUGCUACACACAUCAAUAUAUGCCUGCCGGCACAACUCUCUAACCAAUAAAAGGAACAUCAAGCCCGCAUUGUCUUUUAGCAAGUACUAUUUAAUCUCCAGGAUGAUAUAAUAACAGACAUUCACAUGAAUGUCAUUAAGUAUGCAAUAAUCAGGGCUCAGCCAUAUGAAACAUCAGAGACAUUGCCACAAGGGGAGACUCUGUUACAGAUGAUGUAGAGCCAUAUCAUGGCCUCAACUGUGAAGUCAAUGGAUUUAAAACCCUUUCUCUUGUUGGCCCACAUCGCUCGCCUAUCUGAGGGAUAAAGGUUAGAAUCUAGCCAUUUUUCAUUUGAGCAAUAAUCUUUUUCUCGCACCGGCUCAAGUGGAUGAUUCGGAAGCUCAUAAAUAUCAUUGAUCUGCUCAGGUUCAAAUCACAAUAUUUUGCCCAUUAUUAUGAGUUAUGGAUACUUGUAGUUUGUACGCUUCAGGUUGGCAUAAAACUCAUAAACCCAUUCCUCAUUGUCAUCACAUGGAGUAGGCAUGAAACAACUCCAACCGGUAGUCUGUAGACGGCCAAAGAAAUCUGAAAGUAGCUCGGCCAAUCUAUUCCCGGAGAUCCCCUUUUCAAGUAGAACCUUCUUUGUAAGAAGGUUGUCAUAGUAUCGGUGGUGAUAAUUAGCAGACAUGAAGAGGUCAGUGUCAAAUUGUUCCUCCACAGCCUCUUCCUUAAUUUCAUGAUCAAUUGCCACAUUUUCAUGUUUGGGUCCAUUUUUGAAGCUCAAAGUACCUAAAAAAAAUCAAAACCAAGUUAUUCGGGCAUUAGAAUCAAGUCAAUCAAUUCAAAACAAUGCAAUUAGGAAAAAGAAUCAAGCCAAACGGCCCCAGCAAGCCAUAUUUGCAAAGCUACUGCCCUGCUGAAAAUCUGUCCAGUUAUCGCACCUGCGGAAACAGCAUCGCAGGUGCGGUUUCGCUUCUGCAAAUUUUCACUUAUGAACAAAAAUCGCACCUGCGUAAUUUCAUCGUAAGUGUGGUUCCGCAUCUAUGGUAAAUUCCCGCUUCUUGGAUUUUCCAAAUUUCAGCCAAAUUUCGCACCUGCGAAAUAGUCAACGUAGGUGCGAGCCCGCAUCUGUGGCAUUUUCUUCACAGAAGUGAUGUUCACCCAAUUUUCAAGGGCUCAGAAACUUCCGACUCUUUUCAGUUCAAAUCAUUUUUUUGGCUCAAAAUUUAUAUUCAAGAAUUCUAAACUUGUACACUAGAUGAUUAUACGACUUGAUUAAACCUGCUUUUAAGGUACUUAACAUCUAAAAUUUUCUCGGACAAACUAUCGAACACUUAACGAGCAAAGAGAAUGCUAUGCUUCUUUAAACUAAUUGGGUACUUAGACUUCCCCAAUUUUUAUUGUUAGACACAUAGCAGAAACAACUCAUAACUACACUCAACCAAUUUUCCUCACCCCUAGAACUAGCAUUGAUUAAAGAACGAAAAAAACUGUGGGAAUUCGGCCAUGGAGAAGUGUUAGAAGAAAAUGAGAGAAGAAGAAAAUAGAAGUAGAGGAUAAAAAGAGAAAGAUGUUACUUGAGUUGCAUGUGUGCACAUAGUGGAUUGAGAUCAACAGUUGUGUGAGAGAUGAGAGGAUCUGGGGAUGGGAUUUGAGAGUGCAAGAGAAAGAGUUUUACCUUCUAAAAGAGGGUCUAAUUCAUUAAAGAUACCUGACAUGCCGCAUCUACGGACUUUUGAGCGCUUCUGUGAAGCCACUUCUACGGUUAGAAGAUUUCUUCUGCGCAAAACGCGCAUCUGCGCCCCAUUUUACGCUUCUGCGUUUCCGCAUCUGCGUUCCUUUUUUCGCAGGUGCGGCUACACCAAAAAUCAGAAAGAAAACUGGGCAGCCACUCAUUUGGCUUGAGUCCAACAUCUCAACCUGCUCAAAUCAACUUCAAAAAAUCUGAAACUUUGUAGAUUAGUUAACAAUACUAUAAUAAACUAUUCUAAAAAAGAAAAUUUCAAAAACGACCAAAACAUUUGAAAACGAUGGGUUGUCGUCUACCUAGCGCCGCAUUUAAUAUCAUGGCACGACACUUACCAACUUCAUCACUUUUCUCACCACUUGGAGGAUAUGAAUUGGAAACCUAACUUGGACUCAAGUUUGUGAUCAUGAGCGGCAGGGGGGUGGUAAGUAGAUGAGCAAGCCAAAUGAUAUUUGCUUCAUUUUGCAUUUCUUGGCUUUCAUGAGAGGAAUGUCAUUUUGCCUUCUUACACCUUCAAAUUGUAAAAUGUAUGGCCCUUGACUUUCCUCUUUGCAAUCCCUCAUUGACUCGUGUAGUUCAAUUCCCAUAUCACUACGCAACUCCAAUGUUGAGAAAUGCUUGAAACGUGACAUCAAGCCUCCAAAUUGCAAUUCUUUCCGGACUUUGACAUCCUCUUUUUCCCCCGAACUAGAGUCAACUUCAACCAUAUUUUCAAUUACACCGGUUGACUCAAACUCUAUAUUUUUCUCGGCAUCACCAACAAGCAUGAGUCAGUUGGUGGAUGUUCAAUCCUUGAUUCCUCAAAAUGAAUCUCACUUUCUUCCUCGAAGUUGGACUCUUCUUGACCACUUUCCACACUCUCAAGUUGGUGAGCAUUAUGAGCCUCAACCAAUGAUUUCAUUUGAUCUUCCAAAGUGCGGAUAGUCUCAUCAUUCUGAUUUAAUACUUGUUUCAUGUCUUUGAGUGCAAAGUUUUGCUUCUCCUCAUUUUCAAGAAUGGCCUCCAACAUGAGCAUUAAUCUCUCAUUUUGAGCAUUUGAGAGUUCUUCUUGAUUUGGAUCAAGUGCCAAAGAAGGAUUUUCAGGUUCAACCUCUAAGGAAGGUUCUUGGCUAUCAUUCACUUUCGAGGCUUUAUGUACCUCUAAAUCUUCAAGCAUUUCUCCCAUUUGUAAGUUCAACCUUUCAAGCGCCAAAUCAUUUUGGAGACUGAGCUCCUCCAAGGAUUUUUGCUCUUUGUUUCCUCCUUCAAGUAAGAAUUCCAUCAUGAGCUUGAACUCUCCAUUUUGACUAUGCUCAAUUUCUUCCACUUCCAUAUCCCUAUACUUGUCAUCACAAAGUAGAAUCGUCAUAGCGAGGGUUCGGGAAAGGGAAGGACAAAUAAGCACAAUUAGCCCAAUGACCAUUUUGACCACCACACCUAUCACAUGUACUCCACUCACGGGUUUGAGAUUGUGCGCACAAUCCGCCCAGGGAGAAUUUAAACAAUUUUGUCAUGAGUGUGAUCCUCCACAAUAAGGACAAAGGUCAUCAAAAUAUGAACAACUACCAUCCAUCCAAUUUUCAUUAUGCGAUGCUAUUUUUAAAAACUAAGAAAAUACACAAGUAAAAUAAACAAGAAAACAAACAAGAAACUAAAUAAAGAUAAGAAAAAUAAUUACACAAAUAUUCACAAGUUUGGAUCAAAGCACGUACGCUUACUUCUCAAACAACCUAAAUGUGCCAUAUUGUUCCCCAGCAACUGCGCCAAUUUUGAUGACAUCCAAUUCCACUACUAAAAUGUAAAUGGACACGGUCGCAUGCAAUAUAAUAUACCCAACUAUGAGUCGGGGUCGAAUCACAUAGAAAAAUAUGUAGGCGAUUAGGCAAUGUAAGAGAAUUAUCAUUUAUUAUGCUAAGCCAAAUACUUAAAAGGGUUUUGGGAAAAUAUUUAUGUCUAAAUUCAAAAAUUGUAAACUAACCUAGAAAGCAAGUAAAAUUAUCAAUAGCUACAAGCAUGUAUGCAAUGAGAAUUACACUCAAGUAACGACCCAAUGUAUUUAACGAUUUUACAAAUAUGAGCGAGUUUAUGUUAAUUAGUCUCGGAUAUUAAUUCUUUAUUAGCUUGUUCUAAUGACUAACAAGACUUCCUAAUUGAAUUAGAGAUUAAGAGCACCUAAUGUGGCUACAAGUAGUUCAAUCCUAUCCCUAGGCAGAAGCUAUAAAAUGAGGGUUAACGCCUAAAGUUUUUGUUAAUUAAUCUUUCCCAACUCCAAAUUACCCUUUCCAAGAUUAAUUCGAAGUUAAUGGGCGAGUCCUAGGGUUAGUUAUUCCCUUUGAAAACAUUAAAGAACAAGAAUAAUUAAAGAAACAAUUAACUCACUUCAUAAUUAAUAAAAAUCAUUCAAUACAUAAGCACAACAAGUUAUUUAAUUCAAACUUUAAAUAUGAAUAUUUUCAUAAACAAGAUUAAAAUAUUGAAAUAAAUGCACCACACUUAAAUAUUCAAUACAAAGCAAGAAAAUAAAGAAAUGAGUAAAAAUGGGUAAGAAAAUCUCAACCAAAAGUUUUAAUCUUCAAGUCCCAAGUGUGUAUGCAAGAACCCUAGCUCCAAAGCUUGUUUCUCUUGGUCAAGAGACUAAAAAUUAGCCAAAGAUGUGUUUCUAAUAAGCUAGGUCGUGUAUAUGUGGGUUUGGGAUAGAGAAAAUGUGAAUUGUCAAUUCUGCCCAGGUUUGAAGCCUAUUAACUGCAACUACGGAAGGAUCAUUGCAGGUGCGGCUCCGUAGAUGCGGAAUUUCUCUCGUAGGUGCGAGCCUUGUGGAAAAAUGACUCCUCCACAGAAGCGGACAUGUUGCCGCAGAAGCGCGUAUGUAGAUGCGGACUUCCAGCGCAAAAGUGGAUUUCCAAUCGCAGGUGCGAUAACAGUGGACUUUCUCCUUUUCCGUAGAUGCGGCCUAAUUCUCGCAUGACUGUUCCGUAGAUGCGAUUUCACUGAAGCACUUUUACACUUCUUCAACUCUUUUUUGCUCAAUUCCACUUCAAUUGAAUUCAAUUCUCUUCAUGACUACUUUCACCUAAAAAUCUAGCAAUACACACAAUAAAUAACCUUAUAUUAUAAUUAAAGGAUAUAUAAACUAAAUAAAAGGGACUAAUACAAAUGGUAAAAUCAUCACUCAUUAGUGACUUUAGGGGGAUGUAUCCUUAUCUACAUGAUGCACGGACAAGUCACGUGCUACAUAUAACAACCGCACAGACUACUCACGUGCUGUCAACCUAAUCCAUAUCACACAUAAAGCAUAUACAAGAAUACAAGUACACGAACAAUGGCUAUCAAAUUAAAUACUCAUGAACUGAUAUAAGUGACAUGCUAAGGUGUAUGCACGCGCGAAGUAUACUGCGAUAGAUCAAAUUAGGAGAUUACGCCACAAAAUAGCAAUUUUCGUCAUUUGAAUAGGAGAUUAACCUACAUGUAACCUCUAACAUGAAUCAAUUAUAUCACAAAGGGAAAAAAAUAUAAGAAGCAUUACCCCGAGCAUGGAUAAAACUCCGGUGCACGCACAUGGGCUCAAUCCCUCGCAUGUGCGCCACCCAUAGAACGUAGCUAAUACUAAUAACUCAGGAAACUAGUGCCUCAACUAAGUUUAGGUAAGAUACUUACCUCAAGCAAGCCAAGUCAAUACUAUAAAAAUCUCUUGCCGUGAAUCGACCUCCGAAAACCUUGAAUCUAGCCAAAAAUAACUCAAUAACAUUAAAUAACGCCAUAGAAAACAACCCAAAAUAAUAAAGAUUCGAUCUUUAUAUAAUUGCACAAAGUCAACCAAAAAGUCAACCCGGUCUUGCACCCCUAAACCCGACAGAACUCAUAAAUCCUGAACACCCAUUCGAAUACGAGUCCAACCAUACAAGUUUCAUCUAAUUCCGACUCUGAAUUGGGGUUCAAAUUCCUAUUAUUUAUUUUAGAAAUGUUUUCCCAAAACCCCUAAUUUUUCUCACUUAUAUUCACCAAUCAAAUUCCAAUAUCAAGGAUGAAUCAUGAAUAAUAAUCAAAUCCGAGUCAAAAAUACUUAUACCAUUCCAAGUCGCGGAAAUAACCUCUACAAUUGCCCAAAUCCGAGUUUCUAAUCACAAAAUAUGAUAAAUGAAAUUAACCCCCCCCCCCCCCCAAAGAUAUAUUCUGCCCAAACACUUUUGCUUCUAUGAUACUGUAUCUGCAGAAAAACCAUCGCAGAUGCAGAAUUCACUUAACCCCCUUCCAUCCACUUCAGUGGGCUACACAUUGCUUUUGCGGAUCCCCUUCUACGGAACAAGCUUCGCACCUGCGCUAGAGCAUCUGCACUCAAAUAACCGCAUCUACAGACUGUGCCUUUCCCAGCUAAUCUUUGCAUCUCUAGCCCAGGUUCACUUCUACGAACUCGCACCUAAAAACCUCGCAGGUGCGAAAGCACCAGAACAGGACUGCCAAACAAGAUAGAAAUGAUUCGAAACUCAUUCAAAACACACCUGAAACCCCCGGGACCCUGUCCAAUCACACCAACCAGUCCCAAAACAUUACUCGGACCUACUCGAGGUCUCAAAUCACACUAAAUAACAUCAAACCACGAAUCACAUCUCGAUUCAAACUUACCAAACCUCAUGUCGAACCAUGUUUAUUCGGCUCGUAAUAAUCUCAAAUUUUGCACACAAGUUCCAAAUGACAUAACAAACUUAUUCCAACUCCAUGAACAAUAAUUUGAAUUUGAUAACACCAAAGUCAACCCCGAGUCAGACCUAAGAACCUUGCAAACCUUCAAGUUUCCAACUUUCGCCAAUUCAAGCCAAAAUAACCUAAGAACCUCCGAAUCCAAAUUUGGACAUACGCCUAAGUAAAAAAUCACCAUAUGAACCUAUUGGAAUUAUCAAAAUACCAUUCUGAGAUCAUCUACAUAAAAGUCAAACCUUGAUGAACUCUUACACUUUAAGCUUCCAACCAUGGAUUUAAGUGUUCCAAUUCACUUCAAAAACCUUCCCGAACCCAAACCAACCACCCCCUCAAUAACAUAGUACCAAAUACACAUACUGGAAGCAUAAAAUAGGGGGACGAGGCUAAUGACCGGCCGGGUCGUUACAUAUUUGCUCCUAUAUUUUCUCUAAGAUUUGUAAUAAUUCAUUAGAAAAUAUUGUCCAAGACUUGCUCCAAUAUUUUCUCCAAAAGCUAGAAUAAUUUGGUUAACCAAACAACAAUAACAAACCCAGUAUAAUCCCACAAGAAAGGUCUGGGGAGGGUAGUAUGUACGCAGACCUUACCCCUACCUUUAAGAAAGUAAAGAGACUAUUUCCGGUAGACCCUCGGCUUAAGAAAGGUAAAAGAAAGGAAAACCACAAGCACACCAAUUAGAAAACUGAAGAAAAAAUAGAAAACUAAUCCUAGUACUGCAAUCAGAAAGCUGAAAGCAAUAACAAGUAAUAAGAGGAGUCAAGGAAUACGAAAAUACAUAUAUAACACUAAGUCAUGUACUAAAGCUACAGUUACAGAAAAGGACAAUGCUUGACUACCUAUCCUAACCAUUUACCUUUAUUCUCAACCUCCACAUCUUCCUAUCCAUGGUCAUGUCCUAGAACAAUGCCAUAUCUUGCCUAAUCACCUUUCCCCAAUACUUCUUCGGCCUGCCUCUACCUCUAUUUAGGCCCUCCAAGGUCAACCUCUUACACCUCCUCACCACUGCAUCUGUGCCUCUCCUCUUCACAUGCCCGAACCAUCUAAGUCUCGCCUCCCCUGUCUUGUUCUCCAUAGGGGCCAUGCCCACCUUGUCUCGAAUAACUUCAUUUCUAAUUCUAUCUAACCUGGCAUGCCCGCACAUCCAUCUCAACAUACUCAUUUCAGCCACCUUCAACUUUUGGACAUGGUAGUUCUUAACUGGCCAACACUCUGCUCCAUACAACAUAGUCGGUCUGAUCACCACUCUAUACAGCUUAUAUUUAGGUUUAGGUGACACAUUUUUAUCACACAAACCAUCAGAAGCGAGCAUCCAUUUCACCCACUCUUCCCCAAUACGAUGUGUAACAUCCUCGUCGAUCUCUCCAUUCCCUUGUAUAACUGACCCAAGGUAUUUAAAACUUUCUCUCCUAGGGAUGACUUAAGAAUCAAUCCUCACGUCUUCAUCCACUACCUGAGUUGCACCACUGAACUUGAACUCCAAGUAUUCUGUCUUUGUGCUGCUCAACGUGAAACCUUUAGACUCCAGGGUUUGCCUCUAAACCUCUAACCUCUCGUUAACACCGCCUCAUGUCUCGUCAAUCAGAACAAUUUCAUCUGUAAAUAACAUGCUCCACGACACCUCCCCUCGGUUAAUCCAUAUAAGGAAAACAAAUCUUAAGAGGAUAAUUUCUUAAAAGAUCUCCUUUACACGCCCUUUCUUUCUAUGCAAGUAUUCCUAUAAAUUGAAGUCUUUGUUCGUAAGACCUAUGCAUUCCAGUAAAACACUUAUGAUGUACUCAAUAAGUAUCGUAAAUAAACACGGCAAGGUAAGAGAAGCAUAAAUUGUUAAUGAUACUAGCUAUCACCUGUGCAGUUCCAUCUUUUAAACCGACACAAAACAAUAUUGAAAAUUAACUCAUCAAGUUUCGCGAGAAAACAACCGUGUGUGUAUGUGUACAGUUCUCAAAUACUCUGCUCGGACAAUAUCAUGGCAUGUAGAGAUGAUGAGUAGUUAAAUCAGGUAAAUGAUCAAGGAAAUACAAAAUCCACACAACACUGGUCGGAUUCUCUCAAAUUCCAUAUCCGUUCCAAACCACUGAUCAGUAUUCUCAAUAACCGUGUGUACACCAUCAAGAGAGAAACAUGAGAGAGUGACCCUAGGGGAUGGAUCCAUAUCCACACGCUGCACGGAUAACUCACGUGCUGUAUGGAUAACUCAUGUGCUAAUAAUAGAACCCCGCACGGACAACUCACGUGUUGCACGAACAAUUCACGUGCCAAUAACAUCAAUAUAUGGAUCUGCAUGGACAACUCACGUGUUGCACGGACAACUUACGUGCCAAUAAUACAAUCCGCCUGGUAUGGUGACAGCCUUCUAAUCCAAACAUAUCAUACAGGAGAAAUUAAACAAGUAUACAUAUGUGUGAUGAAUGAAUAACAAUUCUCACACUCCUGGACUGGUAUAAAUGACAUGCUAAUGUGUAGGCAUGUGCAAAGUGUGCUAUCAUAGCUCAAAUCGAAAAUUUCAUCACUGAAAAGCAUUUAUGAAGUUCGUUCAGGGCUUAAACCUUUAUGUAGCCUCAGCAUGGCUCAAAUAGAUAACACAAACUGUUACAAAUAUGACAAAUAUCAUAGCUUAAAGCUUAACAAUCAAAUUCAAGGCUUGUAAGAGCCCGAGCACAACCCGAACAUGAAUAAAUGAACCUGGUGCCCGCAUAUGUGUUCAUCCCCACGCAUGUGCGCACCCAAUAACACAUAGCUAUCAUAACAAUUCAGGCAACUAGUGCCUCAACCGAGUUUAAAAAAGAUACUUAUCUCAAGCAAAUCAAAUCACUCCGCUAGCAAGCCCUUCCCACGCGUAUACGCCUCCGGAAGGAUCGAAUCUAGCAAAAACUAACGUAAUACUAUCAACAAAAGCUAUAGGAAUUGAUUCCAAUUAAUAAAGCUACGAUCUUUAACUAAGGUCAAAAGUCAACUCAAAAGGUCAACCCCGGGCCCACAAAAAACCAACCCCAGACCCACGUCUCCAAAUCCGACAAAAUUGAUAAAAUCUGAACACCCAUUCAAUAAUGAGUCCAACCAUACCAAAAUUACUCAAAUCCGAUCAUAACUCGACCUUCAAAUCCUCAAAUUAAAGCCUAUAAAGUUUCUACAAUUUUCCCCAAUUCUUCCAACCCAAAACACUAAUUAAAUGAUGAAAACAAUGAUAUAUUCAUGUAUAUUAACCAAAUCCCAGUUAGAAUCACUUACCCCAAUCAAUCCGUUGAAUAUCCCUCCAAGAAUCGCCUCAAUCCGAGCUCCCAAAAUCAAAUUAUGAAAUAUAACUCAAACCCUCAUCUUUGAAAACUUAUAUUCUGCCGAGAUGCCCCUUAAUUGCGAUCACGGGAAGUGCUUCGUGAUCGCGAAGCACAAACCAUAAGCUGCCAAAAUUUACUCUCCACGAACGCGAAUAACCCGACGCAAAUGCGACUCACAAACUCCCAUACCUACAUGAUCGCGAACCUCUUCACGCGAUUGCGAAGAACAACUUCGCGUGAACCUCAGUCUCUUCCAUUCUUCUUCGUGAACCCGACUCCCUUCACGCGAUCACAGACUUCUUCUCGUGAUCGCAUGGAACAAAUCUUACACCAACCCAAACAACUCUUCGUGAUCGCAUAUAAGGAAACCACCAACAGAAAUCAGCAGUUCUUCAAAGUUUCAAAAUGCACCGAACAUGAUCCGAAUCACACCCGAGGCCCCCGAGACCUCAACCAAACAUACCAACAAGUCCUAAAAUCAUAUACGAAUUCGGUCGAAGCGUCAAAUCAUAUCAAACAACAUCAAAAACAUGAAUUGCAUAUUGAUUCAAGCCUAAUGAACUUAUGAACUUCUAACUUCUACGUUCGAUGCCGAAACCUAUCAAAUCAACUUCGAUUAACCUCAAAAUUUGCACACAAGUCAUAAAUGACACGACAGACCUAUUCUAACUUCCAGAACCAAAAUCUGAGCCUGGUAACCAUAAAGUCAAGUUUCGGUCAAACUUCUCAACUCUCCAAACUUUUAUUUUUCCAACUUUCGCCAAUUCAAGCCAAAAUCAUCUACGGACCUCCAAAUCAAUAUCUGAACACACUCCUAAGUCCAAAAUCACCCUACGGAGCUAUCAGAACCAUCAAAACUCCAUUCCAGAGUCAUUUACACACAAGUCAACAUCUGGUCAACUCUUUCAACUUAGGCCUCCAACAUUGGGACUAUGUGUCCCAAUUCAUUCCGAAACAUCUCCGGAACCAAACCAACCACCCCGUCAAGUCACAUAACAACAAUUGAGUACAUAAUAAGUAGUAAAUGGGGAAACAGGGAUACAACACUCAAAACGACUGGCCAGGUCGUUACAACUGCGUACCCUUGGACUGCUUUGCUUGUUACCUUGCUCAUCCCUUUUCUUAUUCUUAAGUUUUUGAAUAGCUCAUUUACUGUUUUGUUGGGAAAUGAAUGUGCUUAUUUGGGGAAUUUUUUUUUCUCGAUAUUAGGCUAAUCAGAAACUUGAGUUGGAUCCUCUUUGGGCCUUCUUUAUCGUUGUAUAUUGUGAGGCCUAUUAGUUUUGGGUGGAUCACUAGUGGAAGCAAAAGUAGUCCUUAAAGGUGAAAACCAACACAUAAACGAAGUCAUAUCACGGACUACAGCCAAAAAGAAUAUGACUAUUAGAGAAUAAUUUAAUUUACAUUAGCUAACAAUGAAAAUAAUUUUACACUAUUAAUAUUAAUUUAAUCAGUAAUAGUAGAUUAGCACAUUUCUUAUUUCACAAUAUCAUACUUAUUAUAAAUAGUUAUCUAUUGUUGCAAGUCAACUUAACAUAAUUAUAACGAAGUUAAACUCAUCAGAAAUACUACUCCCCCCAUUCCAAUUUAUAUGACCUUAUUCCCUUUUUGGUCUAUUCCAAAAAGAAUGAACCUUUCUAAAUUUGGAAAUAAUUUAGCUUAAACUUUCAGUUCUACCCUUAAUGAGAAGCUUUUAUAACCACACUUAUACUUUUGCAUGUUUACCACCAUACGUUUCAAAAGAAUUAUAGCCAUACAAAUAUUCUGACUAGUUUACGCCACAAAUUCCAAAAGUCUUCAUUUUUUUCUUAAACUCCGUGCUCGAUCAAACGGGUUCACAUAAAUUAGAACGAGGAAAUAUUGUAUACUCCCUCCGGUCCACAAUAAGUAAUUUUUUGGAUAUUUUUACACAGAUUAAGAUAUUCACGUUUUAACGUUAAUUAGCAAUAAAAUUGACCAUAUUAACCUUUACUAUCUCUUCACAUAUACACACCUAACACAUACUCCAAUAUUAUUUACUCCAAGGGCAAUGUAGGGAAAAAUAAUUAAUUUAUUCUUGAAAUCUGGAAAAAUCACUUAUUUUGGACCACAAAAAAAGGUCAAAAAAUCACUUAUUAUGGACCGGAUGGAGUAUCUAAAUACUAUACAUGUCAUUCUCGAGAUUGCAAGGAAGUAAAAUUUGAUUAUUAUUUUUAAUAUUUUUUGUACAAUUUCGAAAUAUCUAAAUGUUUAUCUUAAAAACGGAUAACAAUUGAAUUUAUAUGUGGUUUUAAGGACACGUGAUUUUACUUGCAAAUUGAUAUUGAAAUUGACUGUAAAGAAAAGUAAAAGCAAACCAAAUGAGAUGUGUAGCUUUGGCCCUCGAACCAAAUGAAAUAGCAAAUGAAAUAUGAGUAGAGUAACAUAGUAUUGAGAACCUAAAGAAAAGAAUAGUAUAUUGGUUUUUACUACCUCAGUCCCCUCUAUAAAUAAUCAGAUCCCCUUUAUAUAGUAGGGGAGUCCUACUCUUGAUACAAUUCUAAAUAUAGUAAGGAUUCUCAUGAUAAGCUAAUUAAUCGGCCUCUUCUUGAUAUGUGUCGUGAUUUCCGUCGAGAUCCUCCCCUUAAUUGCGGCUAUAACGGCUUUUUUGCUUCUUGGCUCGAUCUUGAUCCUGGCCAAUCUCGAUCUUGGCCGAACUCGAUCUUGAUCGAUCUCUGGGUCUUUGAGCUCGAUCUUGGCCGAUCUCGAUCUUGAUCGGUCUUUGGGUCUCGAGUUCGACAACAUAUACUUCGCACCAUGGAUCAAUAUUACAAUUAUGAUACUUGGGCCAUCAUGUUCCAAUCUCUAUUAAUCAUACAAAGGGAAAAACUCGGUUUUGACCGUAUACAGAUAGUCCCCUCGUUUCUCGGAUAGAAGAUAAUGAGAAACGAUAUGAAUUUCUGAACUCCGACUUAGUUGAUGAUGAUAUCAGCGACGAGCCCGAUUAUGAUAUAUGUAACAAACGUCCCGUCGGUCCAGUUACUAAGGCAUUAAAUUCCUAUCAGUCGUUGGUCGGCCACUACCGGUUCUGAACCGUCAUCACCAGGCUAUAAAUAUUUUCACUUUCAUCCUCAUCCAAACUUUUCACUCAAAAGCUUUUUCUUUACUCUUGCAUCUUCUUCAAAAAUUCCCUUUGCUUUAUACAUUUUACAUCGCAUACAACCCUAAUUCUCAUUCCCUUUGUUCAUCAAUGGCGAAAACCUCUAAAAUGGUGCCGCAAAAGGAGGCCGCUUCUUCAUCGUGACCCGCCGGCAGCGAGGAUGCGAUGGAGCCUCGCCUUGAGGAAUUCGUUCCGGUAGGGUGCUCAACUGUCAUCAAUUUUAAGGUUGAAAAACCUUCUUCGGUACCGGGCCGAUGUGAGCCGAUCUCGAGGUACCAGUGUUCAAUCACCGAGAAAAUUCUCGAUAAAGUAAAAUACGAAUGUAACAGGGGCGACAAGCACGUGGUAGUCCCAUCGCCUGAAGAAUCAGUUACUACCCACGUGGAAGGGUUCUUAAGUGUUUAUACUUAUCCUUUCACGCUGGGUUCAUUAGACCCCGUCAUCGUCGCCUUUUACAAGAGAUACGACGUGACCCUUGGCCAAAUCUACCCUUCCUUUUGGAGAAUGGUGAUUCUUCUUCGAUUCUUCUCAAGCAAAAUUGAGGGGUGUCUUUUCACCCUCGAUCACCUUAUACGCCUUUAUAGUCCCCGACUCUAUCGAGGAGGGUUAAUCAAGAUUGCUCGCCGAGCCACCAAAGCGUCAUUCUCGAGUAUAGACGAGACUCGUGAUCAUGGUUGGAUGGGCCGAUUUGUUCGAGUCAGAACCUUGGACUUAAUCUGUGCCGAUGACAUGCCGUUUCCUAAGAAAUGGAAUAUGAACCGUGAAUACUUAUUUCCCUUCGAGCGUUUUAAUUUAUGACAGCCUUCUAUUUUCUUGAUCCACUUUUUCUUUCUUGUUACAGUCAUGGAUCGGAUGCCGGAACCGAUUCCGGGUCUUUAAUAAUGGGUUGAAGGUUUGGUGUUACAAAGACUGUACUCCAAGCGCAUCAAAGGGUCGAUGGGAGGCCCGCAGUCAUCGUAAGUCUCUUUCUUAGUUUGUUUGUAAUUUGUUCAUUUUCACUUGCUUACCCCCCUUUUUCCCUUUGCAGGACUUGGGAAGGAUGUUGCCAUAAGGCCCCCAUUUGAUGAUGAAGAGGUCCCUACCCCGAAGCAGGUUAAAGAGAAGAAGAGAAAAGAUGCACCGAGUUCCCCGGUCUCAGAAAAGAAAAAAUCGGCGAAGAAAUCUCACAAGCCCGGGGGGACUCCGGUAUCAUGCCUCCGGACUCAAUCCGCCGACUAAGGGAUGAACUUGAAGAAGGAGAAGAGAAAUUAGCCUAUGUACGGGCUAAUGUUGUGAUACAACAAUCCUCUGAAUCGGCGGAGGUAGAUAAGGGAAACCUGGCCAUAAUUCUUGAACAAAGAAAAGCCGAGACUAUCCCUUCUCGAGCUAAGAUGGUUAAAGGGGAGACCGAGGGAAAGCCUUCUCGGGCAGAAAAUGAUAUCUUGAGGGAUGAGCUCGGGGUAAUCAACAUUAGCACUGAUAUCCACGGCUUUCUGGAUGGGCUCGAGUUAGCUACCUCGGAGGAGAUUAUCAGGUUCGGUGGAUUACCGGUGCCGAAUAAAGCAUCAUGGUCGGGCUCUACCGGGUCUUCAUCGGUUCCAAAACUAGUAGACCGAUUCCUGGCCCCGAGUGCUAAUCCCGAUCGUAAGCGGAAGAUAGUGUUCUCCAUCUCGGAGGAUGCCUGAAUUUUCUCUCCCCCUGAGGGGAUUGCUAGUUACCUUCGGUCCUUGGUGACCGAAGAGGAUCAAACCAUGAUGAAUGCGGUAGGACCCGUUUUCCUUUUCAACGAGGCUCAACAUGCUUUGAAUCGAAUAACUUCGAUUGUAUCUCUACCGUUUCUUUUACACUUAGAUUUGUAGAUAAUUCUAACAUCUGUUUCCAUGUUUGUAGGCUUCGGUGUUGCAUCACAAGGCUUUCCUCCGAAUUCGGGAGGAGCAUGGGGCCGAAGUUCGGAACCUCACUGAGAAGAGUGACUCCUACAAACUUCUUAGUGAGAAGCUUCGGGCAGAUUUGGCAACGGCUUGAGAUGAGCACAAGGAAAUAGCUGAGCAGGCAUUCCGAAUUCUUCACGAUAGUGAAGAUGAAUUGGAGAUAACCACUAACGAUCCGAUUCUGCAGGUUUGGCAGAGGCUUGAACAGAUUGGACAACUCAAUUCGCAGGUAGAUGAGCUACUGGACGAGGCAAAAAAAUUCAAAGAUAUAGACGUCCUUGCCUUGAAAAAGGAGGUCGUCCAAGCGCAAUUGGAGUUGGCUGAGACCCAGCUUCGGGCUGCAGAAGAAAAUGCCUCGGUGCAGAUCAAGAAGGUUAAGGAGCUUCAACAUCGAUUGGAUUUGGCCACUUCUAAUAAGGCAGGCUUGGCCGAUGAACUCGAAGUGGCCAAAUCCGAGGUGGCCGAGGCAAAUAAAAGAGUUGAUGCUAAAGUGGCCCAGUUCAGGAUCGAUGUUGAGGUCAAUCAGGCCAAGGCCAAGAGCAUGGUCGAACAUGCUAAAUGGCAGGCUUGGAGGGAAGCUUUCUAGGAGGUCAGUGCUCAGGGCUUCGAUGUUGCGGCCGAAAUUGAAAAUGCCAAGGCGGAGGAAACGAGAGCUCGAAGGCUGGACUUCCCUGAGGAAGACUCCAAGAGCUUGAGCAAAUUUGAGGACGGAGAAAAUCCCGAGGACGCAGCCUCCGAUGAACAUCAAGCCACUUAGGAUAUUAGGUUUCUUGUUUUUCUUUUGUAUCUUUUNNNNNNNNNNNNNNNNNNNNNNNNNNNNNNNNNNNNNNNNNNNNNNNNNNNNNNNNNNNNNNNNNNGUGUUUUUCCUUUGCUUUUCUGUAGUUUACGAAGGUCAAAAAUGCCUUAGCAUAAAAUUGUGUCCGAGGUUUAGACAAUUUGAUUGGAACCAAACUAGUAUAGCCCUUAGGUUUUUCGAUCGAGUGAGUGCUUACUCGAACUCGAAGUAAUAUAGCCCUUAGGAUUUUGUAAGAAAGGUUGUUUAUGGCUUUCUCCCCUUUUCGGCUUGAAAAGGUUUUUUAUCAUUUGUAUUCGCAAAAAACUCGUAAUGCCUUGGCUUGAAAUAAGGAAUCGUUCAAGAGUUCGAACAAUUUUGUACUUAUUAGAGAUUUCGAGUCUUGACAUUAUCAAAGUCUUUUAUGAUUUUGCUGGGGGUAACCUUUUUAACUGGUUUAUGAAAGAAUUUGGAGGCCUGUUUUGUUACGAAAUUUGGACGUCUCCGAUCCGUGUUAAUUCGGUCGUAGCCUCUUUAGUUCGGGAUUUUGCCCCUUGGGCUUAUUUUCCCGUUUUACUUCGAGCUUGCCCGAAGUUGGCCGUGGCCUAUAAAAAUCGAGGGUUGCCUAAAAAGUCUUAUGAUCUCAGAGUUUUAAUAAUUCGAUCUCGUUUAUUUUUCGGACGGCAGUUCCCGAGCGUGGGGGUAAUUAUCCGAACUCUGAUUAUGGUCAGCCCUUAAGCCUAUUUACAUAAUAGGUCGAGAGUAUGGAAUUGUAAAGAAAAAUACUUUUCUUUAUAAAUGAUAAUACAUGCAUACAUGUUAUAUUCCAGGGCUCGAGCAAACUAUGCGGGCACGGUUCGUUUGACCGUUUGUCCCUUACAAAUUUUUCCUAUCGAGACCCUGCUGCCAUGAAGUAACUUUCUCGCAUCAAAGUUGACAUUCGAGGGCAAUACUCCCAGUGUUCGAGGUUGAUUAUAAAGAAACCUCGGAUACUGUUGAAUUGUUCUAAGUUAGCACAAUCAAUGGUUGCCUCAUUAAAAAUCUCGCCGGAAAACCUAUUUGGGACAAAACCGGUCUAAGGGAAAAAGAGUGCAACACAUGCUUUCAGACCUAAAAGCUUCGUGUCGAAGAAUCCAUUGAUGUUUCUGGUCGAACACCUGCAAAGGUUAGUUUAAAAUAUAAAUGAAAACGGAAAGAGUCGUACCUUAGCAGUAGUAUCUUUUAGGUGCGAUACGUUCCAAUUUCUCGACAGUUAUUCGCCAUUUAUCGUGCCGAGCUUAUAAGAUCCUUUUUCGAUGAUUUCGAGAACCUAGUACGGUCCUUCCCAGUUCGGACCCAGUUUCCCUUCAUUCGGAUUUUGGGUGUUGAGGAUGACUUUUCUUAGCACCAAGUCCCCGAUGUUAAAAUGUCGAAGAUUGGCUCUUCGAUUGUAGUAUCUUUCGAUCUGCUGUUUUUGGGCGCCUAAUUAGACGGGGGCGGCUUUGCGUCUUUCGUCCAAAAAUUCUAGGCUCGUAUUCAUGGCCUCGUUAUUUGACUCCUCUGUUGCAUAUCAAAACCUGAUGCUAGGUUCUCCGACCUUGAUCGGGAUCAGAGAUUCGGUGCCAUAAACUAACGAGAAUGAUGUUGCUCCGGUACUGGAUUUCGAUGUUGCGCCAUAAACCUCGGAUAGUAUUUCUCUCCAUUUUCCUUUGGCGUCGGUCAAUCUCUUCUUAAGAUUUUGGAUGAUGGUUUUGUUGGUCGACUCGGCUUGUCCGUUCCCGCUGGGAUAAUAAGGUGUUGAUAGGAUCCUUUUGAUCUUGUGAUCCUCGAAAAAUUUAGUUACUUUGCUGCCGAUGAAUUGUUUUCCAUUAUCACAAACAAUCUCGGAGGGCAUCUCGAAUCGAUAUAUGAUGUGGUCCCAAAUGAAGUCUAUGACUUCCUUUUCUCUGACUUUCUCAAAAGCAUGUACUUCAACCCAUUUAGAGAAAUAAGCAGUCAUAAACAAAAUAAGUAGAACUUUACCUGGGGCCGAAGGGAGAGGGUCAACGAUAUCCAUUCCCCAUUUCAUGAAGGGCCAUGGGGACAGGACCAAGUGGAGUAGUUCCCUGGGUUGAUGAAUCAUGGGCACAUGCCUUUGGCAUUUGUCACAUUUUCGAAUGAACUCCCUUGCAUCCUUCCCCAUAUCAGUCCAAUAGUACCCUGCUCUGAUUACUUUGUGGACCAGCGAUUCGACACCGGAAUGAUUUCCACAAGUGCCCUUGUGAACUUCUUGUAGGAUGUAGGCGGUAUCUCCUGGUCCCAAACAUAUUGCCAACGGUCUAUCGAACGUCCUUCUAAACAGUGUUCCGUCUUCGGACAAAGUGAACCAUGCUGCCUUUGUGCCCAAAGUUCUCGACUCCUUUAGAUCCGAUGGAAGCUUCCCGUUCUUUAAGUACUCUAUGUACUUAUUUCUCCAAUCCCGGGUUAAACUUGUAGAGUUUAUCUCGGCAUGACCUUCUUCACUUACUGAUCUCAUGAGUUGUAUGACAGUCCCCGAGUUGAGUUCGUCAUCCUCGACCGGCGAACCUAAGUCUGCAAGAGCGUCGGCCUCGCUGUUCUGUUCUUGAGAUACAUGUUGCAAGGUCCAUUCCUUAAAUUGAUGUAGAGUCACCUAUAGUUUAUCUAAGUACCUCUGCAUUCGGUCUUCUCGGACUNNNNNNNNNNNNNNNNNNNNNNNNNNNNNNNNNNNNNNNNNNNNNNNNNNNNNNNNNNNNNNNNNNNNNNNNNNNNNNNNNNNNNNNNNNNNNNNNNNNNNNNNNNNNNNNNNNNNNNNNNNNNNNNNNNNNNNNNNNNNNNNNNNNNNNNNNNNNNNNNNNNNNNNNNNNNNNNNNNNNNNNNNNNNNNNNNNNNNNNNNNNNNNGACCUGCAAUCAUGGCCCCAUACUCGGCCUCAUUGUUAGUCAAUUUUGUAGUUCUGAUAUGCUGUCUAAUUACAUUACCUGUGGGUGAUUUUAGUAUGAUGCCUAGUCCGGACCCCUUCACGUUCGAAGCACCGUCCGUAAAGAGGGUCCAGACUCCCGAAGAUGUAUAUGAUUUUAUCAGUAAUUCUUUUUCAACCUCAGGUACGAGGGCCCACGUAAAGUUAGCCAAGAUUGAGACUUGAUGGUGGUUCGGGGUCGAUACUCAAUAUCGUACCAACUGAUUUCUACGGCCCAUUUGGCCAAUUGACCCGAAAGCUCGAGUUUAUGCAAAAUAUUUCGAAGAGGAUAAGUUGUUAUGACACAUAUUAGAUGACAUUGGAAAUAUGGUUUUAGUUCCUAAAGGCGCUUAUUAAAGCAGGCGCUAAUUUUUCUAAGUGUGGAUAUCUAGUUUCGGCCUCAUCUAAGGUCCGACUAACAUAAUAGACAGGGAACUGCGUAGCUUGUUCUUCUCAGACCAGGACUCCACUUACUGCUAUCUCCGAGACUGCCAAGUACAGGUAAAGUUGUUUGUCCACUUCUGGGGUGUGAAGCAGCGGUGGGCUCGAUAAAUACCGCUUUAGUUCCUCUAAGGCCUGCUGGCAUUCCGGAGUCCAUGCAAAAUUGCUCUUCUUCUUAAGCAGCGAGAAGCAUCAGUGGCUCCUAUAUGAGGAUCUCGAAAUGAAUCGUCCUAGGGCGGCUAUCCGCCCCGUCAGCCUCUGCACGGCUUUUACAUUAUUCACUACCGUGAUAUCAUCAAUAGCUUUUAUUUUAUCGGGGUUGAUCUCGAUUCCCCGGUUGGACACCAUGAAACCAAAAAACUUCCCCGAGCCAACUCCGAAUGCACACUUUUUGGGGUUGAGCUUCAUAGUGUACUUCCUUAAUAUAUCGAAAGUCUCCUGCAAAUGCUUUAAAUGGUCCUCUGCUCGCAGGGACUUAAUUAACAUGUCAUCAAUAUAAACUUCCAUUAGUUUUCCUAUUUGUUCUUCGAACAUUUGGUUUACUAGGCGUUGAUAAGUUGCACCAGAAUUUUUUAGACCAAAUGGCAUUAUAUUAUAACAGUAGGUGUCGUACUUAGUGAUAAACGANNNNNNNNNNNNNNNNNNNNNNNNGGCAGGAAACGAAUCCUUGGGGCAUGCUUUAUUCAGGUCUUUAUAAUCUAUACACAUUCUAAGUUUGUUUUCCUUCUUAGGGACUACCACUACGUUUGCUAACCAUUCGGGGUACUUUACUUCCCGAAUGGAUCCUUUUGAGAAGUUUGGUUACCUCGUCCUUGAUGAAGGCAUGUUUUGACCUCGGACUGGGGCCUUCAUUUUUGCUUUACCGGGCGGAAUUUAGGGUCCAGGCUUAGUUUGUGAGUGGUAAUUUCUACUGGAAUCCCUGUCAUAUCGAGGUGGGACCAAGCAAAGCAAUCUGUGUUAGCUUUAAGGAAAUGAAGAAGGUUUUUUCCUGAGCUCGAGGGUUAGCCCCGUGCCCAGGUAUACCUUUCGUUCGGGCUGAUGCUUGGCCAGUGUGACUUGUUCCAGCUCUUCAACUGUUGACUUGGUGGCGUCAGAGUCAUUGGGAACUACGAAGGAUCGAAGGAUCCAGUAGUCGUCAUCCACAUCGAUCCCUUGCUCCUGCAAUCGGGUCGAAGGUGGUAUCUGUGGUUGCUAUUUGGCCUCCUGUUUUCCCUUCAAUCCCUUCAUUGAUGAGAGUGCCAAUACCGGUAUUACUUCAUUGACUAAAAACAUUUCCUUGGUGGCGGGUUGCUCCCCGUACACUAUUUUGACUCCCUCCGACGUCGGGAACUUCAGAACUUGGUGAAGGCUCGAGGGUACUGCCCUCAUGUUAUGGAUCCAAGGCAUUCUGAGCUGGGCGUUGUACCUCAUGUCACCAUCGAUCACAUGGAAUUUUGUUUCUUGGAUGGUCCCGGCCACGUUCACUGGCAAAGUAAUUUCACCUUUGGUGGUUUUGCUUGCCAUGUUAAAGCCGUUAAGUACUUGGGCUGCCGGCACAAUUUGAUCUUGUAGGCUGAGCUGUUCCACGACCCUCGAUCGAAUAAUGUUGUCCGAGCUACCUGGAUCAAUCAAAACACGUUUAACUUGAAUUUUAUUCAUAAGGACAUAUAUACCAGUGCGUCGUUGUGGGGUUGUAAGAUCCCCUCUGCAUCCUCGCCAUUGAAAGAUAAGGUCCCUUCCGGUACGUAGUCUCGAGUCCGCUUUUCCCUCGUGAUCGACACCUUGGUGCGUUUGAAUUCGGGUCCCCGAGGAAUAUCAACCCCUCCAACAAUCAUGUGGAUCACGUGUUUUGGCUCUUCUUGGUCAUUCUAUCUAUUUGAAUCUCUGUUCUUGAAAUGGUUUUUUGCCCGAUCGCUUAAAAAUUCUCGAAGAUGCUUAACCCGAUAGAAUGUUUUUUAGCCCGAUCACUUAACAAACGUGCUACAUCCUCCCUCAGUUGUCUGCAAUCUUCUGUUCUAUGACCAUGGGUGCCAUGAUAUUUGCACAUUUGAUUAGGAUUUCUCUGGGCCAGAUCAGUCUGUAGAGGUCGGGGCCACCUGGUGUCUUUGAUGCACCCAAUGGCCGAUACAAUAGCCGAUGCAUCAAUGUUGAAGUUGUAUUCUGAUAGUCAUGGUGCUUCUUUGGGUUCAACAUUUCUAUCGAAACCACUCUUACUCAUGAGCCCUCGAGAGCUCUGUCUUCGAUCAUUUCUUCUAUCAAUUCGAAUGGGGUUGCGUCUAGGCCCAUUGUUUCUCCGAUCUCCACCGUAUGGUUGAUAUCGAUCUCUGUUUGACCGUGAUUACAUACCCGGAAGGAGUCCCCAACUGGUCAUCCCCAACCCUAAUCUUUGACUGGUACCGAUUAUGCACGUCGGCCCAGGUUACAGCUGGAUAUUCGAUCAAGUUCUGCUUCAACUGUUGUGAGGCUACCGAACUUCGUAUGUUUAGGCCCUGAGUGAAUGCCUGAACGGCCCAAUCGUCGGUGACCGGGGGCAGAUCCAUACGCUCCAUUUGGAACCGAGAUACGAACUCCUUGAGCAUCUCGUUGUCUUUCUGUUUUACUUUGAAGAGAUCCAAUUUUCUAGUCUCAACCUUUAUCGUUCCGGCGUGCACUUUGACGAAGGAAUCUGCGAGCAUGGCAAAAGAAUCAAUGGAGUUAGGUGGUAAAUUAUGGUACAAUAUCAUCGCCCCCUUUGAUAAAGUUUCUCCGAAUUUCUUCAGCAGUACAGACUCAAUCUCGUCGUCCUCUAGAUUGUUUCCCUUUAUUGCGCAUGUGUAAGAAGUGACAUACUCGUUGGGGUCGAUAGUUCCAUUAUACUUGGGAAUUUCUGGCAUGCGAAAUUUCUUCAGAAUGGGCUUUGGAGCCGUGCUCGGGGGGAAGGGCUUUUGUACAAACUUCUUUGAAUCCAAACCCUUCAAAAUUGGUGGUGCUCCCGAAAUUUGAUCAACUUGGGAGUUAUAUGUUUCCACUUUUUUGUCAUUCACUUCAAUCUUCUUCUCCCCCGAUUCAAUUCGCUUUGUCAGCUCCUCGAACAUUUUCAAGAUAGCGGGGUCGGUUCCUGACUCAUUCACAUUUGACCUCCCUAACACUUGUUCGGCCCUGUGAACAAUUUCCUGUGAUGGCUCGGGUUCGACCCUACUCGGUGUGUUGUUCUGAUUUUGAAGUUGUGCUAUUGCAGCUUGUUGAGCCUGCAGUUUGUCUUUCUAUAUCUUUGUGUUAUUGACAAAACAUGACUUGUCAAGAAAGUUAGUUGGUGACAUAUAGAAAGUUGGGUACAUGUAGCUUUUUAUUGUCUAUUGCUUUCUAUAAUUUGGACCUCGGUAUUCUGGUUUGCGUAUUUGAUUCAGAGGCUCUUCAGCCAUAUUAUUUUGAUGUUAAAUCAAAAUGAUCAUCAUUUAGAGAACCUAGUUACUUUACGAGAUAUAUAUGAAUUGGCAUAUUGCUCUACAUCCUUGUUUUCUUUAGACAUAAGAGGCUUGAGAAGUAUGAUUGAUACCUUGUUUUGUAAAUUGCUAGAUAGAAAUUUGAUACUCGAUUGAAGUUUAAGUAUUUUUCUUGAGGUGUGUCAAGAGAAUAUACUAUGAGCAGAAGUUAACAUAAUCAGUACUGAGAUAUGCAGAAAUAUGUUUUCAAUUUCUUUAGUCCGCUAAGUCACGCAAUUGAGUCAGUUGUUGGUUAGCUUUAUUUGAGUUUCCUGUUGAAUUGACAUCCAUAUUUACUUUGAGUCUGAUCAACAACUUUUAUGUAUUUUAUGAGUUACAUGGUGUCAUUGCUAGGAGUUAGAGUUAGACUAAAAGAGUGUUUGCUUCUUGUAAACACUCGCCGAAAUUUAACUUUUAUAUGUGAUAUAACUUUUUAUGCAGGGAAUAUGAAUUGGAGCUUCUGAGGAAAGAUAUCUGAGAAAAGAUAUUCCGGGAGAUGAAGAUGAGUUUAAAAAAUUAGUUAAAAAAUCCCCCAAAUAGCAGUUCUGUUUGGUUAAAUAGACAUGACAUUUCUGGUAUUUUUAGCCGAUGUUAAGAAGGCAGACUCAAUGCAGAUUACACCGAGUGCUCAUUCAAAAAUGUUGCAAGAAAUGACUAUGAUUCUUUUUGGAAUUUUAGUUUAUCUGAUGAUGUAAUAUUGAAGUACCUAUACUUAUUUUUUAAUAAUAUAUAUUUUACUUAAUUGAUGGCUUGUAUUUGUGUCAGAAUUAUUCUAUAGUAUUUGACAUGUUUUGAUACAUUUGCAUGAUAAAGAUGAUUAAUUAUAAGAAGAUAAAUAAGUAAAUAAGAUAAUGAAACCUAAUUGUGGCAGUUUUGACUGCCAGUUUAAACAUGUAGUACAUAUGGGAACACAAUUCGGGCGAUUCGGAACCACCGUAUUAUGCAAUUUUGAAACCGCCGCUUUAUCAAAUGUUAGAUUAUGGCAGUUUUUGAAAAACCCCGCAAUAUGUUAUUGGCGAGUGAAAUUCUGGCAUUUAUCGAAAUCGCCAUUUCAGUCUAUUGUGGCGGUUUUAAACCGCCAUUAUACGCCAAAAUAACCGUCGUUAUAACACUGCUUUUUUGUAGUGCGCCUUCUUCGCCGCCCUGUGAGUUCUGACCGGCUGAUCGAACGUCUUUGCGGACGCUAUUUUUGGGGUCGACGCCCAAAUUUGUAUUCAGGGCAACAUAGGAACUGGCGUCGACAGGGUCUGCAACUGGUACUCCCUCGAGGUCAACUGGAAGCACUUUGUUUCCUGGGAUAGCUACGUUGUCGUUUUCUCCAUGAAAACCAAGGCCGUUAUCGAUGUGUGUGGGCACUGCUUGAGAGUUCGACAUGCUGAUCUUGGAAUCAAAAACGCUUACAAAAACAAGUGUAAAGUAGUGUGUGUUAUGAAAAUUAGCACCAGACAAUCACUAUUAUCCUUAGCCCCACGGUGGGUGCCAAACUGUUUAUCCUAAAAACGAAUAACUAUUGAAUGUAUAUGUGGUUUUAAGGACACGUGAUUUUACUUGGCACAAACUGAGAAAAUAUGCAAAUUGAUAUUGAAAUUGACCGUAAAGAAAAGUAAAAGCAAACCAAAUGAGAUGUGCAGCUUUGGCCCUCGAACCAAAUGAAAUAGCAAAUGAAAUAUGAGCAGAGUAACAGAGUAUUGAGAACCUAAAGAAAAGAAUAGUAUAUUGCUUUUUACUGUCUCAGUCCCCUCUACAAAUGAUCAGAUCCCCUUUAUAUAUUAGGGGAGUCCUAGUCUUGAUACAAUUCUAAAUACAGUAAGGAUUCUCAUGAUAGGCUAAUUAAUCGGCCUCUUCUUGAUAUGUGCCGUGAUUUCCGCCAAGAUCCUCCCCCUAAUUGCGGCUAUAACGGUUUUUUUGUUUCUUGGCUCGAUCUUGAUCCUGGCCGAUCUCGAUCUUCAUCGGUCUCUGGGUCUUCGAGCUCGAUCUUGGCCGACCUCGAUCUUGAUCGGUCUCUGGGUCUCGAGCUCGACAACAUAUACUUCGCACCAUGGCUCGAUAUUACAAUGAUGAACCUUGGACCAUCAUGUUCCAAUCUCGAUUAAUCAUACGAAGGACAAAACUUGAUUUUGACCAUAUACACUAAACUGAACUAAAAAUAAGUUAAACAAAUCUAUUAAUUUUAAAAGUCUAUGUAAUUGAUACUUAAUAGACGAAAACAAUUGCCAAAUAAUUAGGAUUUUGGGAAAAGGAAUGAAAGAAGGAAAAUCCGUAAACGUCAAUGAAUGCAAGAAGAGCAAAUUGGGUCAUUUAUUAGGUUUUGAGAUCCAAGGGGAAGCACGUGCUAAAGGGCAUCUAAUAAAGCAAAACUCAUUCGCUUUGGAAGUACUUUUCCCAAAGUAGGCACGUGUCAAGGAUUUGUGACGGCGUCAGAUUUCAGAAUGCCCUCCACCUUUCUAAAUGACCAAAUUAUCCUUCUAAAUUUUCUUUUCUUCCCAACUUUCGAAAUCUCAUUUCGUCGGGAAAAUGUGUCGGUCGGUGCUUUUUUUCAUUUUUUGGGACGGAUAGACGUGCACGCUUUAGUACGGUAGGCAAAUAGCUUUCUAUUUUUUUGUCAAAAAGUUUAGACACGUAAUUUAAGUGGUGUUCUGCAUCCGUCCAAUUUCACAUAGGAUAAAGUACAAACUUAAAUGAAUUGAAAUUUAUAAAUAAAAUGUGUUAAGCAUAUUUUUGUGGUAAUAAAAUCAAAUUAUUAAAGAAAAAUUAUAAAUUUAAAUUCAAAUAAUUUGUAAAUAUAAAAAAUAUCUUUCUUACUAAAACAGAUUAAGAAAAAGUGUUUUGAAUAAAAUGUGAUAGGAGUAGGGGUGUUCAUGAUUCGGUUUGGAUCGGUUUUUUCCUAAAAAUAAACCAAACCAAUUAAGUCGGUUCUUCAAAUAUUGGAACCAAACCAAACCAAAUAUUCGGUUUUUAUUGGGUUUUGUCGGUUAUUUAUCAAUAUUUUUUUUAAAUAUGAGACAUACACUGCCAAACACAUAUUUCGGCGAGUACAUUUUCAACGUAACACUAUCAAACCAAUUGUUCUUUGAGAAAUCUAUCAAUUAUCAAGAUAUAUUGAUGAUAAUUGAAUGAAAUAGUGAUGAAUAAUUUAAUUACCAAUCAAACUAGAAUAUAAAAAUAAAUAUUAGAUUAUUAUAAUAACAAAGAACUAACCUAAAAAUAUAAAUGACUAAUAUGUACCAUAAAAUUUUAGAAACUUUAUAUAUAUAUAUAUAUAGGUAUAAUAAUAAAUUUAAAUAGCUAUUUCUAUAGUCGGUUUGGUUCGAUUUUUUUUCGGUUAUUUUUUUAUUAAAACCAAAACCAAACCAAAUUUGAUCGGUUUUUAAAAUUAAAAACCAAAACCAAACAAAACCUAAAAAGUAUCAGGUUUUUUUGUCGGUUUAAUUCGAUUUUCGGUUUGGAUCGAUUUUUUGGGUUUGUAUAAACACCUGUAGAUAGGAGUAUCAUAUAGUAUUGUAACCAAAAGGUAUUCUAUUUUUGUAUAUUCUUAUAUCGUUUUAGAUAGGAAGCUCUAAUUUCUGAUUGUAGUAUCUAUAUCCGUAUUAUGGAUUUUCUAUUACAGUCCCUUUAAUUGGUAAAACUGUAUUUAUAGUCCAAUACAGUUUUGGCAAUAGCACUAGAACGGUUGCCGCUAUUAUCUCCUCAUACCAACUUUUAGCUUUCAGCAUGUAGUAAACAUUUACUGCACUUUUAUCUUAUAGCUAUUGAAUUUUUUUUUCUGUAGUUGACUCCAAUGAAAUUACAACGACCUUCAUAAUUUACUCUAUAACAGUAAUCACCCUCUAAAAUGAGGAAAACUUGAUCUUUUUCCUAUUGUGUUUGAUGUGCUAUAACACCACAUAUCCUAAGAAUUACCGCAUUUAUCAUAAAUGGCUAUAAGGGAGUACAUGUCCUUUCAAGACCAAAAUAUAUUUUCACUUUUACUUGUUAAUUUCAACAAAUCAAGAGAAUAUUUUUUUUCUUAUUUUACUAUUAAUAUUAACUACUCAUUUCUCAAAUCAUUUUCUAAGACUCCUUAAAAAUUAUCAUUAUUAUGAAUAUUAUGAUAAAAUAUAUACUUUAUUUAUUAUUUUUAAGGAACAUGCUAAGUUAAUUGUGAAUAAGUAAAAGUGAAUGAAGCAGUACUACUUAUCCUUUGUCUAGACUUCUAUUUUCCCUCUAGUUAAUGACCUUUUGGCUACUGAUCAAGGUUCAUUAAAUAUGUUACUACUGACCUGUUGUGUUUGUUGAAUUUUACUCUAAAAGUAAGUUAGCAUUGAUAAGCACAUAUUGACGUAAUCGAAAACCAAUCAUUCAUUUGAGAGGAUAAUCUCCAUCAAUACCUAUCGUAGUGAUUCAAGCUCACAAAAUUAUAUUUAUCCGUAAAACGAUAUAGUUGAAUUUAUACGUGAUUUAUAGACAAAUGAAUUAAUUUGAUCCAAAAAUAAUAGAUGAAUUAGACAGAAAUAUAAGACUUAAUCUUAAAAUCAAAAUAGACGGCAGAUAUCUUGGUUUCGGGCGCAGAGCUACCGGGAGCAAUAAGAACAAUACAAAUAAGCAAGAAGUAAAAUAUUAUUGUACUUUUGAUAGAAUAUAGUGUAUGCUUGUCAGAAAAUUGGUCUCCCUUACAAUGAUAGUAGAGCUCACUAUUUAUAGUUGUACCUAGGGAACAAAGUCCUAGGAUUAAGCUCCUCUUUAAUGAUAAUUAUGAGGGCCAUUAAAGGAUGUGUAAUAACGGGUAGUGAAUGUCAUAUUCUCUGUAACGGAUCAUGCACUUAAUGCUGUAGAAUAUUUUUCAUUGAAUGCCACCGAAUGGCGGCAUUAAUUUUAUCGUUAUGACUAUCAUUCUCUCCGAUGACAAGCGAGAUCAUUGCCUUCGGGUUUAGCUAUCUCCUGCCUUUGGUUCCAUAUGUCUCUUUCUCAUGUGAUCAUUAAAUAUGAACAUAUUUUAUCCCAUACAGAUAGUCCCCCUACUUCUCGAUGGCAUAACUUUGUGUCACCGGAAUAUUGGUAGAAAUAUCUUUUUUGGCGGAAAAUUCUCUGAUCCCCUCUGAAAAGCUUCUGACGGUUGAUUAUACGUACAUUUCUCCGUAUUUAAUGCCCCAAACACGCGUCAUCCCAUGAUUUAGCAUCACUUUUGCCGGUUAUCGAGGUAAUUAUGUCAAUAAUUUUAGCCGCCUAUACCUUUACUUAUACGCAUCAAACCUCUUCAUUUACAUUUCAUAAUUCUCUACACUUCCUCAAACUCUCUUUACUCAAAUCGUACUUUGUCUUUAACCUUUCUUUAACCUUCUUCUUGAUAGAAAAACCUACCCUUAUUUCUGAUAAAAAAUGGCCUCUUCUUACAGAAACCCUAGUUCUUCAAAGAGCAAAGGUAAAGUUGAUGACGCCGUUCCUCUUACGGUAAGCACUAUCAUCCCAGAGAGUCUUGUCACAACCAAAGAUUUUGAAGAGAAGUUUCCUUCUGCUAACACUCGUACGUGGGUCGUGGGGUAUACCCUUCUUCCAUCCGUCCUUCCAGCAUUUCCACUGUGAAAGAAAACUGCAAUUACCAAGAUUUAGAUAUUAUUGCUCCUGAUCUGGCGGAGCCAAUAACUCUACCCAAGAAGGGUUUCACGUAUUUUUAUAUGUAUCCCUUCACUUUGGGGCCAUUCUCUUUGAGCGGGGAGCUUGAUUCCGUUAUUGUGAAAUUUUGCAUCUGUUACCAAGUGUGCAUGGCACAGGUAAGUCCUUCUGUGUAGAGGACAAUCAUUUUGUCUUCGGUGUUUGUGCUAGGAGACGGGAGAUGAGCUAACCCUAGAUUGAUUAAUGAAUCUUUAUUCCCCCAAAAUUUUUCGCAAGGGAAUGAUAAACUUCAGCAAGCAUGGCCACCAUGCCCUACUGGCCAGCAUGGGUGAUGAAAAUGACCGUGGAUGGAUGGAACAGUUUGUUGCAGUUGCCCCCAAGGACAUCAUUCCGGCCAUGGCGUCAUCCUUUUCGGAGUUGUGGAACCGUGCUUGUAAGUCCAUCUUUUAUCCCUUAUUCUAGUUAAAGAUCAUCCCAUGUUGUCACUGAUUCCUUUUCUUUUACUUGUUUUAGCAACUCGGUGGGUUCCACUACAGGUUGAAGGUUUGGACCAGUGGGUCCAAAAGAUUUUGGACGUCACUACGCCAGAAACCCGUACGUGGAAGGAAUUAGCCCUCAAAUACUGAUGGAAGGCCAAAAAUCAUGGUAAAUAAAACUCAAUCUUAUUUUUCCCUUUCAUGUAAGGAAGUUGUUUACACCUUUUUUCCUUUGUUGAACUCAGGUCUAUCCCAGGGGCUCAAUUGUUGUCCCUGAGGAGGAUGUUUUGGAUGAUCCUACUGAUGCAGCGAGGCUGCUGCAGAAAGCCUUUACAAAACAGGUAUUUUUGGACCUGCUUCUGGUGCAAGUGCUUCUUCUCGGAGUCCUCGGUCGGAGAACAAGCAACAAAAGAGGAGACGCUCAUAUGUGGCCGGGGAAAAAAAUAAAAAGGCAAAGAGCGCAUCAGCUGAGUUCUUCGGAUGUUGUGGUGAUGAGCGUUGCGUCCGAGCCGGUCCUAGAAACUAUGGUGAUCGAUGAUGAUGGAGAAGCCAAUGAUGAUGAGGCUUCUCUAUAUAGAAGACGACGACAUUCAUCAACUCAACGGAAUGCUCAAUCUGUUGAGUUAGCUACACCAACCGAGGACGAUGCCUAGGCACUCUAGGGGGAGUUUGAUGUGGUAGAAGAUGCCAACUCACGCUUCUGAGUCCCAGCUGCCGCGCCCGGUACUAUAGGGCUAAGUACCGGGCCUCUUCCGUCUCCUGUUGACGAGCAACCAUUAACCAACACUGCACCUGCCGCAACUGCUUCUCGUCCUACAAUGCCAUCUGCUUCAUCUCCCUCUUCUCCAACUCAACCUUCGCCACCAGCAGCUGCUACAUCAUUUUCGCCAGCCGCAGCUUCCCGAGAGGAGGAUGUCCCUCUUCCCUAGUCCCCAGUUCAUGGGAACCUGGGGCAAAAUUAUGCUGCCCCCUCAGAAGAUCCCCAAAGGAGGAGGAGCGCCAUCCUCUCAAUUUCCACCGGAUGCAAUUUGUUGUUCCGGUCGGUGGAACUUGCUAACUAUCUAAAGCCCCUGGCUUCAGAGAAAGACUAAAACAAGAUACAAGCUCUCUCGGGAGAAGUUUUGUUGAACAAUGCCAUGCACAACGCAGCGGCGGUAUAGUCUUUGUUUUCUUCUAUUGUUUCUUCUACUUGUGUUAUGGCAAAGUUUUGAAUUUGCAUUCUUGUUUUGUAGGCCAACUUCCUUGCCUCUGAGGGUCUUCAAAGGUUGAUUCGUGAUAAGGAGAAUCUUACCUCCGAGCGGGAUUAACUUUCGGCCGAGAGGGGCCAAAUUGUUGCUCGCCUCUCAGAAUUUGAAGCUUGAGUUGCUGAGGCUGUUGAAUUGGCAGCUCGGUUUCAGCAAAGUGAGCAGGAAGUAAUGACCCUUAGCCGAGAGGUUGUCCCAUUAAGGGCACAAUAUGAAUAAACUAAGGCCAAAUGGGUUGAAGUCCAUAUGUCGUCCUUGCUGCAUCCGAUCGUGAGGCUGCCUCUGAUGAAAGAUUGCAUAAUUUGGAGGCAACCUUAAAUUCCAAGGCUGAAGAACUUGCUAUUGUCGAGGAAAAGCAUGCCCGGUUGGAGGAGAAAUAUAAGAAAAUCUUAGAGCGUAAUAAGAUUUAUGGAUCCACUGUCCGUGAUUUUAAUUCCAGCCUCCGAUCUAUGAGAUUCGCGUGAGAUAACCUCUUUACUGAGAUUGACCAGCUUAAAGGAGAACUUCAGCGCCGAACGGCUUCCCUCAUUGUUGAAAAAAUAUAUGCCAUAUAUAGCAUGAGGAGAAAGACCUUGGAAGAGGCUAAAACGGGUGUCAUUGACUUUGAUGCUAAAAUCGCUAAAGCCCGUGAGCUGGAGUUGGCUGCUAAAAGGGGUCUUCCGGCCAGGCGUGAUGCUACCGAUUCUUCUAGUUUCGGUUCUGAGUUCUCGGGAACUGAAGAGGAACCGAAAGGCUAAUGAUGCUGAAAGCCAAAAUGACGAAGGCCAGGAUAUCAAACCGGUGGCAGAUCUAUCUACUUCUCCUGGGGGAGAGGAUGCUUCUCUUCCUCCGGGUUCCGGAGAUGCAACGGAUUAGUCCUUGAUUUCCUUUUCAAAUUUUUGUAUUGGUGCCAUUUGGCACACUUAUCAUAAAUAAAAAUAUGUUUUCGUUCAAGUAUCGUAUAAGUUUCCCUUUCUGCGUACCUUUGUUUAAACAUUUGCGCAAGUUUGCCCUUUGCGUCUUUUUUCGUUUAAGUGUUUGCGCAAGUUUGCUCUUUGCGCCUUUUUUCGCUUAAGUGUUUGCAUAAGUUUUACUGUUUGUGUCUGAUCAUGCAAGGCUUUGGGUGUAUUUUCCCCCGAAAGCAUUUGGAUUCCGGGCAUAAGUUCUUCCGAAAUCAACCCUUUCACGUGAGGGUUUUCAUAAGAGAGGGCCCUAUUAUGUUUACGGUACUCUUAAAGAGGACGUCUCUUGUUCGUUACGGCACUAGCAUUUUAAGUACUUGUUUAACUUUCAAAUGAUAAAAUCAAUACAUCAUUUAGACAAGAAACAAGAUAGGAAUAAAAGGACUUUAAUUUAUUCCUUCCAUUUUCAAAAGUACACAAGCAUUCGUUGUGCUAAAAAGAAACUACCAUUUCUUGUGGCUAACUUGUACAACUUGUUUCAACGGGGCUUGCCAUGCAGUACCCGGUCCCGAUGAUACAACUCUGUUUCCGGGUUUUAUAUUCCAGUCGAAGUGGCAGUCGUUGUUUCCAUAUCCUCAUAUCAUCCCCCCUAGUGUUCAAAUGCGAAGAAUGUGAAUUUGAACACUGGAGUUUCACACCCUCGAGGAUUCCACUAGUGAAUUGCUAGAUAAUUUUCAGUUCGGUAACAAACUUCACUUUCCCUUAAGAAUUUAUGCUAUCGAGCCAAAUAUUAUCUAACAAUCCCCAAGUGAUUUUCACUUUUGAACGGUCGGGUAAUCUCUGUUCGGCAGCAAACUAAACUUCCCGGUAGGAACUUUGCUAUCGAGCAAAAGACUAUCUAACCGCUCCGUAGUGGUUCGUCGCUUGUAUGCCUUGUCAUUAAAAGGUCUUAUUGCUGCUGUUGAAGCUUCCUUUGUAGAAUGCUUUCCGUUGUUGCCUCAUUAAAAACCUUGCCAGAAAAAUCCAAUUGGGACAAAAAACGGACGAAGAGAAAAAGAGUGCAGCACAUACUUUUAGUAUAGGUGAUGUUCAUCAACAAUAUUACCUCUUGAGGUGUGCCACAUUCCAGUUGAUUGGAAACAUUUCUCUAUCUUGAUUCUCUAACUCAUAUGACUCUUUCCCGGUGAUAGCUGAAACCUGGUAAGGGCCUUCCCACGUUGGACCCAACUUUCUCGCAUUGAGUUUCCAGGUGUUCUGAGUUACUUUCCUUAAAACCAAGUCUCCUACUUUGAAGUAACGGAGGUUGGCCCUUUGAUUGUAAUAUAUCUCUAUUCGCUGCUUUUGAGCUGCCAUCCUUAUAUGCGCCAAGUUCAUGCGUUCAUCAAGCAGCUCCAAAUUGACUAACAUUGCUUAAUUAUUUGCUUCUUUGUUUGACCGGAAAUAUCUCAUGGUAGGUUCACCUACUUCCACCGGGAUUAUGGCUUUUGCCCCGUACACAAGAGAAAAAGGAGUCUCUCCCGUGCUUGAUUUGGCUGUUGUUCGGUAUGCCCAUAGUACGUCUGGAAGCUCUUCGGGCCAUUUUCCUUUAGCUACUUCUAAUAUCUUUUUGAGAUUUUAUAUGAUCACUUUGUUCGCUAAUUCUGCUUGGCUGUUUGCGCUCAAAUGAUAAGGUGAUGAUGUGAUCCUCUUGAUUUUCAAAUCUUCGAAGAAUUUUGUGAUUUUUGCGCCUAUGAAUUGUGGCCCAUUGUCGCGGGCUAUUUCUUUUGGUAUCCUAAAUCUGCAAAUUAUGUUCUCCCAUAAGAAAUCUACUACUUCACGUUUGCCGAUCUUCUGAUAAGGACCUGCUUCAACCCACUUAGAAAAAUAGUUAGUUAAAAUCAAAAGAAAUCAUACCUUAUCGGGGGCCGGUGGAAGCGAUCCGACGAUAUCCAUUCCCCAUUUCAUGAACAACUAUGGUGAUAGAACUGAGUGCAGUGGCUUUGCCGGUUGAUGUACCAACGGUGUAUAAUGUUGACAUUUGUCACAUUUUUGAACAUAUGCUUUGGCAUCUUGUUCCAUCCGGAGCCAAUAGUAUCCUGCCCUUAUUAAUUUUAGUACUAAGGAAUCUGCGCCCGAGUGGUUCCCGCAGAUCCCUUCGUGGACUUCUCGCAUAAUAUAGUUAGCCUCGUUGGCUCCCAAACAUCGGACCAACGGGCCUUGAAAAGAUUUUCUGUAUAAUUGACCUCCUUUGAAACUAUAUUGUGCGGCCUUAGUUCGCAGCGCCUGAGAUGCCUUAGGAUCCUCAGGCAGUUUUCCGUGUUUGAGAUAGUCAAUAAUUUUGUUUCUCCAGUCCCAGACCAAAUUAGUCUCGUUUACCUCGUAAUAGCUAUCUUCGUCCAAAACCGAGUGCAUAAGCUGUAUGAACGUACCGUAGUUCGAUCCUUUCAUUUUUCGUGGACGAGCUAAGGUUAGCUAAUGCAUUUGCUUCUGCAUUUUCUUCCCUCGCGAUAUGCGUGAUUGAACACUCCCGGAACUGAGCGAGUAGAGCCUGAACCUUCAUUACGUAUUGUUGCAUGCAUUCCUCCUUGGCAUCGAAGAUCCCGUAGAUCUGAUUAACCACCAGCUGGGAGUCACAUUUGAUUUCUAUGACUUCGGAGUCCGUUCCUCGGGCCAUUUCGAGCCCUGCAAUCAAAGCUUCAUACUCCGCGUCAUUUCUAGUCAGCAGGACCGUUCUUAUAGCCUGCCUUAAGGUUUCCCUCGAGGGCGUGGUUAGUACUAUGCCGAGCCCGGACCCUUUUACGUUGGAAGCUCCAUCCGUGAAUAGGGUCCAAACUCUUGAUGUAGAUUCUUCCACCAUCACUUCUUCUUUGGUUGCCAAAGGUAACAGUCCCGGACUGAAAUCGGCCACAAAGUCGGCCAAAACUUGUGACUUAAUCACAGUCCUAGGUUUAUAUUCUAUGUUAAAUUCACUCAUUUCAGCGGCCCAGUUGGCCAGCCUACCUGAAAGUUCGGAUUUAUGAAGGAUAUUCCACAGGGGAAAGGUGGUCACCACAGCUAUCGGAUGACAUUGGAAGUAAGGCCUUAGUUUUCGAGCGGCGACUACGAGAACUAAGGCCAAUUUCUUUAGAUAUGUGUAGCGAGUUUCUGCUCCCGUUAAAAGUUUACUAACUUAAUAGAUAGGAGAUUGCAUACCUUCAUCCUCACGGACUAGAACAACACUUACCGCUACCUCCGAGACUGCUAAGUAGACCAACAGUUUUUCGCCUUCCUUCGGUUUCGAUAACAACGGAGGACUUGACAAAUACCUUUUCAAAUCCCUCAACGCUUGUUGACAUUUCGUGGUCCAUUCGAAGUUCUUCUUCUUUUUGAGUAGCGAGAAAAAAUGAUGGCAUUUCUCCUAAGACUGUGAAAUGAAUCCACUCAAAGUGUCCAACCUCCCCGUUAGCCUCUGAACCUCUUUUACGCUUGAUAGCUAGUCCGGGAUGUCUUCGAUGGCCUUGAUUUUAUUGGGGUUAACCUCGAUCCCCCUUUGUGACACUAGAAAUCCCAAGAACUUACCGGAGUUGACCCCGGAUGCACACUUCUCAGGGUUAAGCUUCAUGUUAUGCUUCCUUAAGAUGUAAAAAGUUUCUUGCAAGUGUUUGAGAUGAUCACCUGCGUUUAAAGACUUAACAAGAAUAUCAUCUAUGUAAAAUUCCAUGUUUUUCCCUACUUGCUUUUCAAACAUCUUGUUCACGAGCCGUUGAUAAGUGGCUCCGUCUUUCUUUAGCUCGAAGGGCAUCACAUAGUAACAAUAUGUGCCAAAAUUCAUGAUGAACGAAGUUUUUUCCUGAUCCUCCGGAUUCAUUUUGAUUUGAUUGUAUCCGGAGUAAGCAUCGAGAAAACUCAUUAACUCGUGCCCGGCCGUUGCAUCAAUCAUUUGAUCAAUAUUUGGAAAUGGUAAAGAAUCUUUUGGGCAUGUAUUAUUUAAGUCCUUAUAGUCUACGCACAUGCAAAAUUUAUUCUUCUUCUUUGGAACUACUACUAUGUUAGCUAGCCAGUCAGGAUACUUUACCUCUCGGAUUGAACCGAUAUCAAGUAGGCGAGUUGCCUCUUCCUUGACGAAUUUAUUUCUAGCCUCGGUAAUAGGACUUUUUUUUGUCUUACUGGAGGAAUGCUGGGAUCCAAGCUUAGCUUGUGUACGGCCACCUCGAGCAGGAUAACUGUCAUAUCCGCAUGCGACCACACAAAACAAUCGACAUUAAAUUUAAGAAAUUCAAUAAAACCAAAUCUGAGUUCGGGAUGCAGUCCUGUUCCCAAGUGGAAUAUCCUCUCCAAGAAUUUCUCGAACAAUGCAACUUGAUCAAGUUCUUCUGCUAUGGACUUUAUUGUGUCGGUAUCCUCUAGUACCUGGAAAUACCUUGGCACCUGAUGGGAUUUCGAUGCCCCUUCCCCCUGGUUGACUUCGCUUGGCUCGGGAAUAGGCGCCGACUCCUGUAAUUGCUAUGCCGCAUGCUCCUUCCCUUUGCUACUGGAGACUGAGAUUGCAUUCAUCUCCUUUGCUUCCGGUUUUUCACCUCUUAUUUGUUUAACUCCCUCGGGAGUUGGAAAUUUCAGCAACUGGUGAUAUGUUGAUGGCACAACCUUCAUUUCGUGUAGCCAUGGCCUCCCUAUGAUGAUAUUAUAUCCCAUAUCUCCGUCCACUACCUCUAAAAGGGUCAUCUUCAUCACUCCCUCGACAUUCGUAGGCAGGAAGAUUUCUCCCCGGGUUAUCACGCUUGCCAGAUUGAUCCGGCGAGGAGUUUUGUGGAGGGAAUGAUACUUCCCGUGAGCUUGGCUUGCUCCAACACUCUCCAUUAGAUGAUAUUGGCCGAACUUCCUGGAUCCACCAGAACACUUUCAAUCUUGAAAUAUAAGACAUUUAGAGAAAUUACCAGGUCGUUAUGCGGUAGCAGCAGUCCAUCAACGUCUCCCUACGUAAAAGUGAUGUCGUCUUCAGCAACUUCCUGGAGUCUUUUGUUGUGGGUCACUGACACUUUCGUCUUUUUCGCCGCCGAAAAUGUAACCCAGUUGAUCUCGUUCCCCUCUAAAAUCAUAUUGAUCACCAGGCGUGGGGGAUCUUCUCCUGCUUUUGAAGGCUCUACAUUAUUACAAUUGCGACCGUAGUUGUUUUUAGCCCCGUCGCUCAAACAUUCCCUGAGAUGGCCGUUUUUCAGCAAUGUCGCCACCUCUUCGCGCAAAUGCCGAUGGUCCCUAGUCCGGUGACCAUUUGUCCAGUGGUAUUCCCACCACAAAUUAGGAUCUCUCUGGUCGUGAUCAAAUCUCAUUGGAUUCGGUAAUCGUGCUUCUUUAAUAUUCCUUAUAGCCGAUACCAGCUCCAUUACGCUGACGUUGAAGUUGUAUUUGGAAAGUUUGGGGUAGGAAGAAUUCGACGUUUCCUUGUUCUGCAAUGACCUGUUGUUCCGGCCGUGACCGAUUCUCCUAUCGAUAAUGAAUCUAUCCGCCGAUCGAAAACCUCUACCACGUCCUUCGGCCCAUUCAUAGCGCAAAAAUUAACUCCUCGAAGACCGUCGAUCCAUAUCAAAACUGUCUUUCGAUUUCUCUUUAUUUUUCUCCCGGUCCCGAACUUUAAUUGACGUCGAGAAACCGAGCUGAUCAUCUUCAAUCCUUAUUUUUGACUUGUACCGAUUGUAAACUUCUGCCCAAGUUGUUACUUGAAACUCGAGCAAACUUUUCAUCAACUUCCAAGAAGCGUCGGAACUUCCUGGAUUCAGACCUUUGGUAAAUGCUUCGGCUGCCCAUUCGUCCGGAAUGACUGGUAGCAACAUCCUUUCCUUUUGGAACCUCGUUACGAACUCCCGCAAUAACUCAGACUCUUCUUGCACAAUCCUAAAUAUAUCGGCCUUUCGGACCUCUACUUUUCUGGCCCCAACAUGAGCCUUGAUGAAAGAAUCCGCGAGCAUCUCAAAUGAGUCUUUGGAAUGCUCAGGCAAAAGCGAAUACCACGCCAGCUUACCCACUCCCCUUUCCCCCAUUGCUAUGAGCCUUGCCCUCUUGACUUGAUAUGUCAAGAAGACUACAACCGAUAGUGGAUCAACUUUUGCUUAAAAAGCCCCCCAUCUCAUAUAUAUGAUAAAGGAAGCAGGCUGUUUUUAGCUUCUUUUUUUUUUCUAGGGUCUAUGGUCUCUCUUAGUAAGAGUCUCCCCGAAUUUCUUCAGCAAAACGGACUCAAUCUCGUGGGGAGCUAAAUCAUUUUCCUUCACCGUCGUUGUAUAGGUGGUGAUAUGCUCCUGAGGAUCCGAAGCUCGUACUUACAUCGGCACGUCUUGAAUUUUAAACUGCUUCAGGAUUAGUUCUGUGCCGCGCUUGGUUUGUACGACAAUUAUGUGUACUUCUUUGAGUCCGGCCCUUUCAGCACUGGUGGUGCGCCCUGAAUUUGAUCCAUUCGGACAUUUACUUCCCUCAUAAAUUGCAUGAGUUUGAUUUUAAAGGGAUCACUUUCAUUGUUGUGAUUGAAUCCGUUCCCCCAGCCCCAUCGGAGCCGACCUCGCCCCUCGGGGUAUUAUUAUCGACCCUCUACAUCAUUUGUUUUUUGGGAGGACCGGGGAGAACUGGACCUCACCCAUUCGCGUUGUUGACAUUCCGUCAUAACCUUAUCCUGCCGUGUGAGAUGGCCUAUAAUGGCCUCUUGUUGCUCUUGCAAGACCCUGACUGCUUUGAUGACGUUCUCUUCUUCAGCAUCAUCAAGGGUUGCCUCCCGAACAUGUCGCGGAUAUCGGUCGCCGUUGUCUGGCUUGGUCUCGUUCCCCUCGUUGCAUGUAUUACUGACUGAAUUCUUGUGCUGAGGCUGAUUUCUUUGGGCCUCAACGUUGUGUGUAUUGUUAACACCAUUAUCUGCCAUUUUUAAUGAUUUUUACUAAGAACAAAGAAUUAAACAAGUUAGUAACAGAUGCAGGGAUCAAUUCAAUUGCACGACUGUCUAUGCCCCACGGUGGGCGCCAAACUAUUUACCCGUAAAAUGAUACAGUUAAAUUUAUACGUUAUUUAUAGACAAGUAAAUAAAUUUGAUCCAAAAAUAAUAGAUGAAUUAGAUAGAAAUAUAAGACUUUUCCUUAAAAUCGAAAUAGAUAGCAGAUAUCUUGGUUCCGGACGCAGAGCUAUCGGGACAAUAAGAACAAUACAAAUAAUCAAGAAAGUAAAAUGUUAUUGAGAUUCUGAUAGAAUACAGUGUAUGCUUGUUAGAAAAUUCGUCUCCCUUACAAUGAUAUGCUUGUUAGAAAAUUCGUCUCACUAUUUAUAGCUGCACCUAGGGCAAGGUCCUAGAAUUAAUUUAAUGACAAUUACGAGGGCCAUUGAAGGAUGUGUAAUGGCGGGAAGUGAAUUCCAUAUUCUCUGUAACGAAUCAUGCACUUAAUGCUAUAGAAUAUUCUUCAUUGAAUGCUAUCGGAUGACGGCAUAAUUUUAUCGUUAUGAGUAUCAUUCUUUCCGAUGACAAGCGAGAUCAUUGUCUUCGGAUUUAGCUAUCUCCUGCCUUCGGUUUUACGUGUCGUUUUCUCAUGCGAUCAUUAAAUAUGAACAUAUUUUACCCCCACACAAACCCCUUUUUAGAUCCUUGGUUUCUUAGCUUUGGAGUACCUAUUAGUAUGUGGUAAACGAUAUCAAUUUACACUAGUUAAUGUCGUUUAAUGUAAGGUUUAAGUUGUAUACACUAAUAGUAUAGAAAUUAUUUACACAACCAUGCUAUUUAUUAGGCAAUUGCAUAUAAAUUUGUUUAUCACGCACUAAUUUAUAAUCUUGUAAAAACGGUAACUACCUUGCUAAUAUGUAAAUUUGCUAAUAGUGUAAUAAAAGUUUUAUGCUCUUAGUGCAAAUAGCUUAACUCUUAAUUAACCAUCUUUUAUUAGGAAAAGUAACACCAUCCUCUUAAUUUGAGUUAUGGUAUGAUGAUGGGUGCACAUGACUUUACAUCUUGUUUGGAUGAUUGUUAGUCACUGUAUCGUAUUGUAUUGUUAUCCCAUAACAAUAUUUGUUUCGAUUGUUUCAUUAAAAUUAGUUGUAUUGUACUGUUAAAUCUAUUGUUCUGGAACAAUGAAAAGUCUCAUUUUUUGAAUCAACCGAUUUGAUGUGCUGGGAUUAUUUUCUAUUUUUCUUUCCAAUUAUGUCCUAACUUAUUACUCUAUAAUUUUAUUUUUCCCUUUACCUUUUUUUAUUUUUAUUUUAACUCCAAAUCUCCAACCUAUAACCUACUUUGCCAUCGUCCCUUUUUUUUUUUCUACAACUUCUGCUGCUUCCAACUAUAACGUCAAAGGUGUUUUGCCUUCUUUUGUUUUCUCCUAAUUUGAUUUUAUCUCCAAUUCUAAUUUAUCUUUGUUCUAAUAGUUCUCGUUCCUUUCUUUAUCAUAGUUCUUUAACAUUUUAUUUAUUAUUAUUUAUUAUUAUUAUUAUUAUUAUUAUUAUUAUCUAGUUAGGAAUGGAGUGUACUUAUUAUUGUUUUUAAUAUUAUUAACUUGUUCCACUAGUUUUGUUAGAAUUUGCAUGAAUUUAAUUGCUUAAUCUAUUUAUAAGACAUAUUUGGUAAUAAAUUAGUAGAAAGAGAUUUUUUAAAAUUAUUUUUUUGCGUAAUUCAUGAUAAAUUUAAUAUUUAAAUAAUUAAGGGUAUUUUAGUAAACUUAUCGGUUACAGUACAGUACGAUACAGUCAAACCAAACAGCAAAAUGUUAUUUAACAAUAGCAAACAAUACAAUCUAUCCAAAUGUUGUAUUUAUAAAACGAUACAAUACAAUACAUUAUAAAACAAUAGGUAAUAAUGAUCCAAAUAGAGUGUUAGUUCAAAUUCAAAAGACUAGUGGUCUAGGAGAAAUGAGAAUGAAAGAAAUAAAUUUGAAAUUCAGAUCAAUUUAUUUGAAAAUAAAUUCUCUAGUAAUUCAAACCCCACAAGUCAAAGAGAAGUGGGACAGUUGGGUAAAAUUUAAACUAUUGCAAUGUAAUUUUCACCGUGUGUCCUUUACACAACGGGAGAGAAAAGAAACCUUUUCUUCUACAACACUGUCAUUACUACCCUAUCAUCUUCUGCCUCUACAAUAAAACGCUCGCAUAUGUUUUUUCUUUUUUCCUUUUUCCAAAUCUCCCAGGAAUAUCAUUCCUCUCCAUUCCAUUGUAAUUUCUAAAAGCAUCUACGAAAUUCCCUAGAGAAAAAGGGUUGUUCAUAUUGUACUAAUUGGUGUAUUCUACAAAGAAACGUAUAGGAGUACAUUUUUUUUUUCUUCCAUUAAUCGCUUUUUCUGAAAUGGGGUUUCUUUGAACUGGUUGUAAAUUACAAUGGACUUAAAGAAACUUUCAUUUUCUGAUCAAUUUUCUUACUUGGGUUCUUCUCCAAGAUGGAAGGUAGUUGUUUCUGGCUUUGGUUUGUUUCUUGCGUCUUCUUUCAUUUUCCUUUGUAUUUUACUGUUGAAUUAUUCCUUCAAGUCUCCAUUUUUAAGCCCUGUUUUUAGUGGUUUUAGUUAUAGUGAUAAUAGUACCCUCAUUUCUUGGCCAUUCUCUUCUUCUAGUAAUGUUAGUACUACUAGUGUUAGUUUUAGUUCUAAGGGUUCUCAUCAUUCUUUAGUAGUGAAUGGAACAAUUGAAGGAAGCAUACAUGAAGGGAACUUGUCUCAGAUUGUGAAAAAUGGAAAUCUUAAUGUUGAAGAAUCAGGGAUUACUAAGAAAAGUCAUGAAUUAAAUGGUUCUCAAGUUGAUGGAAGUGGGAAUUUUUCCAAUUUUUCUGGGAAAGGAACAGUUUUGGGGGAAAAGGGGGAAGUUUGGGGAAAUACCCAUGUGGGGAAUUUCUUUGAGAAUGUGAAAAAUGGAAGUUUUGUUGUUCAAGAAUCAGGGAUUCCCAAGAAUACCCCUCAAUUGAAUGGGACACACAUUGAUGGAGAUAUAACAUUUUCCAAUUUUUCUGGUGCUAGUGAUAGUGGUUCUGUAAAUAGUAAUGUGGGCACUCCUACUUAUGUUGAGGAUGUUGGAUCAAAUGGUGAAAGAAAAAAAGUUGCAGUGACUGAAGGUAAAGGGGGUGUAUCUGUGGAGCAGUUUGGUGGAAUUGGUUCAAAUGAUGGAAAAUCAUUGACUGGACGCGGCAAGGACUUUUAUGGGGAUUGUGAUAUAUUUGAUGGCGAAUGGGUUAGAGAUGACACGAAGCCACAUUAUCCUCCAGGUUCUUGUCCUAUUAUUGAUAGAGAUUUUGAUUGUCACCUUAAUAAGAGGCCAGAUGAUGGGUAUAUCAAGUGGAGAUGGCAGCCAUAUGCAUGUGAUAUACCGAGGUAAGAGUAACUAGUAAAUAAUCCUUCCCUUGGUGAAGGUCUUAUUCUGAGUUAUAAUAUUAUAUAUUGACUAUGAAUUAGAACGUAGGCUUUAGAAACCCUCAAUCAUGGAUAUUGCUAUAAUGUAUAGAGGUGAUACUUCAAAUUUGACUUUUGCCUUGAACUUACUGAACAAGUGUUGUGGAAAUACCUAAGGCAGAACAUAGAACCCUGUAAUUCCAAUGCUACUUGAAACACUAUAAUGUAUUUUCUGAUCAGUUGAUCCAGUAUGUUUCAAUUGCUUGUAAGUUUCUUAGGGGUGAUAUUUGUUGACUAUAUCUUGUGUGAAGUUUGAGUGCACACCUUCGAAUUGAACGUUUGACAUUAUUCACAUUGCUACUGGAACUUAUUUGAUUUAGAUAGUCUAUUUUGCUCAUUGAGUUAUAUUAGUCAGUUAAUUGAUUUUACUUUUUCACUUACUAGCCUCAAUGCAACUGAUUUUCUGGAGAGAUUGAGAGGGCAAAAGCUUGUUUUCGUGGGGGAUUCUUUGAAUAGGAACAUGUGGGAGUCCCUUGUUUGCAUUCUUCGCCACAGUAUCCGAGAAAAAAAGCGAGUUUAUGAGAUAUCAGGGAGGCAUGAAUUCAAAAAGAAGGGCUUCUAUGCAUUCAGAUUUGAGGCAAGACUUACCUAACAUCUUUCUGUGAGCUGCGAAUUGCUAUCUCUGUUUCCUUGUCAUCUUAUCAUGCUGUGACUUGCUUGCAGGAUUAUAACUGUUCUGUGGACUUUGUUAGCUCACCGUUUCUCGUCAGACAAUCAGCUUUUAAGGGAAAGAAUGGUCCUUUCGAGACACUAAGAUUGGAUUUGAUGGAAAAGACUACUUCAAUGUAUAGUGACGCUGAUAUAAUAAUCUUCAACACUGGUCAUUGGUGGACUCAUGAGAAAACCUCCAGAGGGUUAGUGCUGUAUUUUAUUUCUAAGGCUUCUUCUUUAUGGAGCUGUAUUGUCUUGUUAUUUCUUUUCGUAAAAGCUGGAUAUUGCAUGUCAUUGUUGGUUGAAAUAUGUAAAGUUGUGCUCUUUGUGGGAUUGUAGGGAAGAUUACUACCAGGAAGGUAAUCAUGUGCAUGCUAGGCUCAAGGUUUUAGAGGCGUACAAGAGAGCGCUUUCCACUUGGGCAAGAUGGGUGGAUAAGAACCUUGAUGGAAGCAGAACUCAAAUUAUUUUUAGAGGAUAUUCCGCCACUCACUUCAGGUACAAUUCUUUCUUACAUGUUAAUUUAGCUAGAACUCUAAUGGAGGAUGUCAUGAUCAGGAAUUCUACUUGUAACUUAUAUGUUGCAUUCCUUUGGUAUUGAGGUGUUCUUAAGGAAUCUUUUGUUUGAAAGUGGGCGUGAACAAGUUGAAUUGUAAUCCUUUUGUCCAAGUGCCAGGAGUCAUACACUUAACUGACAUUGUGGCUUGGAUUAAUCAACAUGUGUCGGUUAUGAGCUGAUGCCAUGUAUUUACUGUGUAUUCGGUUCUUAACUGACUGCAAACAUUGAAUAUUAGGGUAGAAAUUAGGGAAGUCCCGAGGUUACUGGCCGGGACAAUAUUUGUAUAGUAUAUUUCCAUACAUCGAAGGACCAAAAAUGCUGUGUAGCAUUUAACAGAACCGCUUCAAGUUUCAGAGGCUAAAGAAUAGAAUCAAUGUGGAUGUUGCAAAGAACAUAACAGAAUGCAAGCAAAGGAUCCAUAUAGGCGAUGCGGGAUGAGGACUUCGAGAGAGGUCUGGGAAGGUUUUCUCUAAAAAUGAAUGUUCUCCUGUGUUGCUAGUAGUCUUGUUUUGUGGUUAGAUGAAGGUAUAUGUUGUCAAGUGAGAUGGUCAAGUACUUGUGCUGGCUGCAAACUUACUGGCAGUAGAAGAAUGAUUGCUUUAAAUAUCAACUAGUAGCAAGAUAUGUUGAUUCCUUCAAAAUUAGAUAAGGUAGCACAUUUUUUUUGGAAUUCUUUUCUUUCAUUUACAUGUACUCUCCGAUGGUGUUGUCUCAUAUAGAAACUAGCAUGCUAUCAAUUUUGUUACAAUGAUCGUUCUCUUAUCCAUGUUCAUAAACAGUUUUAUGCUGUUUUACUCAGGGGAGGUCCAUGGAACUCAGGCGGGCAGUGCCAUAAAGAAACGGAACCAAUAUUCAAGAAGGCUUAUUUAAAAAAGUACCCUUCAAAGAUGAAAGUCCUACAUCACGUGCUUCAUAAUAUGACGACCCCUGUCAUCUAUAUGAACAUUAGUAGGCUCACAGACUAUAGAAAAGAUGGUCACCCGUCGAUAUACAGAAAGGAGUAUAAGACAGUAGAAGAACAAAUGGCGGGAGUGCACGCUCAGGAUUGCAGUCAUUGGUGCCUACCAGGAGUACCGGACACUUGGAACGAGCUGUUAUAUGCAUCUCUCCUGAAGAGCAGAAAAGGUUUGUGGAAAAACUGAAGUUGAACUGGAUUAUUUGUCCAGAUUCGUUUUGGUCAUUCUUUCAAUUUUUGGUACUUGUCUUUAUAGAGCAGGUAGCAUUACAGAGAGUUCUUGUGUAUUCUUGGAGUUGGAAAGUUGAUCUGUACAAUUUGUACAACAUUCUGCUAUUGAGGAAAAUAAAAAAAAGGAAAUGAUAAAGCAAAUUAUUGAUUAGCUGACAUUACCAGUAUAUUGAACGCUUAAGCAUUAAAUAUCCACAAUGAAUGGAGUUUGGUAUGCUUAUAGAAUAAUGCGUUUGCAGGUUAUAAUUCAGUAAUUUGCUUACCUAUCAAAAAAUUAAAAGGGCAUUAUAAUUCAGGGAUUAAAUAGUAAAUAAAUUGUGAAGUGGGAUUGGAUUGAAUGCAUAAAGAUUAUGGUAGAAUGUGUGAAUUUUUCACCGUAUUCGGAUAUUUGAUUGAUCACACUAAAAUAUGAGAUAUGGAUUCUAAUAUUAUAGCCUAUUUGGUUUGCAAUUGGAUUAAUUGUUUUCUUUUCAACCUUUGGCCUUGAUUUGAAAUUCGAAUCGUUCACAAACUAAGGGGGAUUAAAGUUUUUUUAUCAGCGUUAACCAUACUAACAAUACCAUCUUUCCUGUGAUAUUGGACAUUAUAUAGUAUAGUGUGUUGCUAAUACAUAGAACUACACACAGUUUGAAGAAUGCCAAGAAAUUACCAUCCAAGUAUCACGCGACCUUAGGGAAGCUAUAAGUAGUUUAGGUUUCUUCAGACUUUAAUUCUAAUUUUGAAAACUCGUGGUAGUGAACUUGUUUUACAAAAUCUACACGGUAUUCUAGAAUAAGAACAUCUAAAAUGUUUUAUACAGGAUGAACAGACAGAACCGUGAUUUUGAUGUGCAUAGAAUUAUUACAAUUUGCAAAUCGAGUACGUGUGUGUAUAUAUAUAGGCAGAAUACAUAAUUUGCCCCUGAACUUGAGGCUAAACAUAUAUACAUACAUAUGGUUUGAACUGAAAUUUGUGACUUUAUGAACAGCUGAUACCAAAAUGGCAGAAUCGGACGAGCCAUAUGUUCUUGAAUCACGAUCUAAAUGAGGCAGAUAAAGUAAUUGAUGAUUUUAGUCAUCGCCACUAAUGUUAGUCGGCGAAAUUAUAUGGCAUGAAAAUUGAGACAGUACAAACACAAUUCCAAGAUAGAACCAAAGAACACAUCAACACAACAUUUCAAGAGAAAGAGAUCUAUGACAAUCUUAACAACUCUAUUAUAAAUUUUUGAUAAGCCAUAUUAACUACACACUGCAUGUGACUUACAAAUAAAACACAAUUAUAGAAGACUGGAUAUAACAAUAUAAAGUACAACAAUAAGUAAAAAGCCAAGAAAGACUCCAAAACGGAGUCCAUUGCCGUUUCGUGACUUGCCGGUUCGCCAUGCUUUUGCCAACAUCCUUUGCUAUUAGUGUGAUUAUCAAUCCAUAAACACUUUCCUUUUUUGCUGCAUUUUCUGGAAUUCUAGCAGAGAAAUUGGCAAAGUAUGAACAAACUUGAAAUUGUAUUUGGAGGAAGGGCAUUUAAAAGUCCUUAAUUCACUCCAACUAAUUGCCUCUCUUUUCCUAAGACCCAUGGAUUGCUUCAUCCCACUGCAUUUUUUCUCACUUAAUAAUCUAUCAGAGUUUGAAACUGAUAGUUAGUGUGUUCUUGAGACAAGCUAGUGGUAAAUUUGCCCAUUGAUUGUUGCCUUAAAUAGAAGAAACUCAACUAAUCAUUACAUCAUAAAACCACUAUUAUUGUUCUUUAUCUUUUUCUUUUUUCACUAUUGCACCCCACCCAAAUCCCUUUUUCACCAUGAAAAGUUGGUGAGUCACAAAAGCAUUUUAGUGUUACGUGUAUGGUGGCACUUAGCAAUGAAAUCUCAGUUCAAAUAUCCUUUACCUAACAUUUUAAGCACACGAUCAAAAAAUUGUAUAAACGUGAAUCAAUGCACUUUAUAGCUAGAAAAAGUGAGUCAAAGGUCAAUUAUAAUUUAAAACACCAAGAUUAGGGACAUAGUAAAAGGUUGUAAUCUUGUUUCUUUCUAUGAUUUGUAUGUAUUUGUAAGCUGAAUAGUGAUAAGCAGCCAUUAAAAGGUAGUGGAGUCCAUAAAAUAUUGUCAAUGAUGCAUUAGAAUAUGAGAUGACUAGCUUGUAAGUUUACUAUAUUCUUUCCAAAUAAAUGGUGCAUUACUUUUAGGUCAUUGGAGUCCUUUUUUCUAUCUUUUAUCUUUGAGCUGUUGUACUAGUGAAUCCACUCACCAAUCCAUCAUGCUCCUCCACAAUUUCCCUUUUAACUCUAUAUAUCAAAUCAGUACUUCACUAAUCACAUAAUACAUGUCGGCCAACCACAAAAAAGGAAUAUAGAUAUAAAGUUAGUCUUUUUUUUCCUCUUCCAAAAGACAAUUCCCAUUUUUCUAAUGACUUACUGUUUUGUAUAUAUCAUCACCAUUAAGGGUCGUCAAGUUUUAUGUUUCCUUUCACUUAUUCCUAGUUAGCUCAAAUGGUAUUUCGACAUAGUUGGUAUGCUGAGUUGAUAAACUUUUGACACACUAUUUACGUACCGUAAGUGCAUUCGAAGUGGAAAUCGCUCAAUUAUUGACACUGCUACUUCUAUUCCAAUUUCUAUUUCUUUCUUUCUUUUUGUUCUUUCCCUCCAUUUUAUAUUUAAAGUUUAAAUUGAAACUGUUAUAAAAUCUUGAAUUAUGGUAGAUGUGCAUAACCACCAAAAGAGUAAUGCUCACUACUCUUUUUCAUUAUCUCCAUAACUUUCACUACUAUAAUAUUUAUGGAGUUAUGAUUGUAACUCCAUAAUCUGCCCAUGAUCUUCCUCCAUGAUCUCAAAUGCUUAAUGACAUAUUCAAUGACAUAUUUCUUCACUUUUCAUGCCUAUAUAAAGGUCUUGUAUAAGAUAGAAAGAUCAACACAAUUGAAGAAGAAAUAAGAAUCUCUCAUCUCUUUCUCUCUAUAUCUCUUAGCUUGUUUUUCCUUGUUCUAUAUUGUUACUUUCAGCUAUAUUUUAUAAAAGAAACUUGUUUUUCUUACUUGUUGUGGUUUAUUGCAAAAAGACAACGACCUCCUAAGAAAUGCACUCAAUAACAAAAUGUUUACACAAAUAUCCUCUAAGUUGAUUGUUCUUUUAUUUGAUCUUUCUUUUGCCUUAUGAAUGCAAAUUAAACAAAGAAAGAGAACCUUAACAAUUCUAAUUCUAUAUUACCUAGAUGACAAAAUUUCGAUGCUCCUGCUUUUAUCUUUUGAUCUCAAAAUGACAGUGGAAAUUAUUUAUAUUAUCAAAUUAGUGAAUAAAGAUUUAUUCAGAUCAAUUACUGUAACGACCCGGUCGGUCGUUUUGAGUAUUUUAGCCUCGAUCCCCAAUUUAUUGCCUCAUUUGUAUUAUAUUAUAGUUACGUGACUUGUUGAGGUGUUUGGUCUUGGUUUCGGGUGAGUUUCAGAGUGAAAUAGGAUACAUAGUCCCAAAGUUGGAGGUUUAAGUUGUUAGAGUUUAACCGUAAUUUGACUUUUGUGAAGACGACUCCAUAAAGAAGUUUUGACGGUUCCAAUAGCUCCGUAUGAUGAUUUUAGACUUAGGAGCGCGACCGGAUAUUGAUUUGGAGGUCUGUAGGUCGUUUCGGCAUGGAUUGCCGAAGUUAGGAAAAUUAAGGUUUGGAAGAUUUAGAAAGUUUGACCCGGAGUUGACUUUUUCGAUAUCGGGGUCGGAUACUGAUUCAGAAAGUUGGAGUAGGUCCGUAAUGUCAUUUAUGACUUGUGUGUAAAAUUUAAAGUUAAUCGGAGUUGGUUUGGUAUGAAUCGACAUUGGUUUCGGAAGUUUAUAGUUCAUAGGCUUGAGUUUGGGGUGCGAUUCAUAGAAUCGGUGUUGUUUAAUGUGAUUUUUGGCCUCGAGUAGUUCGUUAUGUAUUUUGGGAUUUGUUGGUAGGGGUGUUCUUGGUUCGGUUUGGAUCGAUUUUUUCCUUAAAAAAAACCAAACCAAGUAAGUCGGUUUUUCAAAUAUUGAAACCAAACCAAACCAAUUAAGUCGGUUUUUUAUCGAUUCGGUGUAUGCCGGUUUUUCGGUUUUUUCGGUUAUUUAUCAAUUUUUUCUUAAAUAUGAGAUAUACACUACCAAACACAUAUUCUGGCGAUUACAUUUUCAACAUAACACUAUCAAACCAAUUGCUCCUGGGAGUUGUAUAUGUUGAGUUGCAAAGUUGUUUUAUAAAGUUGGUGAGUUGAGAUUUAAUUAUUAAUUAAGUUAUUCUGCAUGUUUGUUAGGCUUACCUAGUCUUAGAGACUAGGUGCCGUCACCACAUCCUACGUAGGAAAAUUAGGGCCGUGACAAGUUGGUAUCAUAGCCCUAGGUUCAUAGGCGUUAUGAGUCACAAGCAAGUUUAGUAGAGUCUCGCAGAUCGGUACAAAGACGUAUGUACUUAUCUUCAGGAGGCUAUGGAACUGUUAGGAAAAGUUUCACUUCUUUGAUCUCUUAUCGUGCGAAUUUGUUGACUUCGGAAUUCUAAAUCUCUGUCUUUCCAUUCUCUCACAGAUGGUGAGGACACGCACAGCUGGAUCUGAUGAUCAGACACCCGCGCCCCCUGUUAGAUCUGGGAGAGGCCGGGGCUGGGGCAGAGGCUGAGGACGAGCACGUGGUGAAACCAGAGCACCUGCUCGAGUUGCUACAGAGGAGCCACUAGUAGCUCCAGCCGGAGAGCAAGCACCUGAGAUGCCUAUUACUACCCCAGCACUUCAGGAGACCCUCGCCCAAUUUCUGAGCAUGUUUGGCACUUUAGCUCAGGCAGGGUUGAUUCUACUUGCUCCUGCCACAUCUCAGGCCAAGGGAGGAGCACAGACUUCUGCCGCCCACACCCCAGAGUAGUGGGUCCAUGUUGACCAAGUCCUAGAGGUCAUACCAGUACAUCCGAUUGUCCCAGUUCAGACCGAGAUUAGGGUAACAACUUCUAAAGGGGAGCAACUCGAGCUCUAGAGGUACAAGAAGUACCGCCCUCCUACUUUCAGCAGUUUGGCUUCUGAGGAUGUCCAGAGUUUUCUUGAGGAGUGCCACUGUAUCCUCUGUACUAUGGGUAUUGUAGAGUCGAGUGGGGUUGCUUUCACUACUUUCCAACUUAAGGGAGCGACUUAUCAGUGGUGGCGAGCGUAAGAGUUGGGUAGCCUGGCUGAGGCAGUUUCACUCACCUAGGAUCAGUUUUCAGAGAUGUUCUUAAGGGAGUUUGUUCCCCAGAGUCUUAGGGAUACAUGGCGUGCAGAGUUUGAGCAGUUGUGCCAGGGUUCUAUGACCGUAUCAGAGUAUACAAUUCGGUUCAGUGAUUUGUCGAGGUAUGCGCCAGCCUUGAUUUUUACUGUCAGAGAGUGAGUUCGUCAGUUUAUCGAGGGGCUCAACCCUGGUAUCAGAUUUAACAUGGCCCGAGAGUUGGAGAUGGACAUCCCACACAAACAGGUAGUUGAGAUCUCUAGGAGAUUGGAUGGUAUGUGGGCCCGGGAGAGAGAGUAGAGGGAUGCCAAAAGGCCUCGAGAUUCUGGAAUAUAUAGUGGUGCCUGUGCCCUAGUUGCAGCCUGUCAUAGUAGGGGCUAUAUGAGUUGCCCUGUUCAUUCAGCACUUCCAGCGGUAUUCCAGCCACUCCUAGCGAUACUCCAGACACUCCCAAGCCUCAGGUUCCCCAUUAUGCACCGCCAUUGUCUAGUGCACCUCCUGCACGGGGUGCUUUCAGUUGUCAGUCCAGCCGAUCAGGACCGAGCCAAUUCCAGCAGCCACGUCCUCUGAGGGCUCGUUUUGACUGUGGUGACACUCGUCACAUGGUGAGGGAAUUCCCAAGACUCAGGAGGGGUGCACCUCCACAGACUAUUCAGGCCCUACGUAUUCCACACGGCCCUCAGGCUUCUCAAGUCGUGGUUACCGCACCAGUUGCCACUCCACCUAUACAUCCAGCCAUGGAUGGAGGUCGAGCAGGUAGAGGUCACCCUAGAGGGGGAGGCUAGGCAAGAUAUUAUGCUCUAGUUACAUCCGGAUCAAUUAUCAUAGGUAUUGUUCUGGUUUGUCAUAGAGAUGCAUCAGUCUUAUUUAAUCCAUGCUCCACUUAUUCCUAUGUAGCAUCUUAUUUAUCUCCGUAUUUGGGUAUAUCCCAUGAUUUUUUGAGUUCUCCUGUCUAUGUGUCCACGCCUGUGGGAGAUUCCCUUGUUGUUGACCGUAUGUAUCAGUCGUGUUUAGUUGUUCUUGGUAGUUUUGAGACCAGAGACGAUCUAUUGUUUCUUAGUAUAGUAGAUUUUGAUGUUAUUUUUAGCAUGGACUGAUUGUCUCCCAAUCAUACUAUCCUUGAUUGUCAUGCCAAGGCGGUGACAUUGACUCUGCCAAUCUUGCCGGGAUUAGAGUGGAGAGGUACUUUAGAUUAUGUUCCUAGCAGAGUGGUGUUUAUCCUUAAGGCACAUCGGAUGGUUGGAAAGGGAUGUGAUGUGUAUCUAGUAUAUGUGAGGGAUGUCAGUAUUGAUACUCCUAUCAUUGAGUUAGUUCCGAUAGUGAGGGAUUAUCCAGAUGUAAAUUCGGCGGAUCUUUCGGGCAUGCCGCCCGACAGGGAUAUCGAUUUUGGUAUUGAUUUGUUACCGAGCACUCAACCUAUUUCUAUUCCACCAUAUCGUAUGGCCCCAAGUUGAAGGAGUUAAAGAAGAAAUUAUAGGAGUUUCUUGAUAAGGGUUUCAUUCUUCCCAGUGUAUCACCUUGGGGUGCUCCGGUCUUGUUUGUAAAGAAGAAGGAUGGUUCUAUGUGCAUGUGUAUUGAUUAUCGCCAGAUGAACAUGGUUACUGUGAUGAACAUGUAUCCAUUGCCAUGCAUUGAUGACUUGUUUUAUCAACUACAGGGUGCCAGAGUGUUCUCCAAGAUUGACUUGCGUUCAUGUUAUCAUCAAUUGAAGAUUCGAGAGCUAGAUAUCCCGAAGAUUGCCUUCAGGACUCGGUAUGGUCAUUAUGAGUUCCUUGUGAUGUCAUUUGGGUUGACCAAUGCCGCAACAAUAUUCAUGCACUUGAUGAAUAGUGUAUUCCGGCCCUAUCUUGACUCAUUCAUCAUUGUGUUUAUUGACGACUUCCUGGUGUACUCCCAGAGCUGGGAGGAUCAUGAGUAGCACCUAAGGACCGUGCUUUAGACCUUGAGAGAAAAGAAGUUGUAUGCAAUGUUUUCGAAGUGUGAAUUCUGGCUUGAUUCAGUGGUAUUUUUGGGUCAUGUAGUGUCGAGUGAGGGGAUCAAGGUAGAUCCGAAGAAGAUUGAAGCAGUGCAAAGUUGGACUAGACCGUCUUCAACUACUGAGAUCCGGAGUUUUAUUGGUUUGGCAGGGUAUUACCGUCGAUUCAUAGAAGGUUUCUCAUCUAUUGCUGCAGAUAUGACCAGAUUGACCCAGAAGGGGGAUCCGUUCAGGUGGACCGCAGAAUGUGAGGAAAGUUUUCAAAAGCUCAAGACAAAUUUGACUUCAGACCCAGUGUUGGUGUUGCCUACAGGUUCGGGGUCUUAUACUGUGUAUUAUGAUGCGUCGCGUAUUGAUCUCGGCGCAUUGUUGAUGUAGGACGGUAGGGUGAUUGCCUAUAUGUCUAGAUAGCUGAAGGUCCAUGAGAAGAAUUAUCCCGUCCACGACCUUGAGUUAUUGUUCAUGCCUUGAACAUUUGGUGUCACUAUUUGUACGGUGUCCCUUGUGAGGUCUAUACCGACCACCGGAGCCUACAACAUCUGUUCAAACUGAAGGAUCUUAACUUGCGGCAGCGGAGGUGGUUAGAGUUGCUUAAGGACUAUGAUAUCACCAUUCUGUAUCAUCCUAGAAAGGAUAAUGUGGUGGUCGAUGCCUUGAGUCGCAAGGCGAAGAGCUUGGGAAGUUUAGCAUAUCUACCGGCAGCGGAGAGGCUAUUUGCAUUGGAUGUCCAGGCCUUGUCCAACCAGUUUGUUAGAUUGGAUGUUUCAGAGCUGAGUCGCAUUUUGGCUUGUAUGGUUUCUCGGUCUUCUCUUUAUGAUCGUAUCAGAGAGCGUCAGUAUGAUGACCCCCAUCUGCUUGUCCUUAAGGACACGGUUCAGCACGACGAUGCGAAUGAGGUCACUAUUGGGGAUGACGAUGUGUUACGAAUGCAGGGCAGGCUAUGUGUGCCCAAUGUAGAUGGUUUGCGUAAGCUGAUUCUUCAGGAGGAUCACAGUUCGUGGUACUCCAUUCAUCCGGGUUUCGCCAAGAUGUAUCAAGACUUGAGGCAGCACUAUUGGUAGAGGAGAAUGAAGAAGGACAUAGUGGAGUAAGUAGCUUGGUGCCUAACUGUCAAAAGGUGAAGUAUGAGCAUCAGCGGCCAGGUGGAUUACUUCAGAGGCUAGAGAUUCCAGAGUGGAAAUGGGAGCGGGUUACUAUGGAUUUUGUUGUUGGGCUCUCGCGGACUCAAAGGAAGUUCGAUGCAGUUUGGGUGAUUACGGAUAGGUUGACCAAGUCGGCUCAUUUCAUUCCAGUAGUGACUACUUAUUCUUCAAAGCAGUUGGCUCAGGUUUAUAUUCGCGAGAUUGCUAGACUUCAUGGCAUAUCGGUAUCCAUCAUCUUUGACCAGGGUACACAGUUUACAUUGCGGUUCUGGAGGGCCGUACAACAUGAGUUAGGCACGCGGGUUGAGUUAAGUACAUCAUUUCACCCUCAUACGGACGGACAGUCCGAGCGCACUAUUCAGAUACUAAAGGAUAUGCUUUGUGCGUUUGUGAUAGAGUUUGGGGGUUCUUGGGAUCUGUUCUUGCUGCUUGCAGAGUUUUCCUACAACAACAGCUACCAGUCGAGCAUUCAGAUGGUUCUGUAUGAGGUUUUGUAUGGGAGGCGAUGUCGGUCUCCGGUGGGUUGGUUCGAGCCGGGUGAGGCUAAGCUAUUGGGUACAGACUUAGUUCAGGAUGCUUUGGAAAAGGUUAAAUUGAUUCAGGAUCGACUUUGUACCGCCCAAUCUAGGUAGAAGAGUUAUGCAGAUCAGAAGGUUCACGACGUUGCCUUCAUGGUUGGGGAGAGGAUCUUGCUCCGGGUUUCGCCCUUGAAGGGUGUUAUGAGGUUCGGGAAGAAGGGCAAGUUGAGCUCUAGGUAUAUAGGACAUUUUGAGAUUCUUGAGAGGAUUUGAGAGGUGGCCUACAAGCUUGCACUGCCACCUAGUCAAGCUACAGUUCCUCCGAUGUUCCAUGUUUCUAUGCUCCGGAAGUAUCACGGUGAUCUGUCUCAUGCUUUGGAUUUCAGCUCAGUCCAGUGGACAAAGAUUUGUCUUAUGUUGAAGAGGCGAUGGCCAUUUUGGACAGGCAGGUUCGAAAGUUGAGGUCGAAGAAAAUUGCUUCAGUGGAAGGGUCAGUCGGUCGAGAAGGCGACUUGGGAGACCGAGCAUGAUAUGCGUAGCCGUUACCUUCAUCUUUUCAUGACUUUAGGUAUGUCUCUAUACUCGUUCGAGGACGAACGUUUGUUUAAGAGGGGGAGGAUGUAACGACGCGGCAAGUUAUUUUGACAAUUUUAGCCCCGAUCCCCAAUUUAUUUCCUCCUCAAUGUUAUAUUGUGGUUACGUGACUUGUCGGGGUGUUUGGUCUUAGUUUCAGGUGAGUUUCUGAGUGAAAUGAGACACAUAGUCCCUAAGUUGGAGGUUUAAGUUGUUAGAGUUUACUGUAUUUUGAUUUUUGUGAAGACGACUCCGAAAUGGAGUUUUGACGGUUCCAAUAGCUCCGUAUGUUGAAUUUAGACUUAGUAGAAUUACCAGAUGUGGUUUUGGAGGCCCGUAUGUCAUUUUGGCGUGAAUUGGCGAAGUUAGGAAAAUUAAGGUUUGGAAUAUUUGGAAUGUUUGAUCCGGAGUUGACUUUUUUGAUAUCGGGGUCGGAUCCCAAUUCCACAAGUUGGAGUAGGUCCGUAAUAUCAUUUAUGACUUGUGUGCAAAAUUUGAAGUUAAUCGAAGUUGGUUAGGUAUGAAUCGGCAUUGGUUUCGGAAUUCGGAAGUUUAUAGUUCAUAGGCUUUAAUUUGGGUUGCGAUUUGUAGAAUCGGUGUUGUUUGAUGUAAUUUUUCGCCUCGAGUAGGUCUGUUAUGUGUUUUGGGACUGUGGUAUAUUCGGACGGGCCCCGGCAGUCCCAGGUAUGAAACGGAUUAAAUCCGGAUAAAAAGAUUGGACUUGUGCAAUUGCUGAAGUUCCAGCCUUUUGGUGUCAUCACACCUACGGAGGGAUUGGUCGAGGUGCGGACUCGCAAAAGCGAUCAACUGGUCGCAGAAAAGAAGCAGGCUUUGCCCAGCUGGGAUCGCAGGUGCGAGGAGAUAACCGCAUCUGCGAGUCCGCUGGUGCAGAGGUGUGAUCGCCGAUGCGGACGAGGCUGGCCUGGGCUAUGGUCGCAGAAGUGGAGGGUUCUCCAAAGAAGCUGGCUCUCAGGCGUGAGCCAUGGUCCGCAGAAGCGGAAAUUGUGGACUUAAUUAGGAUCCUCACCUGCGAUGGUUUUUUCGCAGGUGCGGCAUCACAGAAGCGACACAAAGGCCGCAGAAGCGGUUUUGCUGGGCAGUAAAGAGGGAUUUACGAGGGUUUGAUUCAUAAUCUAUUUUUGGACUUAGAGAGCUCGGUGGGAGGCAAUUUUUUGAGUGGUUUCAGAGAGAUCAUUGGGAGCAAGGAAUCCUAACUUGGUUUUGGUUAGUUUACAAGAAGUUAUUGUUAAUUUCAUCAUUUAAUUAGUGGUUUGAGUUAAAAAUUUGGGGGAAAAUGGUAGAAACUUCUUGGGCUAAAAUUUGAGAAUUUGAAAGGCGAUUUAUGAUCGGAUUUGAGUAAUUCUUGUAUGGUUGGACUCGUUAUCGAAUGGGUGUUCAAAUUUUCUAAUUUUGGUCUGGUUCCAAGGCAUGAACCCGGGUUGACUAUAUUUAUAGUAUGAAGGUUUUUUUGGCUAGAUUCGAGCAAUUCAGAGUUGGAUAAUCGAGGAAAAGGCUUACUAGUGGAUUGAUUUAGCGUGAUUUGAGGUAUGUGACUUGGCUAACCUCGUGUGGGGGAAUUAUCCCUUAGGAUUUGUGUGGAUUGUGAUAAUUGUGAUAUGUGAAAGCCGUGUACGCAAGGUGACGAGUGUGUACACAGGCUAAAUGUGGAAAUUACCAGUUUUAGCUAUGUAUAUUCCUUUCAUGCCUUAAUUGAAUUAUCUUAACAUGUUAUAUUCAUCAUUCUUAGUCUAUUUUCACACGUCUUCUUGUCUUAUUCUCGUACAUGCUAAUUUCCCUACAUGUUUAGUUAAAGUUCUUGUUUCCUUUAUUCCGUAUUCAUUACUUAAUUGUUGUACUCUUUGCUUGAAGUUGUUAAAUCUUGGAAUAUCUUGUUGUUGAAAUUGGUAUUGAGAUAUAAAAGCCGUGAUUCACAUUGAGGCAAAGUGUCAAGUUGUGAAAUACCAUUCUGUGGAGUUGUCCAUUCCGGUUGUUAUGGUUGAGCAUUGUGGUUGAGCCAUGGGCUCUUUACUAUGAAAAUAUUGUAUUUGUUUGGUUUCUCUGGAAAGUUGUGAUAUUGGGCACUUGAGGUGCGAUUAUGAUACAUUGUGAUAUUGAUACGCAUGCGGUGGUAUAAGGUUUUUAUUACUACCCGUACUUUCAUUUUAGAAUUAAUCUUAAGUGAAUCAAUAUGAGCCAUAGAGUUGAAGGACCUUUACAAAUAUAAUGAUGGGUUAAUUUCAAGUUUUGAGGAAGUAUUGUGAGGGUUGGAAGGUUAAGAAGCUAAUCGAAUAGAAGAAAAUAGGUUUCGUCAAAAGUCGGCAAGUUGGGAAUAUUAUAACCCGUACUUUUGGGGCGAGACUAGGGUGAUUAAGAUGAUAAGAAGGUAAUAUUAUGAGUUAUUUAGGUCGUAUGAUAGUCGUGCAUUACGUUUUGAAGUCAAGCGAGUUGUGAAGCAAAGGUCGACGAAAGGCGUCAUAAGUUACGUUUAUAAAUUUUAAUGAAAUUUAGGUCAAAUGUCACUGAGCUUUUCUCUCAAUAUACUUGGAUUUACGGGGUGAUCCAUCCACCAAAUUGAAUAUCUAUGAGUCUAGGUUUCAACUCAUUAAACCGUUCAUCGAUACGACAUUCGAGUAGAGAGAUAUUUGCAUUUUUGCGAAAGUGCGCAAUCAGCUCCCUAAGGGACCCACUUAGGCGGUUAAGAUAUCUUGAUAUAUAUGUGAUGACUACAACCCAUUUUCACUCAUUAUUUUUCAUUCUAUUCAGACCCUAGACACCUUAAAACCUUCUCUCAAAGUUCUAUCAUGACCCAAUGUAAGGCCCCGUAAUAGUUUACCAAAAACUCAAGGUUUGUGGUGCCGAGGUAGGUUAAUGUGUAAGCCCCCUUGAAUUUCUAUUGCUAAUUCGAGCGAUUUCGAGCUUUGGAAUACAAUUUAAUUUAGAACCAAAUCACAUGAGAAUUACUGAAGUGAAUAAAGUUAUUUGGAUACUUGGGGAUAAUUAUUUUAUUAAUAUUUGAGUGUUGUAAUAAUGGGGAACACUUAGAUAUUAAUUUCAAAGCAAUAAGACUAAAGAAAAUACAGUGAGCUAUCUCCCUAUAGCGCAGCUAUAGCACAUGAGGGAAGUUGAAAAUUUUAGCAAACUAGUGAGCUAAAGCCUUAUAGCACAAGGAUAACACUAGUGAAAAAAUGCCGUAUCCUAUUUUAGCAAACCAGUGAGCUAAAGCCUUAUAGCACAGGGAUAGCCCAGUGGAAAAUUACUAUACCUGGGCCUAUUAGUACCUGAGCGGGGAGAGAGAAGAAUAAAAAAUUUCAAUACUAGGGCUUUUCUCUCCAUCACCCAUCCGGUCAAGGCUUCCAAUACACACUUAAGGUGAGUUUCUAAGUGUGUUUUUAUGAUGAUUCCACUUCUAAAUCACUAAUUACAACAAGGUUUUGUAUUGGAUUCCUUAGGAUUUCUUCAAAAUCUUAAGAACACCCCAAAAGUCGACUUUCAAGAUUUGGUCUACAAGAGGUAAUCUUUCAUCCUUAAACCUACAUGCAUGGGUUGUUAGUGAAUAUUUGAGAAAGGAAUAAGUACUAGCACUUGUGAGAUGGUGAUUGGAAGCUAUAAAUACUUAAACUAGAUUAUUGGGUGUUGUAGAGAUUUUAUAAUGAUUUAAUUAGCAAAAUUUGGUAGAUGUGAGUUUAUUGAUGAUUAUAAUGGUUCUAAGAAGGUAGUUAGUGGACAAAGGAUGUUGUAGUAUCUCUUGUUGGUGGUAAGAAGGUAUUGUUUGAUGAAGAAACACCAUUACUAUAGGUAGUUGAAUGCUAUGCACUCUAGGUGUUUGAUAAAAUGCCAAAAUGACCAAAAACCUGGAGAUCUUUACUAAUAUUGGUCCAAUUGAGUUAUGUUGAUGUAGAUUGAAGUUGUAAGAGUAGUGGGUGGUUUUAGUAGCACUAAAGAGCUCCAUCAAGGUAUGUUGGAUAAACUACUCUCUUAGAAUUAAAUUCAGUGAUGUUUUCAUAAGUUUCAAGUAUGGUUGUCUCAAGUUCCUUAUUCUAUGUUCCGAGUUGUUUCCAAUAAAUUCAAUUGUCCCGAAUAAGAAAUGUUUCGAGAAUUAAGUAUUCAAAACGUAUUCCGAAUGUUCCUAUCACAUUAUGUUGUCUUUUGGGAAUGUGUUCAAGAAUGAUAUGUGUUAAAAUACUAUGUCUUUGAGUUGUGUUUCAAAUGAAGGUUAUGAUGCCAAAUUAUGUAAGAAAACUCAAUAUGCUUAUGACUCUUAAUUGCUCAUAUAUUUACCUAAAGUCUUGAUUGGAAAUGUCUUAAUGUUGAUAACCUAUAAAGAUGGUUAGAAGUGAAAUAAGUGAUUUGGGGAUAUAAAGUGUGGCCAAAGUGCCAAGAGUGAAAUAACUUCUAAAGUCCGUCUGAAGAAACUUGGGUACAUAAGAUAAUUCUAGCAAGUGAGCAUACCGUUCAGAUGCUCAAAGACAUGUUACAGGCUAAGAUGCCAAAUUUAACGGAAAGAUAAAUUAUCGACUAUUGAGGAGCGCACAACAAUAGCUAUAGUAGUAUUUAUACAUGCGGGAGGAUCACAAGGAUAUAUUUUAAAUUGCACAGUGUAGCUUCUUAUAAAGCAUGAUGCGAAAGGAAAUGAAGAUUCCCCAUAAGACAGUUUGAAAGACAGAACUGUUAGACCGGAUUUAAUGUAUCAAGUUAUAGAAAAGUAAGCCUUAUUAAAGAGUGUUUGUGCUUAGAAGCAUCAUAGAUCUAACCCCAAGACACGAUGACGAGACUUAAGGAAAUCUCGAGUUAAUAAUGAGGCCUUUUUGAAAAUUUUGCUCACGAAGAGCAUAAUAACAUAUUGGGACAAGCUAGUCAAUACAUAUAUAAAGCCACUCCAAGCUACCUAGAGAAGGGACUAAUUCAAUUUUCCCUCAGAAUUAGGAUCUCUUCAUUCGGUUAUCAUGUUCCGAUAUUGAAGAAGCACAUGAUGUUCAGAUUAUAGAGAAAAUAUCUCACGAAGAAGUUCUAGUUGCUAUUUUAGAUCAGCAUGUCCACAAGUUGGGCACCUAGAAAGUAACUUUCGUAAAGAUAUGAUGGAGGAAUAAGAACGUCGAAGAAAACACGUGGGAAGCCAAAAGAAGAAAUGAAUUCUAAGUACCCUCAGCUGUUUCAGAUAGAAGAUUCUUAACGGUUGUAGCUCGAUCAUAUGUUUUGUUAGCCCAUGUCAUGUGAUUUCGAUUAACACUCAUUCUAUGAUUACAUCAUAUUAAGAAUUGAAGAGUUACAGUUCUUUCAGUAGCAGAAUUAUUUGGACACAAGGUAUGGAUAGUCCUAUUUGCAAAUGAUACUCUAUUGAAAUUUCCGUAAAAUCCGUAAGGGCUAGUUUCUCCUCUAAGACUCCUUUACAUUCGAGGACGAAUGUUUCAAAGGGGGAAAGAUCCCGUACUUUCAUGUUAGAAUUAAUCUUGAGUGAAUCAAUAUGAGCCGUAGAGUUGAAGGACCUUUACAAAGAUAAUAAUGGGUUAAAGCAAGUUUUUAGGAAGUAUCAUGAGGGGUUGGAAGGUUAAGAAGCUAAUCUAAUCGAAGAAAUAAGUUUCGUCGAAAGUCGGCAAGUUGGGAAUGUUAUAACCCGUACUUUUGGAGUGAGACUAGGGUGGUUAAGAUAAUAAGAAGGUAAUAUUAUGAGUUAUUUUAGUCGUAUGAUAGCCGUGUGUUAGGAUUUGAAGUCAAGAGAGUUGUGAAGCAAAAGUCGACGAAAGUCGUCACAAGUUACGUUCAUAAAUUUUAAUGAAAUUUAGGUCAAAUAUCACUAAGGUUUUCUCUCAAUGUACUUAGAUUUAUGGGUUGAUCCACCCACAAAAUUGAAUAUCUAUGAGUCUAGUUUCCAACUCAUUAAACCAUUCAUCGGUACAUUAUCGGAGUAGAGAGAUAUUUGCAUUUUUACGAGAGUGCGCAAGCAGCUCCCUAUGGAACCCACUUAGGCGGUUGAGAUAUCUUGACANNNNNNNNNNNNNNNNNNNNNNNNNGCUGAUUUUGGUGUGGUUCCAGCUCAUGUGGGGGUUGUUUUAAGUGGUUUAUGUUCUGUAGAAUAGUCUCCCAAGGUUUUCAUAUCAACCCUAGGUUAUUUCAAGUCUUCCAAAUGGAUUACACCAUAUUUCAACAUCAAAAGUUAGCUCUAGUGAAGAAUAACACCUCUUUGAGGUUGUGUUGUCAUUGAGGAUUGGUGUGAUCAGUGUUUGGAUGAAAUUACAAUUGGUCGAUGAUGGUUUAGGUAUGUAUAAUACUCCACUAUAUGUUCUUGAAGUUGUUUGUAUGUUGGUUGCAUUAUUUGAGCAAGAUACUACAAGAGGAGACUUGAAAUAGUUUGAGAUGUUAUUGUUCCUAAUGGACUGAUUUGGAAAGGUUGUUUCCAUGAACUUUAAAUGGUUGGAAACCUUGGAAAAAUGACUUGUUUAUUCUGUUGUCUUCAUGAAUAUAUUGUCUACAUAUCAAACUUGCUGUUGAUAUUGUGAAUAAGAAGAUAAAGGUCAACAUAAUAAUUGAAGGUUGUACUUGUCGUUGUUGUUGGAUUGUUAGGCUGUUUGAGUGUGAAUUAGGUGAUUAAUAGGAGGAUGGAAGUCCUCCGGUUGUUCUUGUUAUCGCGUUGGACAUGUUUUUAAGUUAACUAAUAUAUGAUAAUGGGGUUGAAGGGCACUAAAGGGAUUCAAUCCGAGCUUGCCGCUCGUCGUGAUAUUUCGAUGACAUGUUAAUGAAAUAUUUGAUACCCUACAUACUCGGUACUUUAUUAGUACUGACGUCCCAUUUGCUGGGGAUGCUGCAUUUCAUGCCCGCAGGUCCCGAUAGACAGGUUGACGGUCCUCCUAGUAGGCAAUCAGCUUAGCGAAAGGUGUUGGUGCACUCCACUUGCUCCGGAGUUUCCUAUUUGGUCAGUAUGUUUUGAGCAUGUAUUGAUUGGUAUGUGUCAUGACCCAAUUUCUCCUUCUGUGAACCAUCGUGAUGGCACCUAGUCUCUACGACUAGGUAAGCCUAACACUUUGCGGAAAUGAAACAAAAACACGAACAUUAACUACUAACAGUAACAAAUAUCUAAUAAGAAACUGAAUGCCACUCGGCAUAUACAAUUAUCACCUCUGAAAAUGUAACAAAACAAUUCCCAAAACCCGGAAUACCGUAAGUCACAAGCUACUAAGAAGUCUUAUCUUCUUUAUACAUCAUUUCUACAGAAAGAAGGCAAAAUGAACAUGGGGGAUAGAGGGGGACUCCGAGGAUCUGCGGGCGCGAGCAGAUGUACCUUGAAGUCUCCAAUAAGCAACAACGACUGCACCNNNNNNNNNNNNNNNNNNNNNNNNNNNNNNNNNNNNNNNNNNNNNNNNNNNNNNNNNNNNNNNNNNNNNNNNNNNNNNNNNNNNNNNNNNNNNNNNNNNNNNNNNNNNNNNNNNNNNNNNNNNNNNNNNNNNNNNNNNNNNNNNNNNNNNNNNNNNNNNNNNNNNNNNNNNNNNNNNNNNNNNNNNNNNNNNNNNNNNNNNNNNNNNNNNNNNNNNNNNNNNNNNNNNNNNNNNNNNNNNNNNNNNNNNNNNNNNNNNNNNNNNNNNNNNNNNNNNNNNNNNNNNNNNNNNNNNNNNNNNNNNNNNNNNNNNNNNNNNNNNNNNNNNNNNNNNNNNNNNNNNNNNNNNNNNNNNNNNNNNNNNNNNNNNNNNNNNNNNNNNNNNNNNNNNNNNNNNNNNNNNNNNNNNNNNNNNNNNNNNNNNNNNNNNNNNNNNNNNNNNNNNNNNNNNNNNNNNNNNNNNNNNNNNNNNNNNNNNNNNNNNNNNNNNNNNNNNNNNNNNNNNNNNNNNNNNNNNNNNNNNNNNNNNNNNNNNNNNNNNNNNNNNNNNNNNNNNNNNNNNNNNNNNNNNNNNNNNNNNNNNNNNNNNNNNNNNNNNNNNNNNNNNNNNNNNNNNNNNNNAGUCCCAAAGUAAAUAUGCAGUACAGGGGGAUCUCCCGGAAUACCGUUCUGUAGUCCCAAAGUAAAUAUGCAGCACAACCAAUUGAAAUAACAAUUACAAUAAGAAAUCCUACAGUUUAGACUAAGUUCAAGUCAAGGAAAGCAGGAAAUUUCACUAAAUAUGCUGCACAGAAUUCAAAUAGGCAGUUAAACAAGUAGGCUUGCUAUUCUAGUUUAAGCACGAUAGUUACAUACGCUAGUGUGUUUGAAAUAAGGAGAAAACAAGUUAUGACUUAGUAAGAAUUGGAGUUUUACAACAAAUAGCCCAUGUACGUACUCCUUACCUCACGUACACGGUGAUCACAUAUCAAACGUUACCAAAAUCCUAAGGGGAGUUCCCUCACACAAGGUUAGGCAAGCCACUUACCUCGAACCAAGCUCAAAUCAAUCCGUAAUCAUUCUCUUGCCACGAGUAUCCAACUCCGAGUGGCCCAAAUCUAGCCAAAUCAAUUACAUAACGUAAAUAUAGCUACAAGAAACUAAUAUAGCUAAUGACAUCAAAGCUAAAGCAAGAAAUUAAAAAAAUGCCCAAAAAGCCUCCUCCGGGACCACGUCUCGAAAUCGGGUAAAAGUUACUAAAUAAGAAAACCCAUUCACUCACGAGUUCACUCAUACAAAAAUCAUCCAAAACCUACGCCUAGUUCCCACUCAAAACUCAGAUUUUUGGUUGGGGAACUUUUCCCCCAAUUCCCCAAUUUCCUCACUCAAAUUCCUUAAUUUAAUGAAGAAAACAACUACGGAUUAAUGACAUAUGAUAGAAAUAUGAUUAGGAAUCGUUACCCACUGAUUUCCUCUGAAAAACUCCCAAACAAUCGCCUUCCUCCGAGCUCUCAAUCAAAUUAUGUGUUAUGAAAUUUCAACCCUCGAAUCUGCCCUUUUCUGCCUAGCAAUUAUCGCUUCUGCGGUUCCGCACCUGCGAAAUUCCCAUCGCAGGUGCGACUUUUCACUUAAGGUACCUCAUCCCCAUCUGCGAUCAAGAGGUCGUAUAUGCGGACCUUUUGUCCACUUCUGCGGUCCCAAAUAGCUCCUACAGUUCCUUCACUCGCACCUGCGGGUAUCGCGGAUGCGGAACACUCCUCGAACCUGCCAUCCUAGAACUCCUUCCCAUUUCUGCUUGUGCGGUUCCAUAGCCGCUUCUGUGGCUCCGCACCUGCGGCCCAAAGUGCGUAGGUUCGGUGACGCUAGAUACUUCAACAUCAACAAUGUCACCUAAGUCCAAAUCAACCCGUUAAGCACCUAAAACUCACCCGAGGCCCCCCAGACCUCAACCAAACAUACCAAUUAAUCCUAAAACACCAUACAAACUUAGUCGAGCCUUCAAAUAACAUCAAACAACAUCACAACACGAAUAAUGCACGGAUUCAAGCCUAAGGAACUUUGAAAUUUCCCAAAUCUACAACCGACGUCGAAACAUAUCAAAUCUUGUCCGAAUGACCUCAAACUUUACCCACAAGUCAAAAAUGACACUACGAACCUACUCCCACUUCUGGAAUUCCAUUUCGGGUCCGAUGUCAAAAUUUCCACUGCCGGCCAAAAUUUCCAAAAUUUUAACUUUCGCCAAUUCAAGCCUAAAUCUACUACGGACCUCCAAAACACUAUCCGGACACGCCCCUAAGUCCAAAAUCAACUAACGGAGCUAACAGAGUCAUAAAAAUUCAAAUACGAGGUCGUUACCCACAAGUCGACGUCCGGUCGACUUUUCCAACUUAAGCUUCCCAAUAAGAGACUAAUUGUCUUAAUUCACUUCAAAACCAAUACGAACCCUCCCGGCAAUGCAAAAAUAGCAGAAUAAGAUACGGGGAAAACAAUUAAUAGGGGAUCAGGGCUAUAACUCUCAAAACGACCAGCCGAGUCGUUAUAUCCUUCUCCUCUAAAAACAAUCGUUCAUCCUCGAACGAGCGUAAAGACAUACCCGAAGCUGUGAAAAGAUAAGGAUAACGGCUGUGCAUAUCCCGCUCGGUCUCCCAAGUCACCUCCUCGAUCGGCAGACCCCUCCACUGGACCUUUACUGAAGCAUUGUUCUUUGACCUAUGUUUUCUAACCUGCCUAUCCAAGAUAGCCACUGGCUCCUCAACAUAAGAUAGAUCCUUGUCCAACUGGACUGAGCUAAAAUCCAAUACAUGAGUCGGAUCACCGUGAUACAUUCGGAGCAUCGAAACGUGGUAUACCGGAUGAACCCCUGCUAGGCUGGGAGGUAGAGCAAUCACAUAAGAAACCUCCCCAACAUGCCGCAAUAUUUCAAAAGGACCGAUGUACCUCGGGCUUAGCUUUCCCUUCUUCCCGAACCUCAUGAUGCCUUUCAUGGGCGAUACCUAAAGCAAGACCCGCUCUCCAACCAUAAAUGCUAAAUCCUGAACCUUCUGAUCCGCAUAACUCUUCUAUCUCGACUGGGAUGUGAGAAGUUUAUCCUGAAUCACCUUCACCUUAUCCAUGGCAUCCUUGACCAAGUCUGUACCCAACAAUCGGGCCUCGCCCAGCUCGAACCAACCCACUGGGGACCGACACCGCCUACCAUGUAGAGCCUCAUACGGUGCCAUCUGAAUGCUAGACUGAUAACUAUUGUUGUAGGCAAACUCUGCAAGUGGAAAAAACUGAUCCCAAGAACUUCCAAAAUCUAUCACACACGCACGGAGCAUAUCCUCAAGAAUCUGAAUAGUGCGCUCAGACUGCCCGUCCAUCUGAGGGUGAAAAGCUGUGCUCAACUCCACCCGAGUACCCAACUCUUGCUGUACGGUUCUCCAGAACCGCGAUGUAAACUGCGUUCCCCGAUCGGAGAUGAUAGAUACCGGUAUGCCAUAAAGUCUGACAAUCUCACGAAUGUAAAUUUGAGCCAGCUGCUCGGAAGAAUAGGUAGUCAUCACAGGAAUGAAUUGAGCUGACUUGGUCAGCCUGUCCACAAUCACCAAAACUUCAUCAAAAUUCUGCUGAGUACGUGGGAGUCUAACAAUGAAGUCCAUAGUGAUCCGCUCCCAUUUCUACUCCGAAAAUCUCUAUCUUCUGAAACAACCCACCCGGUCGCUGAUGCUCAUACUUCACCUGCUGGAAAUUUAGACAUCUAGUCAUAUACUAUACUAUGUCCUUCUUCAUGCUCUUCCACCAAUAAUACUGCCUCAGGUCCUGAUACAUAUUUGCGACACCCCGGAUGAAUGGAGUACCGUGAGCUAUGAGCCUCCUGGAGAAUCAACUCACGCAAACCGUCCACAUUGGGCACACAUAACCUACCCUGCAUCCUCAAUGCACCAUCCUCCCCAAUAGCGACCUCCUUAGCAUCACCAUGCUGGAUGGUGUCCUUAAGGACAAGUAGAUGGGGGUCAUCAUACUGACGCUCCCUGAUACGAUCUUAAAGAGAAGACCGAGAGACCAUACAAGCCAAUACUCGGCUUGGCUCAGAAAUAUCCAAUCUCACAAACUGGCUGGCUAAGACCUGAACAUCCAAUGCCAUAGGCCUCUCUGCUGCUAGUAGAUAUGCUAAACUCCCCAAAUCUCUGCCCGAAGACUCAAAGCAUCGGCCACAAUAUUGGCCUUCCCGGGAUGGUACAAAAUGGUAAUGUCAUAAUCCUUAAGCAGCAAUAACCACCUCCUUUGACGCAAAUUAAGAUCCUUCUGCUUGAACAAAUGCUGCAAACUCUGGUGAUCAGUGAAGAUCUCACAAGGAACGCCGUACAAAUAGUGCCUCCAAAUCUUCAAGGCAUAAACAAUAGCUGCUAGCUCAAGGUUGUGAACAUGAUAGUUCUUUUCAUGCACCUUUAGCUGUCUGGACGCGUAGGCAAUCACCCUACGGUCCUGCAUCAACACCGCAUUGAGGCCAGCUCGCGACGCAUCACAAUAAACCAUAUAAGACCUCGAACCUGAAGGCAAUACCAAUAUUGGGGUGGUAUUCAAAGCUGUCUUGAGCUUCUAAAAGCUUUCCUCACACUCUUCCGUCCACCUGAAUGAAGCACUCUUUUGGGCCAGCCUGGUCAUAGGUGCUGUAAUAGAUGAAAAUCCCUCUACAAAGCGACGGUAAUAUCCUGCCAAACCAAGGAAACUGCGGAUCUCUAUAGAUGAUGAUGGUCUAGGCCAACUCUGCACUGCCUCCACUUUCUUUGGAUCUACCUUGAUCCCAUCACUAGAUACUACGUGGCCCAAGAAUGCCACUAAAUCAAGGUAGAACUCACACUUAGAAAAUUUUGCAUACAACUUCUUUUCUCUCAAAGUGUGAAGCACAGUCCUCAGGUGCUACUCAUGAUCCUCUCGAGUCUGGGAGUACACUAGAAUGUCAUCAAUAAACACAAUGAUGAAUGAGUCAAGAUAGGGUCGGAACACACUAUGCAUCAAGUGCAUAAAUGCUGCUGGGGCUUGCAAAAGACAUCACAUGGAACUUGUAGUGACCAUACCGAGUCCUGAAGGCAGUCUUCGGGAUAUCUGGCUCCCGAAUCUUUAACUGAUGAUAACUUGAACGUAAGUCAAUCUUGGAGAACACUCUGGCACCCUGUAACGGAUCAAAUAAGUCAUCAAUACAAGGCAAUGAAUACCUGUUCUUCACUGUGACUUUGUUCAACUAGCGGUAAUCAAUACAUAUCCGCAUAGAACCAUCCUUUUUAUUCACAAAUAAGAUAGGAGCACCCCAAGGUGACACACUGGGCCGAACAAAGCCCUUAUCAAGCAACUCAUGUAACUGAUCCUUCAACUCAGGAGGAGCCAUACGGUAUGGAAGAAUAGAGAUGGGCUGAGUGCCUGACAACAAAUCAAUGCCGAAAUCAAUAUCUCUGUCGGGCGGCAUGCCCGGAAGAUCAGAUGGAAACACAUCUGGGAAAUCCCUCACUACUGGAACUGACUCAACUGUAGGGGUAUCAAUACCGACAUCUCUCACAUAAGUAAAUACGCGUCGCACCCCUUCUCAACCAUUCGUUGAGCCUUAAGAAAUGAAAUAACUCUGCAGGGAGUAUAUUCUAAGGUACCUCUCCACUCUAAUCGCGGUAAGCCUGAAAUAGCCAGCGUCACGGUCUUAGCGUGAUAAUCAAGAAUAGCAUAAUGGGGAGACAACCAGUCCAUGCCCAAGAUAACAUCAAAAUCUACCAUGCCGAGUAAUAAUAAGUCGGCUCUGAUCUCAAAACCACUAAGAGCAAUCAAACAUGACUGAUACACGCGGUCCACAACAAGAUAAUCUCCCACAGGAGUAGACACAUAAACAAGGGAACUCAAAGAAUCCCGAGAUACUCCCAAAUAUGGGGCAAAAUAAUAGGACACAUAUGAAUACGUAGAUCCUGGGUCAAAUAAUACCGACGCAUCUCUAUGACAGACUGGAACAAUACCUGUAAUGACAUGGUUGGAAGUAACAGCCUCUGUACGAGCAGGAAGAGCAUAAUACCUAUCCUGACCUCCCCUUCUAGGGUGACCUCGACCUCCCCAACCUCCACCUCGUGCUGGCUAAGCAGCUGGGGCGGUAGCCGGUGCUGGAAUCAUAGCAUGAGAACCUGGUGGCGCACGUGGUGGCUGAGAAUUCUGUGGAGGUGCAACCCUCCUAAGUCUGGGCCAAUCCCUCACCAUAUAGCGGGUGUAUCCACACUCAAAGCAACCCCUCGGAGGGCGUGGCUGCUACGACUGACUCGGGCCAGGUCUGCUGGACUGGACGAUAAAAUCACCCCAAGUUGGAGGCACACUAGAUAUUGGCGGUGCAUAAUAAGGCCCCUGAGGCCUAGAAAGGGCUGGAACACUAUUGGCAGCUGGAAGAGCUGAAUGAACGGGGCUACCCACAUAACCCCUAUCAUGGCGGGCUGCUGGGCCACGAGCUCCAUAAUAGGAACCAGUCUCUUGAGACCUCUUUCUCCUCACGGUCCCGGGCAAGCAUGCACUCCAAUCUCCUAGCAAUACGCACAACCUACUAAUAAGGAAUAUCCAUCUCCAGCUCCCUGACCAUACUAAUCCUGAUACUGGGGUGGAGUCCCAUAAUAAAACGUUGAACCCUCUCUCGAACUGUGGCAACCAAGGCCGGUGCAUGUCGGGCCAAAUCACUAAAGCAGGCUGCAUACUCUGACACCGUCAUAGCACCCUGGUGCAGCUGCUAUAACUCCGCGCGCCAUGAGUCCCUGAGGCUCUAAGGGACAUACUCUCUUAAAAACAUGUUCGAGAAUUGAGUCCAUGUAAGUGAAGCUGCCUUAUUCGGACUACUCAACUCAUAAGCACGCCACCACUGAUAGGCUGCUCCUCUAAGCUGGAAAGUGGUAAAAGAAACCCCACUCGUCUACGCUACACCCAUAGUACGGAGAAUACGAUGACACUCCUCUAGAAAAUCCUGAGCAUCAUCUAUAGCCAAUCCGCUAAAGGUAGGUAGGUGGUACUUCUAGUACCUCUCAAGUCUGAGCUGCUCCACCUCAGAAGCGGCUGUCCUAGUCUCAUGCUGAACCGGGGCUACCGGCAGCAUAUGAAUGAACUCUGGGGCCUGAUCAACCUGGACCCUCUACUCAGGAGUGUGGGCUACAGGAGUCUGUACCCCUCCCCAGCGUGAGAUGUGGCGGGAGCUAACAGAAUUAAUCCAGCCUGAGCUAAGGUGCUGAACAUGCUCAUGAACUGAGCUAGAGUCUCCUGGAGGGCUGGUGCAGUAAUAGGGACCUCCGAUGCCUGCUCUCCAGCUGGAACUGCUAGGGGCUCCUCUGUUGCAGCUCGCGCGGGUGCUCUGGCUGCACCGCAUGGCCGUACUCUACCCCGACCCCGGCCUCUGGCGGCUCUAGCAGAGGGCGCGGGUGCCUGGUUGUCAGAUCCUCCGUUACGGGUCCUCACCAUCUGUGAGAAAGAAUAGAAUAAAGAAUUUUUAGAAUUUCAUGCCAAUAACUCGCACGACAAGGAAUCAAAAGAAGUAUGUUUAUUCCUAACAGUUCCAUAGUCUCCCGAAGAUAAGUACAGACGUCUCCGUACCGAUCCGCGAGACUCUAAUAAACCGGCUUGUGACUCACGACUCUUAUGAACGUAAAGCUCUGAUACCAACUUGUCACGACCUAAUUUCUCCCUCCAUGAACCGUCGUAACGGCACCUAGUCUCUACGACUAGGUAAGCCUAAAACUUUACGGAAAUGAAACAAAAACAAGAAAAUUAACUACUAACAGUAACAAAUAUGUAAUAAGCAACUGAAUGCCACUCGGCAUAUACAAUUAUCACCUCUGAAAAUGUACAAAACAAUUCCCAAAACCCGGAAUACCAUAUGUCACAAGCUACUAAGAAGUCUUAUCUGUUUUAUACAUCAUUUCUACAGAAAGAAGACAAAAUAAACAUAGGGGGAUAGAUGGGGACUCCGAGGAUCCGCGGGCACGAGCAGAUGUACCGUGAAGUCUCCAAUAAGCAACAACAACUGCAACUAGUGAUGAGGCUGGUAAGAUGAACCUAGAUCUACACACGAAAAACAUGUGCAGGAAAUGACGUGAGUACACCUCAACGGUACCCAGUAAGUGCCAAGCCUAACCUCGAUCGAGUAGUGACGAAAUCAGGCCAGGGCCCUACUUGUAUAAAUAUAAUGAAAUAGGACAGAAUGAAAUAUCACAGUAAAAAUAAAUACGGAAAUCUAACAGGAAUAGAAUCAAUGAANNNNNNNNNNNNNNNNNNNNNNNNNNNNNNNNNNNNNNNNNNNNNNNNNNNNNNNNNNNNNNNNNNNNNNNNNNNNNNNNNNNNNNNNNNNNNNNNNNNNNNNNNNNNNNNNNNNNNNNNNNNNNNNNNNNNNNNNNNNNNNNNNNNNNNNNNNNNNNNNNNNNNNNNNNNNNNNNNNNNNNNNNNNNNNNNNNNNNNNNNNNNNNNNNNNNNNNNNNNNNNNNNNNNNNNNNNNNNNNNNNNNNNNNNNNNNNNNNNNNNNNNNNNNNNNNNNNNNNNNNNNNNNNNNNNNNNNNNNNNNNNNNNNNNNNNNNNNNNNNNNNNNNNNNNNNNNNNNNNNNNNNNNNNNNNNNNNNNNNNNNNNNNNNNNNNNNNNNNNNNNNNNNNNNNNNNNNNNNNNNNNNNNNNNNNNNNNNNNNNNNNNNNNNNNNNNNNNNNNNNNNNNNNNNNNNGGGGAUCUCCCAGAAUGCCGUUCCGUAGUCCCAAAAUAAAUAUGCAAAAUAGGGGGAUCUCCCGGAAUACCGUUCCGUAGUCCCAAAGUAAAUAUGCAGUAUAGGGGGAUCUCCCAGAAUACCGUUCCGUAGUCCCAAAGUAAAUAUGCAGCGCAACCAACCGAAAUAACAAUUACAACAAGAAAUCCUACAGUUUAGAUUAAGUUCAAGUCAAGGAAAGCAGGAAAUUUCACUAAAAAUGCUCCACAGAGUUCAAAUAGGCAGUUAAACAAGUAGGCAUGCUAUUCUAGUCUAAGCAGGAUAGUUACACAUGCUAGUGUGUUUCAAAUAAGGAGAAAACAAGUUAUGACUUAGUGAAAAACGGAGUUUUAAAACAAAUAGCCCGUGUACGUACUCGUCACCUCUCGUACACGGCGCUCACAUAUCAAACGUUACCAAAAUCCUAAGGGGAGUUCCCCCACAUAAGGUUAGGCAAGACACUUAACUUGAACCAAGCUCAAAUCAAUCCGAAAUAACGCUCUUUCCACGAGUAUCCAACUCCGAGUGGCCCAAAUCUAGACUAAUCAAUUACAUAUAGUAAACAUAGCUACAAGAAACUAUUAUAGCUAAUAAAAUCAAAGCUAAAGCAAGAAAUUAGAAAAAUGCCCGAAAAGCCUCCUCCGGGCCCACGUCUCGAAAUCGGGUAAAAGUUACCAAAUAAGAACACCCAUUCACUCACGAUUUCACUCGUACAAAAAUCAUCCAAAACCGACGCCUAAUUCCCACUCAAAACUCAGAUUUUUGGUUGGUGAACUUUUCCCCCAGUUCCCUUAUUUCCUCACUCAAAUUCCUUAAUAUAAUGAAGAAAACAACUAUGGGUUAAUGACAUAUGAUCAAAAUAGGAUUAGGAAUCGUUACCCACUAAUUUCAUCUGAAAAACUUUCAUAACAUCGCCUUCCUCCGAGCUCUUAAUCAAAUUUUGUGUUAUGAAAUUUCAACCCUCGAAUCCGCCUUUUUCUGCCCAGCGAUUAUCGCACAUGUGAGCCAAGGAUUGCAUCUGCGGUUCCGCAUCUACGGAAUUCCCAUCGCAGGUGCAGCUUUUCACUUAAGGUACCUCGUCCGCAUCUGCGAUCAAGAGGUCGCACCUGCGUGUGCGCAUAUGCGGACCUUUUUGUCUGCUUCUGCAGUCCGAGACCGCUCCUGCGGUUCCUUCACUCGCACCUGCGGGCAUCGCAGAUGCGGAACACCCCUCGCACCUACGAUCCCAGACCUCCUUCCCAUUUCUGCUUCUGCGGUUCCAUAGCCGCUUUUGCGGAUCCGCACCUGCGGCUUAAAGUGCGCUGGUGUUGUGACACCAGAUACAACAACAUCAGCAGUUUCACCUAAGUCCAAAUCAACCUGUUAAGCACCCGAAACUCACCCGAGGCCCCCUGGACCUCAACCAAACAUACCAACCAAUCCUAAAAUACCAUAUGAACUUAACCGAGCUUUCAAAUCACAUCGAACAACAUCACAACACGAAUAAUGCACGGAUUCAAGCCUAAGGAACUUUGAAAUUUCCCAAAUCUACAACCGACGUUGAAACAUAUCAAAUCUAGUUCGAAUGACCUCAAAUGUUACCCACAUGUCACAAAUGACACUACGAACCUACUCCCACUUCCAGAAUUCCAUUUCGGGUCCGAUAUCAAAAUUUCUACUGCCGACCAAAAUCGCCAAAAUUCCAACUUUCGCCAAUUCAAGCCUAAAUCUACUAUAGACCUCCAAAACACUAUCCGAACAUGCCCCUAAGUCCAAAAUCACCUAACGGAGCUAACAGGAUCAUAAAAAUUUAAAUCCGAGGUCGUCCUAUGUGGAGUAUUCCCUUGUGCUUUAUUCUAGUUGUCUCAUGACUGCCUUUCCGGCCCAUUUACGCAUGAUGGUAUGAUAAGGAAGAUACUUUACAUGGGUACUCGGUUGAGUAAGGCACUGGGUGUCCGUCGCGUCAAUAUGAUUUGGGUCUGACAGUUUUGGGGUUGAAACGCAUGCGGUGAGAUAAGGUGGGCUUGAUACACGUGGCUAGUAAGGGAACUACUAGAAGUCAUUUGGUAUGAUAAGGUGGGCUAAAACGCAGGAUGCUAUUUCGGGAAAAUGAUUUUUAAUACUAAAUGUAGAGGCUCCCGCGGUGAUAUAAGGAAAGAUUGUGGAUUGUUUAUGUAACUUGAGACUACGAGGCGGUACCUCAGUAGUUACUCUUGUUGUUCCUCUAUUUGGUUGUUUGUUUCCUUGUCUUAACAUUUCCUUGCUUUAUUCCAUGAUGUACUAUCUGCCUUGAUUUUGCAUAGUUAAUUUUGGCUUAUCCCUUACUUGUUUUAGUUUCGUUAUUAUUAUUAUUACAUUGUUAAACUAUUUGUACAAUAUUUUCUUAUUUAUUUCCAGUAGGGCCCUGACCUGACCUCGUCACUACUCUACCAAGGUUAGGCUUGGCACUUACUGGGUACCGUUGUGGUGUACACAUGCUACUCUUCUGCAUAUCUUUUUGUGCAGAUCCAGGUACUUCCUAUCAGCCCAAGCAUUAGCUAGAGUUCUGCUACGGAGACUUCAAGGUACACCUGCCGGCGUCCGGAGGCCUCGAAGUCCCCCUUUCUCUGGAUCUCUUUAUUCAUUAUCUUUUCAUAUAUAGAUAUUGAUGUAUAGGAUUAUUAGAUAUUUCUACUUAGAGCUUGUGAAUUGUAUCUUGCCGGGUCUCGGGAGUUGUAUAUGUUGAGUUGCAAAAUUAUUUUAUAAAGUUUCUGAGUUGAGACUUAAUUAUUAAUUCAGUUAUUCCGCAUGUAUGUUAGGCAUACCUAGUGUUAUAGACUCGGUGACAUCACGACAUCCUUGAGAGGAAAAUUAGGGUCGUAACAAUUACUCAAACUUAAGAUACCUUGGCUAGGUUGAUAUACAUGUUCAAUUGUCAGACUCAACUCUUAAGAGUUAGUCCAGUGCACGAAGCAUUCCGCGUUCAUGUCGGGUUCGAGGAGAAGGGACUAACGUAAGGGGGUGUAAUGUAGACAACCUAUCCUAUUGCAAGCACCAGUAGUUGAUUCCAUGGCUCGAACCCAUGAUCAAUAAGUCACCCAAAGAUAACUAUACUAUUGCUCCAAGGCUCCCAUUCACCAUUAUGAGUUAGUGGUGAAUAAUUUAUUAACUCAUAUAAUGGUUGUCACUAUGACUGUUGUCAUGAUUAACCCUUUCUUUAUGGAAAAGUUUGGACAGUCUUUUCUCACAUAAAAUAUGUGCAUUUGUUAAAUUAAGUGCCUCCCAAAAUCACUUAAGCCCUUGGUUCUUUACCUAGUUUCAUAUGCUUAGUAAGUAAAGUACAAAAAAGUAAAGAAUACAUAAGUUGACGUGAAAAAUCACCCGGCUCAAAAGGUGCAAAAAUCACAACCUACCAUAUAGGAUUUAACUUCAACUCACUAGAACAAAUGAGCCAAAUGUACAAAUUAUAACUCUUGUAACCUAGUACAACUGCAAACUACAACUAUUUCACUUAUUGUAUGAUUAUUACAAGUUUAUCCAACAUACAAAAUACAAUAGAUGACUCGAGUAGUAAUAUUUUCAAAGAAAUAGAAAUGUAACUCAAUUACCUAAUACACAUGAACUAGACUAACUCAUGUUAUACUGAUAAUCAUAAAGAAUCGGCUCCUUCAGUUUGCUCUUCGAUCUUGAACAGACUUGGUCAUCCACCUUCGAUAUGAGUUGUUGAUCAAAAGAAAUCUUCUUUACUCACAAUAUGUACGUCAAAAGGGAUGAUUGCUACAGCCUUGGAGUACAAAAUUUAAGUCCACUUGGAAACCGAAUACUUAGGAGUUCUAGAGAUAAUAGAACUCUCAUUAUUUUAUGAGUCAUAGAGAUAAAAGAACUCCUCAAGUUUCGUAACUCCUGUCCAUGAAGAUCUCAUCCAAACAUCUUUAUUCCGUUACAGAUUUCUUUCUUGGACCAUAAUAACUUUUGAUACUUCUGGAAUAAGUUAAUAUCAUACAAAAAGUUUCUGUUAUAUCCGUGAGAACCUAGUUCUUCACGUCCAUUGCAGAUAUUGUUAAUCAUCAAAAUACCUAAUUCAACAGAUUUCCCCUUUUGUGUAAUGACAAAUAAUGUGCAUAUGAACUAGGAACCUUUAUUUCAUAUAGGGUAGUGAAAUAAGACAAUAAGAACAGUAGAACCAUAAGCACUCCCCACUAUCUUCCCCUUUUUGGCAACAGAGGAAUAAUGCAUUAGAUGGUGCUAAUUAAGCCAAAAGUCUCUAAUAAAAAUUAAUAUUAAAACAAAAAUAGUUCAGACAUUCUUGCAUUCUAACUAGAGGACAAAAUAAGAAAAGUCAUAACUAAGAAGAACUAGAUUCAGACACUAGAUAGGGGACAAGGACCAAAUUCUUAGGUGAGAAGUGGAUGGGCUCAAGUCUUUCACAAGUGUUGCAACAUACUGAGCAUGAGCCUCUAUAUCUUUCCUUUACCCCUCUCUUAGCUCCUUUGUAUCUUUCCUCAAAUCAUCAUUAUCUUCUCUAAGCUUUUGUUCUCCUCUAAAGCCAACUUCAGUCUCAUACAAAGCUCAAUGACUGUGCUACUUCUAGGCAAAAUAGCAGUCCCAGUUGGACCCCUAGCUUUAACCUCACCAUACCCACACCGUCAGAGUGUAACCCCAUCUAGUACAUCAUUGUGGUUCACAUGCUUAAGUUAUUGAAAAUAAAUGUUGAGCUUGUCGAAUAGCUCAGUCAGCAUGAACCCAUAUGUCAUAUCAUAUCUUGGCUUUAAGGUAUCAGUAACCCUGGCCACAUGCUGAAUCAACAAGCUAGGAAGAUUGAUGGCUUUUCAGUAUCUAGCAGUUCCAUCACAACCAUGUCAAACAUAGUGGAUUAAUGUCUUCUCUCAGAAUUAAACCAAUUAACUCAUCAAUCCGUAAAUCAAGUAAAGCAAAGAAAUUGACAAUGACACGGAAUCACCCUUCGUGCUUUUGCUCUCGUCCUCACCAUGUAACAUCAUAAAUGAAAUGGCACAGGAUCACCCUUCGUACUUUUACUCUCUUCCUCACAUGAUAUGAUAAUGAAGAUAAGCAAUCAAAUACACGACAUCACCCUUUGUGCUUUAAUCCUCACAAUAUGUCAAAUAAAUGAUAUUGAAUACAAAUAAGGCACGACAAUACCCUUCGUGCUUUUCCCUCUUCCUCACCGAGCAACAACACUAAUCCAAAAUAGAAAACAAGGUGGAAAUCAAUUUCACUUCAAUAUUAGUGUAAUGGUAAUGCAUCUCAACUUUCAAAAUCCCAACAACUUCAAAAUAAGCAAUAGAUAUGAAAAGCGAACAAUUAAAGAAGUAAUAAUCUAACUACGGCAUGGAAAGCAUAAUAAUGGAAACAACAUAAUACAAUAAAAUAAUUUUCACCCGUAUGCUUUAACCCAAUAACAACGUAUAUAUACUCGUCACCUUACAUAUAUGCCGUUCCUACACAUAAUUCACGUAGCAAGUAGACCAACAAGUCCUAAUCCCCCAAGUCAAAGUUAACCUCGACACUUACCUCACUAUACAACCAAAUCAAUGCUCAACCGUGGCUUUUCCAUUAGAAUUAGCCUCCAAACUAAUCAAAUCUAGCCAAAUAUAGUUCAAAUAAUUCAAAAUAGGCUUUAGAAACUACCCACGAGUGAAAAAGAUUCAAUCUUUAAUGAGUUUGGAAAAAGUCAACAAAAGCCAUACUCGGGCCUCUUGGUCAAAAUCCGAGAGUCGGACGAAAACCCAUUCACCCUGAGCCCGAUUAUAUCAUUUAUUUUAAAAUCUAAUCUCAAUUUGAGGUCUAAAUCUCAAUUUUACAGAAUCCCCAAUUUCUAUCCAAAUCCCUAAUUUCUACCAUGAAAAUCUUAGAUUAAAGAUUGAAAUCAAUGGGUUUUUAUGAAAAUAUAACAAAACAAGUUAAUAUUUACUAACCAAUGAAAUAGGGAUGAAAAACCUUUUCAAAAUCGCCUCUAGGUCAAGCUCUAACUUCAAAAUGGUAAAAAAUGAUUUAAAUCUCGACUUUCAGCUAGUUUAAUACAUGGGCAUCAGGUGUUCUUCGCGUUCGCGAAGUACUUGAUGCGUUCACUAAGAGCAGUGGCCAAAUGGCCUACGUGCUGGCGAGUCCAGCUUCGCAUUCGUGAAAGCAUCCCAAAGCUUCGCGUUUGCGGGAGGACAUACUCAUUCGCGAAGGGCAUUCCUCCAGGCCCUCGCGUUUGCAAUACAACCCUCGUGUUCACGUACCCUACCAGACCCUUGCCCGUUUUCCCUUUGCGAUCACGAAGAACAAUGCAUCAUACACCAGAAAUAGUUGAAACAAACAAUCUCUUAGGUGCAAAAAUGAUCUGAAGCCUAUUGGAAACUCACCCGAGCCCCUCGAGCUCCAAACCAAAUAUGCACACAAGUGUAAUAAUAUCAUACGAACUUGCUCGCAUGAUCAAAACACCAAAAUAACAUCUAGGACUACGAAUCAGACAUCAAAAUUAUUGAAAUUUCAAAGAAAACUCAAUAACCUCUAAAAUCACAACCAAGCGUCCGAAUCCUAUCAAGCAAACUCCGAUAUGCACCAAAUUUUGCACACAAGUUUCAAAUAGCAAACGGAGUUAUUCCAUGUCUGAAAUCCAAAAUCCGAACCCGAUAUCCAUAAAGUCAACCUACGGUCAAACUUAGGAUGUUUCCAAACUUUCAAAUUGCUAAACUUCGGCAAAAUAAGCCAAAUCAACCUAGGGAUCUCCGAAUUCUAUUCUGGGCAUACGCAUAAGUCCAAAAUUAUAAUAUGGACCUACUAGAAUCGUCAAAACACCGAUUUGGGGUCGUUCACACAAAAUGUUGACCGUAGUCAACUCAAGUUAUUUUUAAUGUCUAAAAGUCAUAUUUUCUUCAAAUAUUUACGUAAAAACCUUUCGGAAAAAGACAGACUGCGCAUACAAAUCAAUAAAUAUUAAUGAAGCUAAUAGAGGUUUGAAACAUGAAACUAAGGGCUGGUACUGUCAUGACCCAACUCCCACUGGAGCCGCGACGACGCUUAACACUACAUAUUAGGCCAGCCAACAGUUCACAAAAUGACUAAGUAUUUGGAUAAACAUGGUUUAGCAAACUUAAUAGCGGAAAUUCAUAAUUUUCUAAUGAAAAUAGUAACAAUACUGAUACAACCAUCCCCGAAAUCUAGUGUCAAUGAGUAGGUGGGCACUACCGAGUAUCAUAAUAUAAACCAAAUCCAUAGUACAAUUGUCUGAACAAUAGAAUAGUAACAAGAAAAAUAAAGGAAAGAGAGUCAAGGUCUGCAGACGUCAUAGAAGCUACCUCGAAGUCUCAUGACACUGGCACCAGCACGGAUCUAGCAAUCAUCACGUUCAGAUGUACCUGGAUUUACACACGAAGUGAAGAGUAUAGUAUGAGUACAACCGACCCCAUGUACUCAAUAAGUAACAGAACUUACCUUGGGCUGAAAGCAGUGGCGAGCUCAGAAGAAGACAGUCAAAACCAAUAUAAAUGACAACACAGAUAUAAUGAUGACAAUAACAAUAAGUAACUCAAAAUAAUUAUCAAAAUCUACUUGUUCAUAUUAUAGGAGUUUAGACAUGCUUUCAAGUAUAACAAUCAGAGCACAUCACUCAUAAGAACAUGUCAGAUACAACUAGCAUGAGGAAUAAUACAUCUCUAUGCAUGCAUGUUAAGUAUGCAUGUCAAAUGAAUGAUUUUACGGGAAUAUCCCCAUAUACUCUCACUCUCAACAUACCCAAGCUGUCUGUCCCAAAUGCCCACCUCAUCACAUAUAUAAUCACUCAGCACUGUACGGAUGCCUGACAUCUAUGUCCCUCACUAAUGCAUGUGUAUAUAUCACUGUGUCUGCACUCAGUGUAGGUAUGUCUGACUCCGGAAGGGCGAAUCCUGCCCAAGCGCUAAUCAAAAGCCAAUAAGGCAUGUUGCACCGUACAACCCGAUCCACAUAAUAAUAAUAAUAAUAAUAACAAUAAUAAUAAUAAUAAUAAUAAUAAUAAUAAUAAUAAUAAUAAUAAUAAUAAUAAUAAUAAUAAUAAUAAUAAUAAUAAUAAUAAUAAUAAUAGUAAAGCCAAUAUAGCCUUCAAGGGCUCACAAUCUCGUAUCGCUCAGCCCAACAGCUCCAUAUAUGGAACAAUAAUGAAUGAUGAACAAAUACCAAGAUAUGACAUGCCAAUGAAGAAUCAUGACUGAGUGUAAAAAUACAGUUAAAUCAGAUAAUCCGAAAUAACAAAAAUAGCCUCAUCAGGUCACAAUUAAAUAACCACACAACCUAAAUAUGAUUUCUAGCAUGAAUCAUGGCUCAAUUAAUCUAACAAAUAGGGAGGCACAGAUAAAACAAGAUAUGAUAGCAACAUAGUCCAAUAGUCAACCUGGAACGUGAUUACCGCGGUGCAUGCCCACACGCCUGUCACCCAGCAUGUGCGUCACCCCAACACAUCCCAAAUAACAAGUUUUCCUGGGAUAAAUACCCUCAAUUCAAAGUUUAGAAAUGUUACUUACCUCAAAACGCGUAACUCAAUACUCCAACAAGCCCUUGCCUUGCAAAUCGGCCUCCGAACGACUCGAAUCUAGUCACAAACAACUUAAUACCAUCACUAAUAGCUGUAAGAAAUAGUUCCAAAUGAUAAAGCUAAGAUAUGUAACUUCAAUCAAAAGGUCAACCCAAAAAGUCAACCCCUGGCUCGCACCUUGGAACCCAACAAAAUUCAAAAAUGCUGGUCACCCAUCCAAUUACGAGUCUAACUAUACCAAAAUCAUCAAAUUCCAACCACAAAUCGACCCUCAAAUCAUCAAAUCUCACUCUCCAAUACCAUAGUCUAAAACCUCCAAAUUUCACUUCAAAUUCACUUAAUCUGGGUGUAAUAAUCAAUGGGUAAUCAAUAUUUAUCAACAAAAGUGAUUAAACUUCACUUACCUCUUCAAUUGAAGCAAAAUCCCUCUCAAAAAUCGCCCUUAACCGAGUCCCAAUACUCUACAAAUGAGUAAAAUCACGAAACAUUUCUAAUAUAAAAUAUGCCCAGCAAUAACGCUUCUGUGGUCCAAAAGGUCGCACCUGCGAUGCUGCACCUACGGUCAAACCAUCAUAGGUGCAAAAAUUCCUUAAACCCUGACCAUGUGCACCUUCGGCUCAAAAUAUGUACCUGCAGGACCGCUUUUGCACAACUGCACCUACAGUUACCUUCUGCAUCUGCGGCUCAAGCCUACCCAACCCAACUCCGCUUCUGUGUAACACCAUAUGCAUCAACGGGUUCGCAGAUGCGGAAAAUCGUUAGGCUCUGUGGCCUUCUCCGGCACUAGCCAAAGUCGCUUCUGCAUUUGUAGGGCCACUUCUGCGGUCAAAUCCUUGCAGGUGCGAUCACACCAGUACCUAAAACUUCCGCAUUCCCUCAAGUCCAAACAUCUAUCUUAUUCAAUCCGAAUCACACCCGACGCCCCCCGAGACACUAUCCAAACAAACCUACAGGUCCUAAAACAUGAUAAGAACUUACUCAAAGCCUCAAAUCACAUCAAAACCACGAAUCACACCCCAAUUCAAGCCUAAGGAACUAAUGAACUUUCAACUUCUAAAACUAAUGCCGAACCAUGUCAAAUCAACUCCGAAUGACCUGAAAUUUUGCAUGCAAGUUCCAAAUGACACAAUGGACCUCUUCCAAUUUCCGAAACCAUAAUCCGAACUCGGUAUCAACAAAUUCAGCCCUCGGUCAAUCCUCUCAACCUUCCAAACCUUCAACUUUUCAACUUUCGCCAAAAGCAUCAAUUCAACCUACGGACCUUUAAAGCAACAUCCAGACAUACUCCUAAGUCCAAAAUCACCAUACAAAUAUAUGGGAUCUAUCAAAGCUCCAUUCCGGAGUUAUCUACACAAAAGUCAAACUCCGGUCAACUCUUUCAACUUAAGCCUUCACCUUUGGGACUAAGUGUCUCAAUUCACUCCAAAACGUUUCUGAAACCAAUCCAACCAACCUGGCAAGUCACAUAACCAUUAAUGAAUGUGGAAGAGGCAAUACAUAGGGAAAUAGGGCUACAAUACAUGAAAUGACCAAUCAGAUAGUUACAAGUACUCAAAAUGAUCUAUCUGGUCGUCACAUACAUGAAAUCUAAGUUUAACUCUUAGCAUCACAAUCAUCAAAAAGAAAAAACAAAUCAUGUGUUUGACUUAUGAAAAUGAAUCUAAUACAUGUGAAAAUACAUGUUAAAAAUAUAAUUAAAUUAAUAAAAUUUUGCUAUCUAUUACAAAUUAAGCUUCUACAUGAGGUGAUGUGAUCACAUAUUUAAUAUAACUGAUUAGAGAAAAAGGACUUUGAUUAGAUAUUUUACGAACGAUGAAAAACAAGUGUAGAACACUAAAAUAAGAGUUUUUCUUCUAUGCAAUAAAGGUGCAAAAAUAUUCUCACAGUCACUGCAGGUGGAUUUAUAAGGUUUUAAUAACAUCAAAGACCUUAAGGUAGAUCCUAGCAUGCAUCAGUACACUUAAGAGGGCCAUUUCUAUGGUGCAGUAUGUCAACAAAUCUCAAUACAUGAUUUUUGUGUACAAGUUGUCAUGACAUGCAUACAUAAUCAGAAUAGUAUAGUAUCAUAGUCAAGUCUAUCAACUAGAGUCAUUUAAGUAAGGACAUGUCAUUAUGAGCAUUGUGAAUAUCUCUUAAUGAGAAUUAUUCACUGAGCUUAAACCAAUACAACAUCAUAGAACGGUCAGGAUUAUUAUAGGUACAGGGUCUUAAGAGGUUAACACACAGAUACAAGUGCAAAGUUCCUCAAGCCAAGGUCAUAUAAUGGUCCAUGAACACAGCAUAACUGAAAUGACAAAUGUGAGCUCAGGUAUAGAGGUUAAGAAGAGUUUUUCAAUUAAGAUAGAAGCAAGAAUUUCAUGUGGCUACCAUCACAAAGCUCAAACAGCCAUGAGAUGUGCUACAUCUCAUGUUUUCAUACGUUAAAGUAUGUCAUAAGUCAAUUGAUGUAAGAUCCGAAAUGAGAUCAUCAUUGAAAGUAUGUAAAGUAAGUUAUUCAUGUUACCUUGGAGGCAAUAAAUAUUUAGGAUCAUGAAUAACAAGUACCAAGAGGGUUGGAAGGCCUAGAAGCUAAACGAAUUGAAGAAAAUAAGUUUCGUCUAAAGUCGACAAGUUGAGAAUGUUAUAAUGUGUCCUUUUAGGGUGAGACUAGGGUACUUAACAUGAUAAGGAGGUUAUGCUUUAAGUUAUUUUAGUCGCAUGAUAGUCGCGUAUUAUGUUUUGAAGUCAAGCGAGUUGUGGAACAAAAGUUGACAAAGGUAUCACGACCCAAAAUCCCAACCUGUCAUGAUGGCACCUAACACAUUUACUAGACAAGCCGACAAUCACAUAACAACUAAGAAUUUGAAUUAAGACAUGAUUUAAAAAUAUCAACAAUGGAAAAUCUCAUAAAUAUCUGAUAAAAAUAACUAAAACUCUACUACAACCAUCCAAAAACCUGGUGUCAUCGAGUACAUGAGCUACUAAGUAUCAACAUAGUCUGAAACUCUAAUACAACUGUGUGAGAAAUAGAACUGUACUAAAUAAAAUGAAAAGAAGGAAAGUCGAGGUCUGCAGGCAUCGUAACAUCUAUCUCAAAGUCUCCGAGCAGGUACUGGCACCAAAUCUAGCAAUCGCUACGUCCAGAUGUACCUAGAUCUAUACAUGAAGCGCAGGGUGUAGUAUGAGUAGAACCAACCUAAUGUACUUAAUAAGUAAUAGGACUAACCAUGGGCUGAAAGCAGUGACGAGCUUAGAAGGAUACGGUCAGAACCAAUAAAAUGAUUAUAUGGAUAUCACAAUGAGACUCCGGAGGGGCGGAUCCUACCCAAAUGCUAAUAUAAAGCCUAUAAGGCCUGCUGCGGCGUGCAGCCCGAUCCUCAAUAAAUAAAUAAGCCAAUAAAUCCUAUUGUGGCAUCCAACCCGAUCUAAAAUAGCACUCUCAACUCGGCUCUCAGGCCCAACUACCAAACUCUCAAGUCUCACGGGGAUCACAAUCUCAUACUACUCAGCCCAACUCAGUAUGAACAUGUAAUUAAACAGUAAAUGAUAAUAGAGACUGAGAUAUGAUAUGCAAGUAAAGGAUCAUGAAUGAGCACACAGUUGCAGUUAAAGCAGAUAGCUCAAAACAGCAAAAAUAACCUCACUAGGCCUCAACAGGAUAAGCACAUAGCCUAAACAUGUUGUCUAACAUGAAGUUCAAUUACUCUAACAAGUAAGGAUUUCAUGGAUAGAACAAGACUUGAUAACAACACAGUACAAAAGAAUCAACUGAAUCAUAUUUACCACGGUGCACGCCCACAUGCCCGUCACCCCAACACAAACAUAUAACACAUUUUCCAGGGAUUCAUACCCUCAGUACCAAGUUUAGAAGUUUUACUUACCUCAAAGUGCGGAACUCAAUGCUACAACAAAACCUUUGUCACGCCCCAAACCCGGGGAGGUGUGGUCGGCAUCCGGUUCCAUACUCGGACCGAGCAUACUACUCUAGAACUUUGAACUCUAGAGGGGUAGCCCUCAACUUAGGCUGACGAGGCCUACUUACAAGCUGACAAUACCAACCAAGAUCGAUGGGGCCAUAUUCUGAAUUAUCUGAAAGUAAUGUCUCUAUCAUCUGAGGUGUAAACAUACCCAAAAGCUCAUAUAUAUAAUUGUGCAGGCCAACAAUAAUGUCAUGAUCAUCUACUGAUAUACAAAAUAUACAGGACUCAUCUACAAGCCUCUAGAGAUAACUGAACUGUAUCAUGGUCGGGACAGGGCCUCGACCUACCCAUCAAACAUGUAUUUUCAAAUAGACUCCAAGGUCUAGACCUGGUAACUUCGAGGAAGUGGAGCUUACCAACCAAGAUGAUGUUAGACUCUGUCUACUGGGAAGGUCUAUCCAGCUGUCUAUCAUGACCUGCAGGUAUGAAAUGCAACGUCCCUAGAAAAGGGACAUUAGUACAAAAUAAUGUACCGAGUAUGUAAGGCAAUAGAAUAACCGAAAGCUGAAACUGAACUGAUAAUAUAAUAACUGAAAGUAACUGGAGUCAAAGAUGAUUUGAGAAUAUGCUUACUUGCUGAUACUGACUCAACUCUCUCAAUAUAGUAAGUAAAAUAGUUGUCCGACCCUAUAAUGAUCGGUACGUGUAACUGGUCUGCCGUAAUAGGCUCGCUCAUAGGUGUUUGACCAUAAUAGGCUCUAUAUUUCGGCCAUUCUGGGCCCACUCAUAGGCUCUCAGCCACAAUAGGCUCAAUAUAUAACUUCCCAUCUGAUCAGAAGUUGCCCAAUAGGGGCUUGCCAACCGAUUAUAGCUCGAUGGUGAUGAAAAUACUGUAAUACUACCCAAUAGGGGCCUGCCUACCGAUUAUAGCUCCAUGGUGGUGAAAAUACUAUAAUAAUAUAUAUGGACCCUCUUGUCACAACCCAAAAACCAAACGUCGUGAUGGCAUCUAUCGUGGAACUAGGCAAGCCAACUAUUCGACCACUUCAACCAAAUAAAAGCUUUGAAAAUUAUACGGAAGCAGUUGAUAUUUAAGAAAAAACUUUUUAACAAAAAAUAGAAAUAAAUCCACAAUGUAGUACAAAUAUUUCCCAAAACCGGUGUGUCACCGAGUACAUGAGCAUCUAUACAAGGAACGGUUUACGACAAUGUCUAAGGAAUAAGAACUGAAAUGCAAUUAAAGAUAAUGAAGGAGAGUGAAGGCAUGCGAACGCCAUGCUGCUACCUCGAUAGUCUCUGGAAUGAGCUGCUCAAAUAUCAACACCCGCUAUGACCGGGAACACCUGGAUCUGCACAUGAAGUGAAGGGUGUAGCGUGAGUACAACGAAAUCAGUAAGUAACAAUAAUAAAUAAGGAACUGAAAGAUAGUGACGAGCUACACAAUUAUAGUUCGUUUUCUGUAAUCUCAGCAAGAAAGUAGACAUGCUUUCAAAUCCAGCAAUUUAAGUCAAAUCAGUUUAUACAUUACCAAGUUCAAGUAAAAUCGGAUACAAUAUCUUCCAGGAGUUCCAAAACAGCGACAUAUAGAAGCUAAGUGCAAUAACAAAUGAAAGCAAGUACAAAAUCUCAGGGCAACAAUCACUCAAUAUUUCUCAAUAGCUCAAACACUCGGCUCUCAGCUCUCAACACUCACAUACAAUAGGUAUCUGUGCACACUGGGGGUGUACAGACUCUGGAGGGGNNNNNNNNNNNNNNNNNNNNNNNNNNNNNNNNNNNNNNNNNNNNNNNNNNNNNNNNNNNNNNNNNNNNNNNNNNNNNNNNNNNNNNNNNNNNNNNNNNNNNNNNNNNNNNNNNNNNNNNNNNNNNNNNNNNNNNNNNNNNNNNNNNNNNNNNNNNNNNNNNNNNNNNNNNNNNNNNNNNNNNNNNNNNNNNNNNNNNNNNNNNNNNNNNNNNNNNNNNNNNNNNNNNNNNNNNNNNNNNNNNNNNNNNNNNNNNNNNNNNNNNNNNNNNNNNNNNNNNNNNNNNNNNNNNNNNNNNNNNNNNNNNNNNNNNNNNNNNNNNNNNNNNNNNNNNNNNNNNNNNNNNNNNNNNNNNNNNNNNNNNNNNNNNNNNNNNNNNNNNNNNNNNNNNNNNNNNNNNNNNNNNNNNNNNNNNNNNNNNNNNNNNNNNNNNNNNNNNNNNNNNNNNNNNNNNNNNNNNNNNNNNNNNNNNNNNNNNACCCGAUCCAUAAAUACAUAUAGCUCAUAGCUCGGCACUCAAGCCCUAACUCAGUCACCAACCUCUCCAAUCUCUCAAGCUCUCAGAAAUCAUAAAUAAAAUCAGCCCAAAUAAAGAUAAUUAUAAUAUAUCAACAACAAACAAGAAGAGACUAAGAUACGAUACACAAGUGAACUGUGACUGAGUACAAAACAUCAAUUAGCAAUUAAUUCACUAAGUACACGAUAUCUGCGGGUCCCAACAGUGUAAUCACAUAGCCUAAGCAUGACUCCUAACAUGAUUUGCAGUCAAAUAUCUAUAACACAGGGAGUGCAUAUAGCUAACGACAAGUUAUUCAACUUUACAGUUCCACGGAAUGGACCAAGUCACAAUUCCCAUGGUGCACGCGCACACACCCGUCACCUAGCAUAUGCGUCACCACCAAACAAUCAUAUAACAACAAAAUUCGGGGUUUUCAUACCCUCAGGACCAGAUUUAAAACCGUUACUUACCUCAAUCCGAGCCAAAACUCUACUCCAAAAUUCCUUUGCCUCGCGAAUCGGCCUCCAAACGUCCCGAAUCUAGGCACAAGAAAUACAAUACAAUCAAUACGGCUAAAGGAAUUAAUUCCAUAAGAAAAAUACGAAUUUUAAGCCAAAAUAUGAAACUGGUCCAAACCCGAGCCACGGGCCCGUGUCUCGAAAUCCGACAAAAAUCACAAAACCCAAAAGCCCAUUCACUCACGAGUCUAACCAUACCAAAUUUAUCAAAACUCUUCAAAUCCCUAACCUCAAACCCUCAAAUUGCACCUCAAAAACUCACCAACUAGUUGUAAAAUCAGUGGGGAAACAAUAUUAUUGGCCAAAAAUGAGUACAAGAAGCUUACCUCAAGAAUCCCGUCGAAACUCCUCUCCAAAAUUGCCUAAGACCGAGUUCAAAAUGUUGAAAUGAAGCCAAAAUCAUGGACUCUCGUUUUUAAACAUUCUGCCCAAACCUUUCGCACCUGCGGCCAAUUAUCCGCACCUACGGAACCGCUUCUGCAGUUAAAUCUCUGCUUCUGCGGAGUCCACUUAACCAGUUGCCUCCGCUUCUGCGAGCGCGGGACCGCAUCUGCGUACAUUGCAGGUGCAGAAAAUUCCAUCGCACGUGUGGAAUCAUCCGCAUAUGCGCCCUUCUGCUCGCUUCUGCGACCACACAUGUGCGGCAGAAUCUUUGCUCCUACGAUCUCUGCUACCUCUCCCUUGGCCGCUUCUGCAGCUCUUGUCCCGCUUUUGCGAACUCGCACCUGCGGUUCCCACUCUGGAGGUGCGAUUACACCAGCAGCAACAAAACUUCAGUUGCUUCUCAAAUCAAACUCCAAGUCCGUUAACCACCCGAAAUCAACCCGAGGCCCCCGGGACCUCAACCAAAAAUACCAACAAGUCUUAUAACCCAAUACUAACUUAGUCAAACUAUCAAAUCACCUCAACCAACAUCAAAAACAUGAAUUGCACACAGAUUCAAGCCUAAUGAACUUUGAAAUUUCCAAAUUCUACAAACGACGUCGAAACCUAUCAAAUCACGUCCGAUUGACCUCAAAUUUUGCACAUAAGUCAUGAAUGACACCACGAACCUACUCCAACUUCCGGAAAUCCAACCCGACUCCUAUAUAAAAAAGUCCAUUCCCGGUCAAAUUUCCAAAAUUCCAACUUUCGCCAUUUCAAGCCUACUUCUACUCCUGACCUCUAAAUUACAAUCAGGACACGCUCCUAAGUCCAGAAUCAUCCAACAGAGCUAACGGAACCAUCAAAAUUCCAAUCUGAGGUCGUUUAUACAUAAGUCAACGUCCGGUCGAAUUUUCUAACUUAAUAUUUCAAUUAAGAGACGAAGUGUCUCAUUUCACUCUGAAUUCACUCCGGACCCGAACCAACUAACCCGAUAAGUCAUAAAAACAAAGUGAAGCACAAAUAUGAGAAGAAAAGGGGAACGUGGCUACAUCUCUCGAAACGACCGGCCAGGUCGUUACAUCCUCCCCCUCUUAAAUAAAUAUUCGUCCUCGAACGGGUCUAGAAACAACCUAUAGUCUCACAUAGGCGUGGAUAUCUGCUCCGCAUCUCCUGCUCGGUCUCCCAAGUAGCCUCCUCAACGGUCUAACCUCUCCACUGCACCUUCACUGAAGCUAUAUCCUUUGACCUCAACUUUCAAACCUGACGAUCCAUAAUAGCCACUGGCUCCACAUCAUAAGUCAAAUCACCAUCCAACUGAACCGUGCUAAAAUCCAAUACAUGAGACGGGUCGCCAACAUACUUUCGGAGCAUGGAAACAUGAAAUACUGGAUGCACACUUGACAAGCUAGGUGGCAAGGCAAGCUUAUAAGCCACCUCCCCAAUCCUCUGAAGUACCUCAAAAGGCCCAAUGAACCUAGGGCUCAACUUGCCCUUUUUCCCGAACCGUAUAACACCCUUCAUGGGUGAAACCUUCAACAGAACCUUCUCCCCAAUCAUGUAAGACACAUCACAGACCUUCAUAUUGGCAUAACUCUUCUGUCUAGACUGCGCCGUGCGAAGACGCUCCUAAAUCAAUUUAACCUUGUCCAAUGCAUCCUGAAUUAAGUCUAUACCCAACAUUCUAGACUCACCAUGCUCAAACUAAUCCACUGGAGAUCUACACCGCCUCCCAUACAAAGCCUCAUACGGGGCCAUCUGGAUGCUCGACUGAUAGUUGUUGCUGUAAGCAAACUCCACGAGUGGCAGAAACCGGUCCCAUGAACUUCCAAAAUUAAUGACACACACACGUAGCAUAUCCUCCAAUAUCUGAAUAGUGCUCGGACUGCCCGUCCGUCUGAGGGUGAAAUGCUAUACUCAACUCCACCUGAUUGCCCAACUCACACUGCAUGGCUCUCCAAAACUGUGAUGUAAACUACGUGCCUCUAUCUGAAAUGAUGGAAACUGGCACACCGUCAAGGAGGACAAUCUCUCGAUUGUAAAUCUCAGCCAACCGCUCUGAAGAAUAGGUGGUGCCCACUGGAAUGAAGUGCGCGGACUUGGUCAGUCGAUCCACAAUCACCCAAAUAGCAUCGAACUUCCUUGAAGUCCGUGGAAGCCCAACUACGAAAUCCAUGGUGAUCCGCUCCCACUUCCACUCUAGAAUCUCUAACCUCUGAAGCAAGCCACCUGGUCUUUGGUGCUCAUAUUUUACCUGGUGACAGUUAAGGCACCGAGCUACAAACCCCACUAUGUCCUUCUUCAUCCUCCUCCACCAAUAGUGCUGCCUCAAGUCCUGAUACAUCGUCGUGGCACCCGGAUGAAUGGAAUACCACGAACUAUGGCCUUCCUCGAGAAUCAACUCACGUAGCCCAUCCACAUUGAGCACACAAAUCCGACCCUGCAUCCUCAUUACCCCAUCAUCCCCAAUAGUCACAUCUCUGGCAUCACCGUGCUAAACCCUGUCCUUGAGGACAAGCAAAUGAGGAUCAUCAUACUGGCGCUCUGUGAUGCGAUCAAAUAAGGAAGAGCGAGAAACCAUACAAGCGAGAACCUGACUGGGCUCCGAAAUAUCCAAUCUCAUGAACUAGUUGGCCAAAGCCUGAACAUCAACUGUAAGAGGUCUCUCACCAACUGGAAGAAAAGCAAGACUACCCAUACUCACUGCCUUCCUACUCAAGGCUUCGGCCACCACAUUGACCUUCCCUGGAUGAUACAGAAUAGUGAUGUCAUAGUCCUUUAGCAGCUCCAACCAUCUCUGCUACCUCAAAUUGAGAUCCUUCUGUUUGAACAAGUGUUGGAGGCUACGAUGAUCAGUAAAGACCUCACAAGACACACCAUAGAGGUAGUUCCACCAAAUCUUCAAUGCAUGAACGAUGGCAGCUAGCUCCAAAUCAUGAACAUGGUAGUUCUUCUCAUGAGGCUUUAACUGGCAUGAAACAUAAGCAAUCACUCUACCCUCUUGCAUCAACACACACCCAAUGCCAAUCCGAGAAGCAUCACAAUACACUGUAUAAGGGCCCAAAACUGACGGCAAAACUAGAACUGGAGCUGUGGUCAAGGCAGUCUGAAGCUUCUGAAAGCUCUCCUCACACUCAUCCGACUACCGUAAAGGAGAACCCUUUUGGGUCGAUUUGGUCAAGGGCGAUGCAAUAGAUGAGAAACCCUCCACAAAGCGGCGAUAAUAAUUGGCCAAGCCAAGAAAGCUCCGAAUCUCUGUAGCUGAGGACGGUCUGGGCCAACUCUGAACUUACCUCUAUCUUUUUCAGAUCCACCUGAAUACCCUCACUGGACACCACGUGCCCCAAGAAUGCCACUAAGCUGAGCUAAAACUCACAAUUGGAGAACUUGGCAUAAAGCUUCUCCCCCCUCAACCGUUGCAACACAACACUCAAAUGUUGGGCGUGCUCCUCCUGAGUAUGAGAGUACACCAGGAUAUCGUCAAUGAACAUAAUAACAAAUGAGUCGAGAUAAGGCUUAAAUAUACUGUUCAUCAGAUGCAUGAACGUUGUUGGGGAAUUGCUCAACCCAAAAGACAUCACAAGGAACUCAUAAUGGCCAUAACGGGUCCUAAAAGUGGUCUUAAGAAUAUCCGAGUCUCGAAUCUUCAAUUGGUGAUAUCCUAACCGCAAAUCAAUCUUGGAGAACACCCUCACCCCCUGAAGCUGGUCAAAUAGGUCAUCAAUGCACGGAAAAGGAUACUUGUUCUUGAUUGUGACCUUGUUCAACUGCCUGUAAUCAAUGCACAUUCUCAUAGUACCAUCCUUCUUCUUUACAAAUAGAACUGGUGCACCCCAAGGUGACACACUAGGCCUAAUAAACAUCUUAUCAAGGAGUUCCUGAAGCUGCUCCUUUAGCUUCUUCAACUCAGCUGGUUCCAUAUGAUACAGUGGAAUAGAAAUGGGCCGAGUGCCCGACACCAAAUUAAUACCGAAGUCAAUAUCCCUGUCAGGCGGCAUGCCCGGCAGGUCCAUAGGAAACACAUCCUGAAAAUCUCGCACCACCGGAACAAAAUCAAUAGUAGGGGUCUCUACACUAACAUCCCUCACAAAGGCCAGAUAAGAUAGACAACCAUUCUCAACCAUCCGCUGGGCCUUCAAGUAUGAAAUCACUCUACUGGGAAUAUAGUCUAUAAAGCUGCUCCACUCAACCCUAGGCAACCCCAGCAUCGCCAACGUCACGGUCUUAGCGUGACAAUUUAGAACCGCAUGACAUGGAGACAACCUGUCCAUACCCAAAAUCAUGUCAAAAUUGACCAUACUAAGCAACAAGAGAUCCACUCUAGUCUCCAGACUCCUAAUAGUCACCACACAUGACCGAUAUACACGGUCUACACUAAUAGUAUCGUCCACCGGUAUAGACACAUGAACAGGUGAAAUUAGAGACUCAUAGGGCAUAUCAAGAUAAUGAGCGAAAUACGAGGACACAUACGAAUAAGUGGAACCAGAGUCAAAUACUACAGAGGCAUCCCUGUGGCAGACUGAGACAAUACCUAUCAUUAAUGUAUCGAAAGCAAUGGCAUCUAGUCUAGUGAGAAGAGCAUAGAAUCGGGCUUCACUGACACCUGAUCGGCCUCCCCCUCUAAGGUGACCUCUAGCUGAUUGGGCCCCACCCCGAGCUGGCUGGGCAGGUGGUGAAUUAACUGGUGUUAAAGUUGUGGUCUGACUCCUCUGCUAAGCCAGACCUCCCGUAAAGCGGGGACAAUAUCUCCUGAUAUGGCCAAACUCUCCACACUCAAAGCAACUCCCCAAUGGUGGUGGUGGGGACUGGAGGGAGCCCCGAGCACCGAGAUAACUGGUGAAGGACCUGGCAUAGACGAGCCCUGACCCGAUGGAGCAUGGGACAAACUCUGAGCUGGAAGGGCACUGAGAGAUGAGUGACCCUGCUGAUAACUGUGUGAACCAUGUCCAGAUGAUGCACCACAGUGAAGAGCCGUCUGAGCAUGCCUGUAAAGAUGACCCCUGCCGUGGUAGAACUGACCCCCGGAAGGAACACCACUGAAUACAUCCUGUCCUUGAGGCCUCUUAGCCUCCCUCUCAAUCCACUCCUGGCUACGGACCAUCUUUAUCUGACGAGCAAUGUCGACAACCUCAUCGAAAGUAGCACCAGACACCCUCUCUCUAGUCAUAAGCAACCGCAGCUGAAAUGUGAGGCCAUCAAUGAACCUCCCGAUCCUCCCUCUAUCGGUGGGAACCAACCAGACUUCAUGACGGGCCAACUCAGAAAACCUCAUCUCAUACUGUGUCACAUAGAUAUUGCCCUGACGAAGCUGCUCGAACUGCCUGCGUAGCUUCUCUCUGCGGGACUGAGGCACGAACUUCUCCAGGAAGAGAACAUAGAACUCCUGCCAUGUAAGGGGUGCUGCGCCGACCAGCCUAUGCCUCUCAUAAGCCUCCCACCAACUGAAGGCAGCCCCAUAGAAUUUAAAAGUAGUGAACGAGACCCCACCGGUCUCCAAAAUACCUGUUGUACAGAGAAUCCUCUAACACUUGUCUAAGAAACCCUGGACAUCUUCCGCCUCUGUACCACUGAAAGAUGGAGGCUGGAGUCUCCCAAACCUCUCUAAUCUUCGCUGCUCAUCAUAAGAUAUAACAGGAACCACAUGGGCCUUAGCAGCUGCAACCGACUGGCUUGUAGUGCCCCCGGUAUCUGAAGUCCCUGCACCACCUGAUCUAGAGUACGAGCAACAGGGGUAUGAGUACCUCCCCCGGCCUAAGAAGUGGUAGGUGAGGCUUGAGCCGAAACCACCUGAGCAAUGCCAGUGCAAACUGUCAGAAUCUGAGCUAAGGCCUCCUAAAAGCCUGGAAUCACAAUUGGCACAGGUGGUGCCUGAGUUGGUCCCACAGGCUCAUCCACAACUGGAACCUUCUCAUGAACUGGGGAAACUAGCGUAUCUGCAGGUGCUGCCCUAGCUACUGUGUGAGCUACACCUCUGCCCCUACCGCGACCUCGGCCUCUCGCCGUCCUGACUGGUGGUACUGGUGGUUGUCCACCCUGCCUAGUAGUACCUGUCCUCACCAUCUGUGAGAGAAUAGAAAAGCAAAAGUUUAGUUACCAGAACCAACAGAUUCGCACGACAAGAAUNNNNNNNNNNNNNNNNNNNNNNNNNCGUACCGAUCCGCAAGACUCUACAAAACCUGCUCAUGACUCGUGAGACCUAUGUAACCUAGGCUCUGAUACCAACUUGUCACGACCCAAAAACCAAUCGUCAUGAUGGUGCUUAUCGUGGAACUAGAAAAGCCAACUAUUUAACAAGUUCAACCAAAUAAAAGCUUUGAAAAUUAUACGGAAGCAGUUGACAUUUAAGAAAAACCUUUUUAAAAAAAAACAGAAAUAAAUCCACAGUGUAGUAUAAAUCUUUCUCAAAACCGGGGUGUCACCGAGUACAUGAGCAUCUAUACUAGGAACGGUCUACUACAAUGUCUAAGGAAUAAGAACUAAAAUGCAAAUAAAAAAAAUGAAGGAGAGUCAAGGCCUGCAAACGCCAUGCAGCUACCUCAAUAGUCUCCGGGUUCAGCUGCUCAAAUAUAAACACCCGCUAUGACCACGAAAACCUGAAUCUACAUACGAAGUGGAGGGUGUAGCGUGAGUACAACCAACUUAGUAAGUAACAAUAAUAAAUAAGGAACUGAAAGAUAGUGACGAGCUACACAAUUCUAGUUCGUUUUUUGUAAUCUCAGCAAGAAAAUAGACAUGCUUUCAAAUCCAGCAAUUUAAGUUAAAUCAGUUUACACAUUACCAAGUUCAAGUAAAUCCGGAUACAAUAUCUUCCAAGUGUUUCAAAACAGCGACAUAUAGCAGCUAAUUGCAACAACAAAUGAAAGCAAGUACAACCUCUGAGGGCAACGGUCACUCAACCUUUCUCAAUAGCUCAAACACUCGACUCUCAGCUCUCAACACUCACACAUAAUAGGUAUCUGCGCUCACUGGGUAUGUACAGACUCCGGAGGGGCUCCUUCAGCACAAGCGCUAUAUUGUUGCGGCAUGCAGCCUGAUCCAAUAUAAAGAGCAAUAAGGUUCGUUGCGGCGUACAACCCGAUCCAUAUAUAUAUAUAUAUAUAUAUAUAUAUAUAUAUAGAGCCCUGAGGCUCAUUGCGGCGUGCAACUCGAUCCAUAUAUACAGCCCUAAGGCUCGUUGCGCCGAUCCAUAUAUAUAGCCCUAAGGUUCGUUGCGGCGUGCAACCCGAUCCAUAUACACAUAUAGCUCACAGCUCGGCACUCAGGCCCUAACUCAGUCAGUAACCUCUCCAGUCUCUCAAGCUCUCAGAAAUCAUAAAUAAAAUCAGCCCAAAUAAAGAUAAUAUAAUGUAUCACCAAGAAACGAGAAGAGACUGAGAUAUGAAACACAAGUGAACCGUGACUGAGUAUAAAACAACAAUUAGAAAUUAAUUCAACGAGUACACGAUCUCUGCGGGUCCCAACAGUGUAAUCACAUAGCCUAAGAAUGCCUCCUAACAUGAUUAGCAGUCAAAUUUCUAUAACACAUGGAGAGCAUAUAGCUAACGACAAGUUAUUCAACUUUAUAGUUCCACGGAAUGGACCAAGUCAUAAUUCUUACGAUGCACGCCCACACGCCCGUCACCUAGCAUGUGCGUCACUACCAAAUAAUCAUUUAACAACAAAAUCCGGGGUUUCAUACCCUCAAGACCAGAUUUAACACUGUUACUUACCUCAAUCCGAGCCAAAACUCUAGUCCAAAAUGCCCUUGCCUCGCGAAUCGGCCUCUAAACAUCCUGAAUCUAGCCACAAGCAAUACAAUACAAUCAAUACGGCUAAAGGAAUUAAUUCCAUAAGAAAAAUAUGAAUUUUAAGCCAAGUCCGAAAUUGGUUCAAACCCGGCCCCGGGCCCGCGUCUUGAAAUCCGAUAAAAAUCACAAAACCCAAAAGCCCAUUCACUUACGAGUCUAACCAUACAAAAUUUAUCAAAAUUCGACUUCCAAUGGAUAUUCAAUUCCCCAAAAUUAACUCUCUAAAUCCCUAAGCUCAAACCCCCAAAUUUCACCUCAAAAACUCACCAACUAGGUGUAAAAUCAAUGGGGAAACAAGAUUAUUGACAAAAAACGAGUACAAGAAGCUUACCUCAAAAAUCCCCUAGAAAAUCCUCUCCAAAUUCGCCUAAGACCGAGUUCAAAAUAUUAAAAUGAAGCCAAAAUCGCAAACUCUUAUUUUUAAACAUUCUGCCUAGGCCUUUUGCACCUGCGUCCACUUAUCCGCACCUGCGGAACCGCUUCUGCGGUUAAAUAUCCGCUUUUGUGGAGUCCACAUAACCAGCUGCCUCCGCUUCUGCGAGCGCGGGACCGCAUCUGCGUUCAUCGCAUGUGUGGAAAAUGCCAUCGCACCUGCAGAACUAGACACAUCUGUGCCCUUCUGCCCGCUUCUACGACGACGCAGGUGCGGGAGAAUCUUCACACCUGCAAUCUCGGCUACCUCUCCCUUGGCCGCUUCUGCGGCUCUUGUCUCGCUUUUGCGGACUCGCACCUGCGGUUCCCACUCCACAGGUGCGAUUACACCAAUAAUAGCAAAACUUUAGCUCCUUCUCAAAUCAAACUCCAAGUCUGUUAACCACUCGAAAUCAACCCGAGGCCCCUGGGACCUCAACCAAACAUACCAACAAGUCUUAUAACCCAAUACAAACUUAGUCGAACUCUCAAAUCACCUUAACUAACAUCAAAAACAUGAAUUGCACACGGAUUCAAGACUAAUGAACUUUGAAAAUUUUAAAUUCUACAAACGACGUCGAAACCUAUCAAAUCACGUCCGAUUGACCGUAAAUUUUGGACACAAGUCAUAAAUGACACCGCGAACCUACUCUAACUUCCGAAAAUCCAAUCCGACCCCAAUAUCAAAAGUCCACUUCCGGUCAACUUUCCAAAAUUCUAACUUUCGCCAUUUCAAGCCUAAUUCUACUCCCGACCUACAAAUCACAAUCCAGACACGCUCCUAAGUCCAGAACCAUCCAACAGAGCUAACGGAACCAUCAAAAUUCCAAUCCGAGGUCGUUUACACAUAAGUCGACGUCCGGUCGACUUUUCCAACUUAAGCUUUCAAUUAAGAGACUAAGUAUCUCAAUUCACUCAAAAUUCACUCUGGACCCAAACCAACUAAUCCGAUAAGUCAUAAAAUCAUAGUGAAGCACAAAAAUGAGUAGAAAAUGGGAACAAGGCUAUAUCUCUCGAAAUGACCGACCGGGUCGUUAAACCUCCGCUCUCUAGACUGGAAGAAGACAAUACUUAACUGAAUAUAAAUUCCCGAUAAGAGAGAAUACUAUCACUUAUGAGACUGGGAUAGUGUACAUAGAUUCAAAAAUACAAACUUCUCUUUAUGUCUCAUUAUCAAACACAUGUAGUUACGGGAUCAUGACAAAAAUGAAGGAAAGGUUUAGCCUUACCAAACCUUAUCACAAUCUGUCCAAUAACCACGUUGAACUCGUCUCGUCACACCUUAAUCUACAACCACGAUAAUAAUACUAUCAUUAAGUUACUGUAGGCACAACUAUCGCACAACAAAUGACAAGCUUAUUUUAUAAUAAAACGGGCAGCAUCUUCCCUAUAAUCAUUACUAACUCUCAAUUCGACAUAACACUGCCACCAACAACAACACAACAAUAAAAACAUGUAUACAUCGUUUUUCAAUCUUUUAUCCAUCACAAAAUACCACAAAAUAGCCCACGCAAUCAUACAUAAAAUGACAACCAUAGUAGUGUCAAACUACUCAAAAAAUAUAAUGACGAAUGACCAGCCAACCACCCUGCCAUUAUGUUAUAUUUCUACACACCCUUUCUCCUCCCAAACUCCAUAAAAACAGUAGCAAAACAGACAACCCAAUAGCAGCACAAAAUAUCCCACAAAAUAGUCCACUACAAGUUGAACAACUCGCACUCACGACUUACGAUCACCGUCCCGUGAGUUCUUAUACUUAUAGAAAGAUUUUCUAUACUUUUUGAGCAGAAAAAAUUGAUGAAAGAGAGAAGUAUACUUACCUUAUUUGGUGAAUAUCUCAGCUCCUAUCUUGGUUCUUCAACCCUUAGAUUUUCCCCUAACUAGAACUUGAAAAGAAGAGAAAAUCAUUUAGGGUUUUGCGUUGAAUUAUUGAGAGAAGUUUGAAGGGGGUUAUCUCUUAUUUUUUUGGCUCUAUAAUGAGUGGGAUAUUUGAAAGAAAUCAGCCCUUAAAAGGGCUCUUUGGCCAACCCCAACUAGCCCCUUUUUGGGCAUAUUUUGCCCUUCAUUUAAGCAAGUGGGUGACACACCUACUUGUCACCUAUGCAGUAUGCAUGGUCUCGUGAAAAUGAAAACAUACCUCUCCACUACGAUAUCAUAUUGACAAAAAUUUUAAUGCUUAAGACACUAGACUAGUAGAUCUUUAAUUUGGUAGGUGGAUCAUCCCGUAAUUCCAAGUAUAUUGGGAGAAAAGCGCAGCUACAUUUGACCUAAGUUUCAGCACAUUUAUGAAUGUAACUUGUGAUUACUUUCAUCGACUUUUAUUCCACAACUCGCUUGACUUCAAAACUUAACACAUGACUAUCAUACGACUAAAAUAACUCAUAAUAUAACCCUCUUAUCAUGUUAAGCACCCUAGUCUCACCCCAAAGGUACGUGUUAUAACAUUCCCAACUUAUCGACUUUCGACCAAACUUAUAUUCUUCAAUUCGUUUAGCUUCUGAACCCUCCAACCCUCUUGGUGCUUGUUGUUCAUGAUCUUAAAUAUUUUUAAGCUCAAAAGUAACAUGAUUAACUUAGUUUGAGUAGUAUGUACUAGGGAGUCUACAAAGUCGUGUCUAGUAGAGUCUCACUUAUGGGUGUGUUGCGCGCUACACUUAUAAUUGAGAGGAUACAUGGCAUUUAGGAAAUUUUACCCUUCUUUCGUUUCCAGAUCAUGCCAUAGAGCUGAGUCAUAAGAAGUGUAAUGAUCCGAUCGGUCAUUUUGUGUGAUUGCGCUUCGUUACCCCUUUUAUUGCUUCACAUAUGUGAAUUUAUGCUUUUAUAACUUGCGAGGUUGAUUAGUUUCGUUCGGGGAGGCUUUCAGGUUGAUUUGGACCCUUGAUUCUAGACUUAGAAGCUUUAAUUUGAAAAUGUUAACCAAACUUUGACUUUUGUGAAAAUGACCCUGGAACUGUGCUUUUAUGACUUAGAUAGCUCUGUAUCAUGAUUUCGGACUUGAGCGUAUGCCGAGAAUUGAUUUUGGAAGUCCGUAGGUUGAUUUUUGUUGAUUUAUCAAAAUUUGACAAUUUUAAGUUAAAAAUUUUGACCGUAGGUUGACUUUUAGCUAUUGAGAUCGAAAAUUGAUUUUGGGACUCAGAAUUGGUCUGUUAUGGAAUUUAGAACUUGUCUGUAAAAUUUGGCGUCAUUCAGAGUUGAAUUGAUAGGAACCGGACGUGUAGUUGUAAUUUUAGAAGUUCUUGAAAUUCUCUUUGAAAAUCAUGCGUUUUAGAGUCCAAUUCAUAGCUUUAGAUGUUAUUUUUGUAUUUUGAUCGCACGAGCAAGUUUGUAUGAUAUUUGUAGACUUGUGUGGAUAUUUGGUUUGUAGCCGUGAGGGCUCGGGUGAGUUUCGUACGCUUAGCGGAGUGUGGUUGGAAUCAAAAGAGUUGUUAGUUUCUGCACAAGCCUCAGAUCUCGCAAUUGCAAGGUUUGAGUUCGCAUUUGCGUAGUUGAGCCAAGCUUGUUGGGUUCGCAUUUACAAAUCCAGUGUUCGCAUUUGCGAAGUGUGCUGGGAAUGAGCUACUUCGCAUUUGCGAUCGCUUUGGUCGCAAUUGUGAAGGUUCAUUGUUCGCAAUUGCUAACUAUUCAUCGUAAUUGUCAUGUUAGCAGAGAUGGGAGGGUCUUCGCAUUUGCGGGGUUCGCAAUUGCAAAUCCCAGGUUGCAAAUGCGACAUAUACGACUGGAUAAAUAGCCGAGGGACGGAAUUCUUUAGUUCAUUCUCUAUUUUUGAACCCUAGACUCGGUAGGAGAAGACUUGGAGAGGGGAUUUUCACCUACAAACCUUGGGUAAGUGAUCCUAGUCUAUUUAUAAUCAUAUUCCAUCAACUAAUCUUAGAUUUUAAUAUCAAAAUCAUGUGAAUCAAAAUAGAAAUUUAUGAAACUUUGUCAUAUUUUUGAAAAUAAGAAAUUGAGUUUUGAGAGUCGAUUUGGACUCGGAUUUUGAAACUAAUCACAUAUAUGAACUCGUGGGGUCACGGGCAGACGAAAUCUACCAUUGGACUCGGGUUUUGACCGGGCGGGCCCUAUGUUAACUUUUGUUGACUUUUUGGGAAAAGUGUAAAAAUCUUAACUUUAUCUAUUGAAAUUGAAUUACCUAGCAUUAUUUGAUGUUAUUGAGUCAAUUUUGGUUAGAGUUGAGUUGUGUGGAGGUGGAUUGUAAGGAAAAAGCUAUUUUUGAGUAUUGAAUUGGCCUAAUUGAGGUAAGUGUCUUGGCUAACUUCGUGUGGGGGAACUACUCCUUGGGAUUGGUAUUGUUUGAUUCAAUUGUGCUAAGUGAAAUCCGUGUACGCAAGGUCACGAGUUGGUACACAGGUUGUAUGUAGUAUUUCACCGGUUUAGACUACUUAGACUAUUUCCAUGCUUUAAUUGAAAUGCCAUAUUAUGUUCUAACUUAACAUGGUUAAAUCAUCCUUAAUUGUGUUAAACUAUCCUUAAAUGCCUUAGUUGACUUGUUUAGUAAUUGUUCCACAUCCUACUUGCUAAAUUGCUCUCGUGCUUUAGUUGAACUUGGUGUCCCCUUUAUUGUCACAUGUUAUCUCUUCAGUGUUAAUUAUCAUUGUUGAAUUAAUUGUUCAUGUUGCCCCUUAUUUGUUGACUUCUGUUAAUUGAUACUUAUUGUUGAAGAUUAUUUCCUUUAUUGCGAGUUAGUUUUAUCUAAUAUCAUGUUUACAAGUUAUUUUCUCAUUGUGAAAGUUGUUAAUACGUUGGGGCGAUGUUGGUUAUUAUUUAAACAUCUAUCCUAUUGAGAAUUUUCCAUCCAUUAUUGUUGUUGAUAUUCUCGUAUACGUUGUAUUGGAACCAUGGGCUAUUAUUGUGGAAACAUUGAUAUUGUUGUUGUUGGCAAGUUGUGAUAUGUGGUCACUCAUGGUGCGAGUUGUUAUUGUGAUAUGAUAUUGAUGUGCAUGCGGCGGUAUAAGGCUUGGGUUGAUGUGCAUGCAGUGGUAUAAGGUGGGACUUAUGUGCAUGUUGCUUGUAGGGGAACUAAGUGAAGCCACGCGGCAUCAUAAGGUGGGCUAAAGUGCAUGUAGCUAUUUCGGAAAAACUAUUUUCAAAACCUAUUGUCAAAUGUAAGGCUCACGCGGCGACAUAAGAAAGGAUUGUAACUGAAAAUGUGAUAUGUGAAUACGAGGCGGUACCUCAGUUUUUAUUCUUGAUAAUAAGAGGCAGUACCUCAGUUUGAUUUCCUUAUACACGAGGUGGUACCUCGUUGUGUUUCUGGCUGUUAUUUCAUGUGGCAAAGUGUCAUGGAAGGAAUAUUUCUUUUUAAUCCAUUCGGUAUCAUUCUAGUAGUUGUAGUUAGUACAUGAUCUUUGUAAUACUUUAGUUUCUUCUUUCAUGCUAUUUCUACUGUUUAUUUCCGGUAUUUGAUCAUGCUAUCAUCUUGUUCCGUAUUAGUGAUUUCUUACUUCCCAUUUUAUAUCUGUAUUUCAUUUUUACAGUCUGUUUCAUAUCCUAGUAGGUGUAUUGAUCUGGCCUUGUCACUACUCUACUGAGGUUAGGCUUGAUACUUGCUGGGUACCAUUGUGGUGUACUCAUACGAUGCUUCUACGCAUCGUUUUGUGCAGAUCCAGGUACGUCCGCUCGUGCCGGAAGAUAGAGAUUUUCCCUGCUAGCUGCAUUUAUCGGAGACUUCAAGGUAUGCCUGCUCGGCGUCCGCAGGCCUCAGAGUCACCUUCUUUUAUCCUCAUUUACUAUUUUACUUACUUUCAGACUGUGAUGUACUAGUUACUCUUGUUAUACUCUAUAGAGCUUAUGACUCAGUUCCACCAGUUUUGGGGUGUGAAAUUGUGAGAUUCUAUUUACAGACGAUUUUAUCCAUUAUUUAGUCGCUUUCAGUAUCUUGUAUUUAUAUAUCUGUUUAGUGGUUGAUAUUUGUUAGUCUUACCUAAUACUAGAGACUAAGUGCCAUCACGACAUCCUUCGGAGGGAAUUUAGGGUCGUGACAAGAAGUUAGUAUGAAGCUUAUGCCAGAUUAUGUAUGCACCAGAGGUGCAAGUAUUAUAGUAGAGCUUUAAGGUAUGGAUGUAAAUUCCACCUAUGUGAAAGGAAGGUUAUGAAAGCGAUAGAAGAUGCGAUGCGAGAUUUAAAGGUAAGUAAGCAAAGGUGAAGAGAGUACGAGAUACUCAAGUACGGAAGGUUGUGGAUAGUCUAGACUUCAAAUAUAGGUCUAGAAGCGGUGUGAUUCAGUAUCCAGAACUGAUAGUGGUGUCGUCAGUAGCAUAUCUUCCACCAUAUGGUUUCUAGGUACCGAGAGGUCUAGUUGCGAGAGUAAAGAAGCACCGGAGGCGACAUGAUGUCUCACUUCAGUUUCAAUAUUGACAUAAGUAAAUCUAUGGUGCUAGAAAGUUAAAUGAAGGUUGAGAGUAGUAUGGAUAGAUAUAUGUAGGUCGCAAGCUAAAGGAUGGUAGAGCAACAAAGUUUUAGGUAGACAGGAAUAAGGAUAAGAAAAGGUGAGUGAGAAGGUGAUGAGAAUAGGUAAGACCUCAGGAUUAAGCCCAUCAAAAUGAGAGAGCUGAUGGUUUUCGUAAGUUAUAGAAAGCUCAACAUAUCUUGAAUGAACUCGAAGGAGUGUAAGUCUAGGAGAAUUUAGAAGAGAUGGAAUGGUGCCCUUGUAGUAGAAUAAGAGUGUGAGUGAUAAACGAUAAGAGGAUGAUGUUUAGGAAUAUAGCUUUUGAUUGAAGUAAUGAUUCAAUGAGAAGGGAUUUUAUGACUUGCACAGGAUUAGAAUACCUCAUAUAAGAUGAAUCAUGUUGAGAUUCUAUGAAACACGGUUAUUGAAGUAUAGUAUAGUCCCUAAGGUGGAUCAAGAAAAUAACUUCAGAUGUUCCCUAUUGAAAAUUUAUUACGUAAGAAGUUUCAAGUUAUCACUAGUGGAUUAUAGUCAACAUUAAGGUGAAUCAACAAUAGAUGGAUAAAAGUUCCAAAGUAUGAGAUGAUAUUAGGCUGCCAUUCUUAAGAUGAACUGUAAUGAGGAAGCAUUAAAGGACUUAGAUUUAUAAAUAUAGAAUAAGCAGCGAGAGAUUAACCUAUAGUUAGGUAGCAGACCUCAGUAAUAAUAAAUCGGAGUAAGUAUUAUGGUAGAGUAUGAACUUUUUAGAUGCAUUAAAGCCAUAAGGAUAGAUAACCAAGGCUAUGAAACAGAAUACAACAAUAGUCGUAAGUUCGACAAAGUACCAAGCGAAGAACUUCAGUAUACCUAUAGAGGCUUAGAGGAACAACCUGUCAUAGUUCUGUAUAUGUUUGCAAAGUGAGGCCCAGAGAUUGGCUAGAAACUGGAGGAAAGAGAAUAGAAGAGUCGCGUAGUUGCACGUACAAGGGCAGAGUCGUACAGGCUACAUGAAAGAAGGUAGCAACAACUAUGAGAUUGGAAGAAUUCUGACCACAUGUCGUGGUUUGAGAAAGAUGCCCAAAGGGGAGGAAUGCCUUGGCCUUUAGAUUUAUUCACAGAACAGUUGCCUAGACGGCACGGACAGUAUUAAAGUAUUUUUAAGAGCUGUAGGUUAUGAGACUGAUAAGAGCAUCAGCUAACAUUCGAGGACGAAUAUUCCAAGGGGGGAAUAGUGUUACACCCCAUGUUUUUGUAUGUAAGGAUACGUCGCAAGUCAAUUGAUGUAAUCUUAGAAAUGAGAUCAUCUGUGGAAGCACAUAAAGUAAGUUAGUCAUGUUACCUUGGAGGUACAAAUAUUUAAGAUCAUGAAAAUCAAGUACCAAGAGGGUUGGAAGGUUUAGAUGUUAAAUGAAUCGAAGAAAAUAAGUUUCGUUGAAAGACAACAAGUUGGGAAUGUUAUAACCCAUACUUUUGGGAUGUGACUAGGGUGCUUAACAUGAUAAUAAUAUGAUUUUAUGAGGUAUUUUAGUCAUAUGAUAGUUGUGUGUCAUGUUUUAAAGUCAAGCGAAUUGUGAAACAAAAGUCGUCACAGGUUAUGUUCAUAAAUGCGUUAAAACCUAGGUCAAAUGUAGCAGAGCUUUUCUGCUAAUAUACAUGGAAUUACAGGAUGAUCUACCUAGGAAAUUGAUUAUUUAUCAGUCUAGUUUCUAACGCAUUAAACCGUUCAUUGAUGCAAUAUUGGAGUAUAGAGAUAUUCGUAUUUUCCCAGGACUGCACAGACUGGUAGGUGACAAGUAAGUAUGUCACCUACUUGUUUAAAUGAAGGGGCCAAAUAAAUCUCCAAUAAGGGGCAGCAAGGGGCCUUUUAAGGGAUGAAUUAAAUCAUUUCACUCACUCAUAUUUCAUACUAACAACUUCAGAUUGAAACCCUACAACGCCUCCCCCAAAAAUCCCACACAAACCCUAGGUGAUUUCGGGUGAUACGAAGUGAUUCUAGUACCGAAAAACCAAGACAACUUGCUAAUUUCCCUUUCUCCUUCUUGUAGCUGCAUUGGGGGAAUGGUUUUGGAAUAAUAGGGACUAGUUUUAGUGGUUUCUACUUAGUCGAAGGUAAGUUUAUUCCUCUCUUUCCCUUAUCUAAGCUUCUACGAGUUGUAGCUCGAUCGUAAAGUCUAGAACUUGCGAGUUUCGAAAGAUUAGUAUGUUGUUUAUUGUGGCGUCACUGUUGUCUGGUUGUGAACUUAAUUUUAAGUUGAAUUCAUGAUUGUUUAUAUGAGAAGAGGCUUAAUUAUGUACUGUGGGUUGUGUUUCUCGAUUUGAAAGAAAAGACAAGUCGAAAACGUGUUUUCGUAAUCUAAAAAAUAAAUUUUGAGUUGCUAAACUUGUGGGACUAUUGUGGGGUCAUUUUAAAGUUGUAUUGUGGAUAAACAUUAGUAGGGAUAAUUGAAUAUGUAUCAGUUAAUAUUAUUGAUAAAUUCUAGAAGGAAGACAGGGUUUAAAACUAUAGUUGUUUAGUCACAAAUCGAGCUAGCCGCUCGUCGAGAUUGUUAAACUAUUUUGAAAGGCUUAUUAUGAGUAUUGUUGAUGUUGUUUGGGCUGUUGUUGGUUGUGGUAACUUGUGGGAAAUAUAUAUAAAUAAGGGAGGUGUUGUCUGUUUUAUCAUAGAAUAAAGUGUGUUGUUCAAAUGCGAUAAGUUAUGGCAUUCGUAUUGUGACAAAAGUAUUGUUCAUUGCUUGUAGACACGGGAGCUGCAGGUUAAGUUAGCUUGCGGAUUGGACAAUAUUUUGAGGUAUGUAAGGUCUUCCUUUAUUUUCUUUGGCAUGAUUUCGUAUGUUACGUUGCCCUUAUAAGGGAUUCAAGGGGGCGAGUCUUUGUGUACGUAAUAUUCCGACGAUUAAGGUCCGUUCACGAGUAUAGUCAAAUAAAUAUUGAAAUGGAUUGUGCUGGUCGUAGUUUCAUGUAUUCUUAACGAGUAAAUAGUGCCUUCCAAAAGGUCCUUGUUUUCUAUAUGUAACAAGACGUCCAAAUGUCAAUUUAAGAUUACGCACUGAUGGUCUAAUAAAUCGGAAGCAAUAUAGUAUGCGUAUAAUGAGGGAUAGCUAUACAUGAAUAGUCAACAAGGUAGCAUAAUGUAUAGUUUGCAGAAAAAUAAGAAUGAUUCGACAUAAAGAACUCCAUGACUUCCAAUACUUACACGUUUGUGUUCACAAAACUGCUAAAGACCCACAAAGGUAGUUACGUUGCUCUCAAGUUUAGUAAGGUUGAUUAUAUAUGAGAGUGGUGUUAAGAGACGAUAUACGUUACCUACGGAGUCGUAAACUACAGAAUACGAUAAGCUUAGCAAUAAGAAUAAAAGUUGAUAGAGCGUAAAUUAUGCAACUCUUGUUACAUAUUGAUGAAUCAAUAUAUAUAGUCGUGGGAGGCAAGGCACACAGGGGAUAGGNNNNNNNNNNNNNNNNNNNNNNNNNUAUAUAUAUAUAUAUAUAUAUAUAUAUAUAUAUAUAUAUAUAACGAGUAGCCUCACAAGCUAAUAAUAUUACAUAGCUAUAAGUAGAAAGAAUCAUGUAAUCCCCAACAACGAGCCGUGAUGUGAAAUAAGGAUAGAAGUGCAAUAUCAAAAUAGUUACAAUAUUCUUUAUGGCUAAAUAAUAUAGAAUACGAAGGAUGAAGUAGAAAGUGGCUAAGCAAUAAGGAUUGGUUAUCGUAACGAGUUACUCACGAACUUGUAUAUUUAUGAAUACGAGUUUAUCUAUUGAUGAUUGAAUGAUGUCUGCAUGAGUGAUAUCAAAUUAAUAUGUAUAAGACAUGAUCCCUACGGAUGGUCUAUGAACGCGUAGGUGUACAGUGAAGCCCUAUGGACGAUCUAUGAACACAUAUGUGCAUAAUGAAGGUUGGUUAUGGACGGUCUCAGUUGCAGCAUAGCCAGACCUAUGAGCCAUACGAACGGUCAACUAUGUUACGCGUACGAGCCACUGGUUAUUCAUGUUUAUGAGUGUGCGACGAUCUCUUAUAAAACACGUAAGUGCCACAUUUAUGUUUUAAUAUAGCCCUAGAGAUGUUUGAUCUGUCUGAGGUAAGUAUUCAGAUAUAAGGUAUGAUGGCUAGAAGAAUGUUAUAGAUGAAGUUCCAUAAUAUGAUGUAUUCCAGUAUAGAUAGCAUAUGGGAACAAGUUUAGGUAUACCAUGACACGAAUUAGAUGUAUAUACGACAUUAGAUAUUUUCGGCCAACAGGGCCUUCCCUUUCAGUCUACAGCCUUUGUAAGGUAAGUUGGAUAAUUCAAUACUUAGACAUGUUACAAGUAAGAAUAAGGUAAGUAUGAUUCCCGGAUCUUAUUUACCCUCCAGAUUUCAUUCAAUAUAUUAUAUAUACAUGUUAGUUCAGUUUCAAUUAAGUUAUUCAUAUGGUAUCUGCCUUACAUACUUAGUAAAUUUCUUUGUACUAAUGUCCCAUUGUCGAGGCACUGCAUUCAUGCCUGUAAGCUCAAGUAUCCAAUUUGACAAGCUCUUAUCAUAGACGGAGUUGAUACCCAGUUGAGGAUUGGCAAAGAUCCAUUUCAUUCGGAGUACAGCUGAGUCUAUAGGUUAUCAGACUGUCCUAUGUAUAUAUAUACUUAUGGAUAGGUUAGUGUCAUGUACUGACCAUAUUUUGAUGUCAGAUACUCUUAGAGGCUUUGUAGACACAUGUUCAGUAUGUAUAUCAUGUUAGAGGCCUUGACGGCCCAUGUGUAUUCAUGUUUUGAGUACGAUGGCUCGCUGAUACAAUAUUUGUCCACUUACAGUUACACAGUACAAGUUGUCGCUAUGUUGGCCCAUGAUAGUUACAGAAUGAAUGAGUUCAACCAAGUCGGCCUAUGUAUGUUCUAGUUUUUGUCGAACGAUCAUGAGUUAUAGAGUGGUUCGCUCCGGCUAGUACGACACUGGGUGCCAACCAUGCCUCACCUAGGUAGGGGUGUGACAAAGUGCUCUCCCAAACCUAUCUUGGUGUGGCCAGCACCUGGUUCCAUACUCGGACCGAGCGUACCACUCUAUAACUUUGAACUCCGGAGGGGUAGCCUUCAACUUAGGACGACGAGGCCUACCUACAAGUUGACAAUACCAAUCAAGACCGAUGGGGCCAUAUUCUGAAUUAUCUAAAAGUAAUGUCUCUAUCAUCUGAGGGGUAAAAAUAUCCAAAAGCUCAUAUAUAUAAUUAUAAAGUCCAACGAGGCCGUCAUUAUCAUCUACUAAUAUAAAUAAUAUACAUGACUCAUCUACAAGCCUCUAGAGAUAACUGAACUGUAUUAUGGUCAGGAUAGGGCCUCGACCUACCCAUCAAACAUGUAUUUAUAAAAUGGACUCUAAUGUCUAGACCUGGUAACUGCGAGGAAGUGGAGCUUACUAACCAAAAUGAUGCUAGACUCUGGCUACCGGAAAGUUCUAUUCAGCUGUCUAUCAGGACAUGCAGGCAUGAAAUGCAGCGUGCCCAGAAAAGGGAUGUCAGUACGAAAUAAUAUACUGAGUAUGUAAGGCAACAGAAUAACUGAAAGCCGAAACUGAACUGAUAAUAGAAUAACUGAAAGUAACUGGGAGUCAAAGAUGAUCUGAAGAUAUGCUUACCUGCUAAUACUGACUCAACUCUCUCAAUAUAGUAAGUAAAAUAGUUGUCCGGCCCUAUAAGUCUCGGUACGGGUAACGGCUCUGCCGUAGUAGGCUCGCUCAUAGGCGCUCGGCAUACUAGGCUCUAUAUCUCAGCCAUUCUAGGCUCGCUCACAGGCGCUCAGACACAGUAGGCUUAGUAUAUAACUUCCCAUCUGAUCAGAGGUUUCCCAAUAGGGGCCUUCCCACCGAUUAUAUCUCGAUGGCGGUGAAAAUACUAUAAUACUGCCCAAUAGGGGCUUGCCCACCAAUUAUAGCUCGAUGGUAGUGAAAAUAUUGUAAUACUAUAUAUAUGUAUGGACCCUCUGCUCUCUUGACUGAAAAAAUACAAUACUUAACUGAAUAUAAAGUCCCGAUAAGGGAGAAUACUAUAACUUAUGAGACUAGGAUAGUGUGCAUAAAUUCAGAAAUACGAACUUCUCUUUAUGUCUCGUUAUCAAACACAUGUAGUUACGAGAUCAUGCCAAAAAUGAAGGAAAGAUUUAGCCUUAACAUACCUUAUCACAAUCUGUCCAAUAACCAUGUUGAACUCAUCUCGUCAUACCUUAAUUUACAACAAUGAUAAUAAUACUAUCUUUAAGUUACGGAAGGUACAACUAUCACACAACGAACGACAAGUUUAUUUUGUAAUAAAACGGGUAGCAUAUCCCCUAUAAUCUUUACUAACUCCCAAUUCGACAUAAUACAAAAAACAAUAAGAACAUAACAAUAACUAUAUGUAUACAUUAUUUUCCAACCUUAUAUCUAUCACAAAAUAUCACAAAACAGCCCACAUACCCCAAUCACUUCAUACACAAAACGACAAUCAUAAUAGUGUCAAACAACCCAACAACGUAAUAACGAAUGACCAGCCAACCAACCUACCAUUAUGUUGUGUUUCUCCACACACUUUCUCCUCCCAAAUGCUAUAAAAACAGUAGCAAAAGAGACAACCCAGCAGCAACAAGAAAUAUCCUACAAAACAGUCCACUACAAGUUGAACAACUCGAACUAAGGGCUUUAUAUCACUGUAUCGUGAGUUCUUAAUAUUACAGAACGAAUUUAUAUACUUUUCCAGCAGAAAAAAUGGAUGAAAUAGAGCAUUAUACUUACCUUAUUUGGUGAAUAUCUCAGAUCCUAUCUUGGUUCUUCAACCCCUAGGUUUUUCCCCAACUAGAACUUGAAAAGAAGAGAAAUUUAUUUCGGGUUUUGUGUUGAAUUCUUGGGAGAAGUUUGCAGGGGGUUAUCUCUGAUUUGUUUGGCUCUAUAAUGAGUGGUAUAUUUGAAGGAAAUUAGACCUUAAAAGGGCUCUUUGGCCGACCCCAACUAGCCCCUUUUUGGGAAUAUUUGGUCCUUUCAUUUAAGCAAGUAGGUGACACACCUACUUAUCACAUAUGCAAUCUGUGCGGUCUCGUCAAAAUACAAAUGUCUUUCUACUAUGAUGUCGUAUUGAUGAACGGUUUAAUGCGUUAGAUAUUAGACUCGUAGUUCUUCAAUUUGGUAGGUGGAUCAUCCCGUAAUUCCAUGUAUAUUGGGAGAAACGUGCAGCUACAUGUGACCUAAUUUGAAGCACAUUUAUAAAUGUAACUUGUGAUGACUUUCAUCGACUUUUGUUCCACAACUCGCUUGACUUCAAAACUUAACACAUUUCUAUCAUACGACUAAAAUAACUCAUAAUAUAACCCUCUUAUCAUGUUAAGCACCCUAGUCUCACCCCAAAUGUACUGGUUGUAAUAUUCCCAACUUGUCGACUUACGACGAAACUUAUUUUUUUCAAUUUGUUUAGCUUCUGAACCUUCCAACCCUCUUGGUGCUUAUUGUUCAUGAUCUUAAAUAUUUGUAAUCUCUAAGGUAACAUGAUUAACUUACUUUAUAUACUUUCAAAGAUGAUCUAAUUUUUUAGCUUACAUCAAUUGACUUAUGACAUACUCUUACGUACGAAAACAUGGGGUGUAACACUUUUGCUUCGCAAAUCGGCCUCCGAACGACCAAAUUUAAUCACAAACAACUUAAUAUAAUUAAUACAAGCUAUAGGAAUCGAUUCCACACGAUAAAGCUAAGUUUUUUAACCAAAUUAAAAGGUCAACCAAAAGUCAACCCCGGCCCACGCCUCGAAACCCAACAAAAUUCACAAAUUCCGAAUAUUUAUUUGAUAACGAGUUCAACCACACCAAAAUCAUUCAAUUUUGAUCACAAAUUGAACCUUGAAUCCCCAAAUCGUACUCUCCAAUACAUAGACCACAAAUCCCCCAAAUAUCACCUCAUACGCACACAAUAUUAAUGGACAAAAGUGAUCAAAAGUUGCUUACCUCUUGAAUUAUGGUCAAAUCCCUCUAAAACAUCGCCCCUAGCUGAGUUCCACAAGUCCAAAAAUGAAGAGAAAACUCAAACCCUCGAGAAUAACAAUCCGCCCAGCGAUUCUCGCUUCUGCGAGCUCACCAGCCGCACCUGCGGUGCCGCUUCUGCAGAAGAAAGCUCGCUCCUGUGACAUUUCACUAAACUCCCGACCAGCCGCUUCUGCGGCAAAAUCCUGCUUCUGCUGUCCAAGAUCCGCACCUGCGGAGUGUUUUUCGCUUCUACGACGACAGCCUCCCAAGAAAACAUCCGCUUCUGCGACCAGCUGCCCGCACCUGUGAGCUCGCAGGUGCGGAAUUUCCCUAGCACCCGCGCAACUACCCAUCUCAACUCAGGACCGCUUCUGCGGCUCCGCACCUACGUCCAAAACCUCGUAGGUGCGGUUGCACCGGAACUGAACAUAACAAAAAUUCCUCAAGUCAAAUUCUCAAUCCGAUUACAAUUCGAAUAACACUGAGGCCCCCUUGACACCAUCCAAAUAUACCAACACAUCCUAAAAUGUCAUACGAACUUAGUCAAAGCCUCAAAUCACAUCAAACAACAUCAAAAACACGAAUCACACCCCAAUUCAAGCCUAUUGAAACUAAUGGAUUUCUAACUUCUAAAAUCGAUGCCGAAACUUAUCAAACCAACUCCAAUUGACCUUUUGCACACAAGUCAUAAAUGAUACAACGCACCUACUCCAACUUCCGAAACCAAAAUUCGAGUCUGGUAUCAACAAAGUCAACUCUCGGUCAAACUUCUCAUCCUUCCAAACCUUCAAUUUUUUAACUUUCGCCAAUUCAAACCAGAAUGACCUACGGACCUCCAAAUCAAUAUCUGAACAUAGUCCUAAGUACAAAAUCAUCACACAAAGCUAUCGGAACCAUCAAAACUCCAUUCUGUAGCCGUUUACACAUAAGUCAACAUCCGAUCAAUUCUUUCAACUUAAGCAUCUAACCUUGAGACUAAGUGUCCCGAUGCAUUCUGAAACAUCCCCGAAACCAAACCAACCACCUCGGCAAUUCACAUAACCAAAAAUGAACAUAAAAUAAGAAAUAAAUGAGGGAACAGGGCUACAAUACUCAAAACGGCCGGCUGGGUUAUUACAAUAGUUCAUCACAAGUUACUUUCAUAAAGGUGCUGAAAAUUAGGUUAAAUAUAGUAGAGCUUUUCUCUUAAUAUAUUAAGAAUUACGAGGUGAUCCACAUAUUAAAUUGAAGUUCUACAAGUCUAGUUUUUAAUUCAUUAAACCGUUCAUUGAUACAAUAUUGGAGUAGAGAGAUAUUCACAUUUUUGCAAAACUGCACAAGCAGCUCCCAAUGGGACCCACUUAGGCGGUGGUCGACCUACUUCACUUUAAAAACAAUUUGGAUGACCUUUCGUUCACAUGUUUUCAACCAAUAUUCGUCCAUACACUCCUCCUAGCCCUCCUAAAUAGGUACCAUAACGGUUUGAAGGGGGAAUCCGAGUGAUUAUACCAUAUUUCACCAUCAAAAGUUAGUUCUAGUGAAGAACAAGACCUCUUUGAGGUUGUAUUGUCAUUGAGGAUAGUUGUGGGCUGUUUUUGGCUGAAAUUUCAAGUUGUUACUACUGGUUAAGGUGAGUAUAAUAGCCUACUAAUUGUGCUUAAUCUUGCUUGUAUGUUGGUUAAAUUGUUAGAAUGAUAAACGACAAGAUAAUACUUAGAUUAGCCUGAGAUAUUGUUGUUCUUGAUGAGUUGUUUUGAAAGUUGCUCUAAUGAACUUUAAGUGGCUGGAAAUUAUGGAAAAAUAUAUUGGCUAUGAUAUUUUUAGUAUGAUUAUGUUGGUUUACAUGUCAAGCUUGUUGAGGGAAUUGGUAACUAGAAAAGAAAAUGGAUAUAAAGCACUUAGAAGUUGUCCUUAGUGAUAUUAUCUUGUAUUGGGCUAUUUAGGGUAACUUUGAAAUUGAGUAGAAGGUUGGAAAUCCUUUAAAAAGUAUUGGUUAUUAUAUUGUAGAUACAACUAAGUUCCAUAAUGAAUGAUGAUCGGGUUGAAGGGUGCUAAAGGGUUUUAAUACGAGCUUGCCACUCGUUGUGACAUGUUGAUGACCUGUUAAUGAAAUAUUUUGUACCCAAUUAUUGAUGUUGUUCUUAUUGUAUUGCUCUGGUUGUUGUUGUUGGUAUAUUAUAUUGGAGGAGGCCCUUGUUAUAGGGGAGAUGUUGUCCGAAUUUACGUAAAUGAGCUACUAGCUUAAGUUACGGACUUAGCCUUUACUCGACACUGAUUUUUGAAUCUCUUUAUGCUAUGGUAGAUUGAGUUGUUUGGAAGGUAUUAAGAACUCAACAGGGUAAAGGUACGUUAAGUCUAAUCCUUACUUUUUUUGGCAUGAUCCAAGUAACGAAACUCAAAUGUAAAGUUAUUCCAUAAAUGGUUCUACUCUCAGUAGUUAAGGAUGUCUAAGUUAUUCAUUCAUAUGAAAUGUAAUUCAAAGAAAGCCUAAGUAUGAUCCUAAGUCUCUAUUGAGUCAUACGAUAAAGAUGUUAAUGUUCAUAACGUAAUGUUAUAUGCAUCUUCAUUUACCACCGAGCUACGACCGUUUGGGCAUUUACAUAUUUACCAGCGAGCUACGGCCGGUUAGGCAGUCAUGCAUUUACUACGAGCUACUACCAGUUAGGCAGUGACACAUUUACCACUUGGCUACCAUAGGCCACGAAGUUACCACCAGUUGGGCAGUUAUGUAUUGUUAUUUUUUGUUGGUUUGGUAGUUAUGCAUUUACCACCGAGCUACGAUCGGUCGGACAUUUACCACUGAUCAAUUUGGCAGUCAUGUUAUGAUAUAGAUCAUAGUCCCAAGGAGAGGCAUUAAAUAUAUAAGUAUAAUAAAUAUGCAUAUCAUGGCCCUCAGUGACACUUCAGAGGUUCAGGUUGAUUCUUAUAUCUUUCUCAUUGAUGUCGACUUAUUGUUAUAUUUCAGUUGUGCUUUACUUACUCGGUACAUUAUUCGUAUGGACAUCCUUUUUAUUGUGGAUGCUGCAUCUAUGCCUGCAAGUAUAGGUAAUCAGUUGGACAAGCCCUCAUAAUAAAUGAGGUUAGCAUUCAGUGAAGGAUUGGUUAGACUCCUUUAUUCGGAGUGCAACCGGGUCUAUAAGUCAACAUGUCAGAGGUUUGCUGCAGCAUUAUGGGUAAGCUGGGGCCCUGUCCCGAUCAUGUUUCAAUGUCAGAUACUUUUAGAGGCUUUGUAGACAUAAAUUCACUAUGUACAGUAUGUCAGAGGCAUUGAUGGCCCGUGUGUAUUCAUGUUUUACAUACGAUGGCUCGCUGGUAUAGUAUUUGCCCACUUACCGUUAUACAUUACGAGUUGUGGCCAUGUUGUUUUAUGAUAGUUACAGAAAGAAUGAGUUCAACCAAGUCAACCUAUGUAUGUUCUAGUUUUCAUCGAAUGAUCAUGAACUACAGAGUGGUUCGCUCGGGCCAGUAUGUCACCGGGUGCCAGCCACGCCUCACCUAGGUUAGGGUGUGACAAGAUGGCAAACAUUAACACUCAUUACAGGGGUCAAUCCUAACACGUUAUAUUCAGAUAUGAGAGCAAGUUUUAUAAUAUGCUAACAAGGUUCAUCAUGUGACUUCUUUAUCAUGAGGAACACAAAGAAAUCAUUUAAUCAUAGUAGCAUGAAUAAACAGUCAAGUAGAGUCAAGCAGAUUCAACAUGAGAGUAUGAACGGUGGUGGGAAUCAUUUUGUUGAACUGAACACAUGCAACAUAAUAUCAUAGACAUAAGGAUCAACUAGCACAUUUUAGUAGGUAUGAGGUAUUAACAGGAUUCAUACAUGAGACUAUAACAACAUUGAAGUAUUGUAACAAGCUAAGUCAUGAGAGAGAGAGUUCAUUAACAACACAAAUUUGAUAACAAUACCAAGACAUCAUGACUUAUCAAACAAUCACUAAUUUAACAGUAAAAUGGCAUGCGGAGGCAGAACAUAACAAGCAUAAUCCUACAUCACUAAUAUAUUUUCACAAAUAACGGGCGACUAACAGAGAAAACACCAUAAACACAAAAUUGCACAAUUAACUAAAGGAUAGAAAGAGAGAGAGAGAGAGAGAGAGAGAGAGAGAGAGAGAGAGAGAGAGAGAGAGAGAGAGAGAGAGAGAGAGAGGUCAGUGUGCACUGACCUUCUAUAGGUCAGCAAACCAAGUAGGAAUCGAUUGUUAGCCUUUUAGGAAUCCAAAACCAACAAUGAUCAACUCACAUAUGGUUGAACUCGAAUAGAAAGGAAAGAAGAAAAAGAGAAAUUAGAGAAGAGUUACUGGAACUUAAACUUAGCAGAAAAUUAGAACUUCUAAUGCUAUGUUUUCCGGUGAUAUUAGGUAUGUGUUGGUGUCUAUUGAUGCCUGUUAGGUGAAGCCAUUAAAUGUUCUAUUUAUAGUGGCAUUCAAGCCAUUUAGGGUUUCGGUUGAAUUCAAAAUGGUAGUUGAGAGUGGCGAUAGAUGGAUGAUGAUAACAAGGAGGGUGAAAAUUCGAAGAAAAUAGGGGAAAACAGUGAAGAUUAUUACUUGGGCACGAGGAGGUCCACCGUUGAAGCUAUCGGACCAUCGGUCAAACCCUAUUGUCUCGAGGUCACUGAGUUUGACCUUUGUACAUCGAGUAAUGAUGAUGAAGUUGAAGAAAAUUGUCAUGUAUGCUCUGAUUCGAUGGAAUAGAGGAAGGAUUGAUGGAAUUUCAGAUUGCAUAGUUUAGGUCUACGGUUUCAAAUUUGGGGGUUUUGAAUUGUAGCGAUGACAGGUAAGGUUUCAGGAGGGAUUCGCGGUUAGCAAGAACAGAAAGGAUGAUUCAUGCUUGAUUCGCCUGUUUAACGGGCCGGGUUGACCCAUUUCCGAACCAGCCCAGACCGGUUGUAACCCGGACCGGCCCGGACCGGUAGUUAGGGUGCCGGGUGGGCUGGGUUAGGGGGUUGGUCCAUUUUUAAAAAACAUCCGGUUAACCGCACCGGUCAAACCCGAUCAACAAAAAAUACUGUUGAACCGGUUAACCGGCACGGCCCGGACCGACCCCCACCGGUUCAACGCCUAUAAAUCUAAUUUUUUUUUAUUAAAGUGAUAUGACCGUUGGCAACGGUCAGCUUCAAUUAGGCCGUUGCCCAACAAGUUGAUUGCAAAAAUAGCCCUGUUUAGGGGCAAAAUUNNNNNNNNNNNNNNNNNNNNNNNNNUUAUCGUAUUAUUUAUUAUUUGAAGUUUGAAUAAUUGAACUUCAAACUUUGAACAAUUGACGUUUCUUCGUGGUAACAUUGGAGUUGCGAAAUCAACAAAUGUUCAAUUUAUUGCCGAAUUCGGUGCACUCCCUCCAACUCUUUCUCUUAUUUACUAUUUUAUUUGUAUAUUUAAUUUUUGCUAGUAGUUAAAUUUUCACAAUAUGUUUAAUGCUGCAAAAAGAGUUUGUAAUAAGGUUGCUAAUCGGGAUAAUCGGAAAAAUAGAAAAAGAGGUACUACUUCAACAUCUGGUAGUAAUUUAAAUGACUUUACACAUGUUUCUGAAAUAUUAUCUGAUAAUAAUAUAGAUUAUGAACAAUUACGGGAAAAUUUCGGUAUAGAAGAUAAUGAAUUAGAAAUUAAAGAUGAGACACCAUUUACACCUAGUAGUAUUGAAGUUGGUAGUAGGGGUGGUGGUUCUGGUGCUAGUAGUAGACCACAUGUGGCCCCGACUACUAAUCGGAGAAAAAGAAGUAAGGUCUGGAAAUGUUUUGACGAAAUAGAGAAUACUGAUAGAGUUAGAUGCAGACUUUGUAAAGAUGAUUUUAAACAUAAGACUGGAGGACAAUUAGGGGGGACUGGGACAUUUAGUAGACAUAUGAGAAUUACUCAUCCUAUAGAAUGGGGCUCUGAUUAAGAUGAAAAUCAAGGAACUCUAAACCCUCGUACUGGAGGAUUUAUGAAAUAUGAUAAAAUGAAGGAUCGUGAGGAGUUAGCAAAAUGACUGCUUUGGGUUGUCUAUCUUUUUCUUUUGCUUCUUCAUCAUAUCUUAUUAUGUAUAUUCAAAGAAUUUAUAAUCAUUUAUUUAAAGGUAUCCCUAAAAGUACUUGUAGAUCUGAUAUUUUUAGACUUCAUGGACAAUAUCAAACAUACGUACGUUAUUUGUUUGACCACCUUCCUUGUAGAGUUUAUCUAACUUCUGAUAUUGGCCAUACUGUUAAUGGAAAUGAUUAUUUGACAAUUACAUAUCAUUGGAUAGAUAAUAAUUAUUAUAUGCAAAAACGUAUUAUCGCUUUUAAAUAUGAUGAAGAUCAAAGUCAUACUGCUAUGUUUAUAAGUACUACUAUUUGUGAAGUUGUUGAAUUUUAUAAUCUUAAGAAAAAAGUAUUGUGUAUGUCUUUUGAUAAUACUUCUAAUAAUAAUGCCUAAAUUUCAAUAUUAAGACUGCAUUUGCAACCACCACUUGACGAAAAUUUUCAUGUUAGGUUUGCAUAUCAUGUUUAUAAUUUAAUUGUUAAAAGUGGCCUUAAUUUAUUUUCAACUGAGAUUACUCAUGUUAGAAGAGUAAUUGGUGUUAUUCAAGGAAAUAAUAGAUAAUCUAGAAUUAGGGAAUUUAAGAAUAAGUGUACCGAGCAUAACCUUAACCCCAGAUUCAUGCCAGACGAAAUUGUUAAUAGAUGGAAUUAUACAUACCUAUUUUUACAAUGUUGCUACUAAUAUAGAUUGUCAAUAACUGAAGUUGCUAAUGCGCAUUGUACUGAUCUAAAUUGUAUGUUAACAACUACUACUUGGGAGGCCAUUAAUGAUGUUGUUAAAUUUUUACAUAUAUUUUAUACAGCUAAUGUUGAGUUUUCUGGAGCAUAUUACCCUACUGUUACUAUGGCUUUAGUACAUAUAGCUGAAAUUUCUUUUCCACUCUCUGAAUUUAAGAAGAAAGAAAUAUAAGGAUGUUUUUGAAAAAAUACAAGCAAAAUUCAAAAAAUAUUUCUUUCCAAUUCCUCUGAUUUACUUAAUUGGUGCUGUUUUAAAUCCUUAUAUUAAGAUGUCUGAUUGUCACCAAUUAAUCAAUGCUUUAUAUACUUAUAUGGAGAUUGGACCAACUGAAACCUCAGAUAUAUAUUGUUGUAUGAACAAGCUAAAUGAUUAUUUAUAACAAUUAUAUAAUUAUUAUGCAAAUAUAGUUGAUGAUGCUACUCUUAAUGCAGGCAAUGUUAAUCCCACUAUGCAUUGUACCACUUCUACUACUAUGGAUGAUGAUGAAGGUCUUGAUGGUUUUAAUAUUUGGUCUACAUUUCCUACCACUUAAACCAGUAGCAGGAAUAUUGAUGAACCUCAAUUCUACUUGCAAAAGCAAAAAGAGCCUCGCACAAAGGAAAUUUCACCAUUGGGAUAGUGGCAUGAGAAUGAAAAGCAAUUUCCUGUUCUUUCCGCUAUGGCUUGGGACGUGCUGAAUGUGCCAAUUUCAACUGUUGCAUCAGAGAGUGCAUUUAGUCAAGCAAGACAACAACUUGGAGACACUCAUCACUCAUUGGGAAGCAAUACUUUGAAAGUUUUAGUAUGUUUCAGAGAUAGGAUUAGAUCGAAACGAAGAAAUCAGGGACGUGAAGAUGUUGAUAGACCAGAAGACGAGGUACUUGGAGAUAUAUUAACACAUGGUAACCCAUCUGAAUUUAACACUCCAGAAGAUGGCCAAGAAGUUCAUAUUGAUUACGAAGAACUUACUAAGGCAAUGCAAAACCUUUGAAUUUACUCUUUUUUCGUUAAUUUACUUUUUGUUAAAUGUAAACUUUAAUUUGUAAGUUUGAAAUAAAAAAAGCACUUGCAAAUUAUAAGUGCAAUUUUUUUUCCAUCUUCAUUAUAUUCUAUUAUCUUAAAUUCUUAAUGAAAUAUUCAAAAUUUCAAAUAUAAAGAUUUUAAAGUCUUUGUAUCCUUUUAUUCAAAUACACUUUUUAUAAGAUUGUUUUUUUAUUUUAUAUUUUUCCUUUAUAUUAAUAUAAAUUACGAUAGUUAUACAAAAUACAAAAAAAAAUAUUAACCCGGUCCGGCCCCUUGGACCCGUAACCGUUCCAGUUUAUUUUUUUACCCGGAUGGACCCGGACCCGUUAAGACCGGUAUGAAAAAACUGAUAAUCGGCCUGGAUUGGAAACCGACCGGUCACCUUUUUUCUCAAUCCGGACCAGCCCAGCCCACCCGUUAAACACCUUUACCUUGCACACAUUUGUGCAAGGUUUUGGAUUGAUGGGGUUGAUGGGGAUGAGAGAAAAGAGAGAGAAUGGGGAAAGAAGGGCGGCCAGUUGGGUGAUAGAAUAUGAUUAGGGUUAUGGGUUCUUUUGGGUUUAAAGGGGGGGACGAGAUUUGAGCUGUUGGAUCUUUUGAUCAAUGGCUCCAAUAUUUCAGAGAUAGAAAUUAGUAAAAGGGUUUAUUAUAGAAAAAUGAUGGUCGUUGGAUCUUUAUGAUCCAACGGUUGAGAUGAGAUCUGGUGAAGGACUGGAAAUAAAAGAAAAAUAGGGAUUAAUUAUAGACUAUUGAUGAAUUAGAUCAACAGUCUGGAUUAUUUUGUGCUUAUUGUGUGAGUGUAGAAGAGGGGUAAUGUGGCGCUUUGUUAUUGGCUCAUACGGUGUGGCAUGGAUUGCCAACUUGGAUGGAUAGGGUGGGUUCUGGACCGGGUCAUGGUGUAUUGGGCUUGUAUUUUGGGCCAAAUCAGCAGAAAUAGAAUUUAAUCCAUGGCCACAUUUGGUCUAAUUAGACAACUGCAAUUACGGCCUUUUUUAGUUUUUAACCCCUUUAUAAUUAAAUUAUUUAGACUUUAUUAAUCUUAAUUAAAUAUGAUAAAAUAUAAUCAUCAAAUAUAUUAUAUAUUACUGUAAUUAAUUAGUUAUUGAAAUGAAUUAUAAUACUUCAUUUAUUGAAUUAUUAUUACUGUAAUUAAUUAGUUAUUGAAAUUAAUUAUAAUACUUCAUUUAUUAAAUUAUAAAAGCUAAUUUUGGCUAAUUAAAGUAAUAAAGGUAAUAUAGUUAUAAAUUUGAGACUAAACUAUUAAAUUAGUUGUAAAAAUUAUUUAUUAAGAUAUAAAAGCUAUUUUAAUUAGUCAAAAGAGUAGGAAUAAUAUAAUUUAUAUCCUUUUAAAUAAAGGCUAAAAAGGCACUCAUCACUCAUCUAGGCCCCUUUCCUAUUUCGCUUUGCCGCUUAUUAAGAGAAUAGGUCCCGAAAAAGCAGCCCGCCUUUCAUCAUCUGUACCAGCUGCCACGCAAGAACUAAUAGAAAGGAUUUUGACACCCCUCUCAUCAUAAGAAGCAGAACGCGCCAUCACCUACAGUCCUUUCCUCUGCUGGGGACUUCCACGAAAUGAAAACGGGCGGCACUGUGGGAUUUCCUGCGAGAUCUGUUAAACCACCGAGACUAAAUGGAAUCCGUUUGUAAGGAUUUUAUAUUGAAAAGGCGACCAUUUCACUGGCUCUAGUAUUCACAGGCUUUCAAGGAAUGGAAUAUUAUCAAGCACCCUUCAGUAUUUCGGAUAGUAUUUAUGGUUUUACCUUUUUAUUAGCAACUGGCCUUCAUGGUUUUCAUGUGAUUAUAGUAACUAUUUUCUCAAUCAUAUGUGGUAUUCACCAAAAAUGAAUCUACUAAUGCAGGUUACAGAUUCGGUCAAGAGGAAGAAACUUAUAACAUGGUAGCCCUUCACUUGGCUAACACGGAAAAAAGCACCAACUAGGCGCGACCCCACUCAGCUCGAAGAAGUAGCUCUUUUAUUUAAUACUAAAUUACUAUUAAUAUAAUAUUACAAAUUACUAUAUCAUUUAUAUUUUAAGAAAAUAGGUGUUGUUGAUUUUAAAAUAUUUUACUACAUUUAUUGAUGAUUAAUAAGUGUACAACAACAUACCUAGUAUAGUCCCACAAGUGGGGUCUAGGGAGGAUAGUGUGUACGCAUACCUUACACCUACAUGGAGAGGUAGAGAGGUUGUUUAAGAAGAAGAAGAAGAAAGAAGAGGGAGACAAAAGAUGAUAAGGAAAAAGGGGAGACAAAGAGAAGCCAAAAAAGAAAAAGUAGCAUCAAAUAAUAACAAUCAAGGAAAUACGAUACACGAAUAGAACGAAGUAAUAUGUGUAAAUAAUUUAAUUUUUAAAGGGAUGGUUAAAAUUAGUGGUCAAUAUGACUAUCAGUCUAUAUGCUAUAAUUGACUCACACAAGUCCAAUGAGUCUGAUCCUCCUGUACAGCUAGGGAUGCACAUUGGAGGAUCCCUUCCCUUUGAUGGACAUCACUUUGAUGAAUGGAAGAUGUGUAUGGAGUUGUUUCUUUAGGCAACUGAUUAUGACCUGUGGAUAAUUGUCAAUAAUGGUCCAAUCAUACCUACAAAAGUGGAUAGCAAUGAAAACAAGAGCAUCAAAAGAGAGAAUAUAAUGUUGAGGAUCGCCAUAUCAUCCAAAAAAAUGUUAAAGCAAAGGACCUCCUUUAUAAGAGUCUGCCAAGGAAUAUUCUCUAUAAGGUGUCCUCCUUCAUCUCUGCCAAUGACAUUUGGAGGACCCUGGAAGCUGAUUACGAAAAUGAAAGCAUUGAGUUAGCACUGAUGGAAAUUGAAGAAAGCAAGUCAUAAGAGGAAGUGAUAGAGAUGAUGGCCAUGAGUGAUUCAGAGGUUGAAGACGAACCAAAUCAGGUAAGUGUCUCUAAUCUAAAAGAAAACAUUCAUGUUAGUCUAAAAACAACUAAUGGCCAUAAUAGAAACCAUGAUGAGUGAAAUGGAUAGGUUAAGUGCUGGAAAUGAUCAGUUCGUAAGCAAUCUUUCAUGUGUCAAACUUGAUUUCAAAAUCUUGAAUCACACAAAACUAAUCUUGAAAGACAUAUUAAGGAACUUAAGGACCAAGUCCUUGAGCUCACUGCAGUCAAUGGGCAACAAGUUUCUGCAAAUGGAAAGGGAAUAAUAAGUGAUGUGCAAAACAAUCUUGAAAAAGAACUGAAAGAGCUUAAGGAUAGUCUAUAUGAUGCUGAUAGCAGGAAUAAAACACUACAAGAAGCACUUGAAAAGGCAAAGUAUGAACUAUCUAGAUUAAGCAAGUGGCAUAGAUCUUCUGAUGCCUUGAAUUGGCUGAAUGAGAAUUGCAGUACAAAUAAAUAAGAAAUUGUCUAUAGGAAACUAGUACCUAGAUUUGAUCCCAAGUAUGUAGGAAUUUCUAAUUAUAAGAUGCGCACUCACUGUGGAAAGGUGGGACAUUUCAGAGACAGUUGUCCUGCUUUAAUUCAUGCUUAGUUCAAAAACUCUUUUGGCCUACCUGAUAAGUGUGGAUUUUAACAACUUAUUAGUUCCUUCUUGCUUUAGUUUUAGUCUGAAAGUGUUGAUUUUUAUUUUCAAAACUAAUAACAUUGUGCAAAUUACAGUCAUGUUAGAGGAUUGGACCUUAACUAAAAUAUCUAACUCAAAAAGGAGUAAUCCAGCUCAAAAAGGCAAGAAAGAGCAAAGCAAGCCAAAAUGUGAUCCGUAGAAGUAAUUCUACGAUACCAUACAAAAGUGCGGUCCGCAAAAAUGCAUGUGCGGCCACAGAAUAGACACCUGAAGCUUUAGAGGAUUUUGAAGAAGCACGGUCCGCACACUAAAUUGUGAGGUCGCAAACGUUGGUCACACUAAUAAUAUUUUAGAAGUUCAGAGAAGGUGCAAAACGACCGAUUGUGAAGCUUUGCCAAAGUGUAGCAGCAGAUGGAAAAGUGCGGUCACAGAAGCUGAAGUGCAGCCGUAGAUGGAAUUGUACGGCUGCAGAAUUCCUCCAACUGAAGAAGAGAAGAAAAAUGCGGACUGCCCAUGGAAUUGUGCGGCCGUAGAACCUCAAGAAGGGCAUUUUUGUCAGCAAAUUUUAGGGCACUAUAAAUAGACGGGAAACACUUUUUUAGGGCAAGUUUCGAAUUGUAAUCAGCUGUAGCAGUUAUAUUUUGUUAUUUUGGGAAAGUUAUGACUAUUUUUUGGUGAACAAUCAUUAGUUUUAUAUUUUAAUCUUAGUUUAGGGCUUUAAUUACUUCUUUUUCAUUGUUUUCUUCACUUCCUAGCACGAGUAGCUAGAUUUUCUAUAGGGUUGUGAACAAUCCUAGUGUGUAAACCGUACAGGUUAUUUAGCCUUAUUUAUGUAUUAUUUCAAGAAUUAAUGGUUUCAAAUAUUGAUUCAUGCCUAUUUGGCUUAGUUCUUGCUUGAGAAAGAGGGACCUAGUCUAGGAAAACUUGGCUAACAAGGAAUUGGGCUAGUUAAGGUUUUGGCUAGUCUAAUCAAAGGGUUUGAACUAGAGAUAGAAAAAACCCAACUUGAGCUCAUAUAAAUUGUUUGAAUUGAUACUCAAUUGGACUUGAGGAAGCCAAUUUGGGCAUAACCACUCUAUAACCGAGAGGUAUUGAGUGUAUAAUUGAGAAUUUAGAGUUCUAAUUUACCCCGAUCAACAAAACAAGCAUUAACGUGAUUUACCCAUUAGGUUAGCACCUAGGCGAAGGUUACAUCCCUAGGCUUUUCUCAUUUGAUUAAAAAUAUCAAAAAUAAUUACUCACUUUCUAGUUUUGUCUAAUUAAUUUAAAUUUGUUAGUGUUAAUUUUGGAAUUAAAAAACAGACACCCUUUGUUGGAAGCGUAAUUGAGUUGUUCCAUGUACUCUUAUCAAGUAUCUACCCUUGCACCCUACACAAACUCCCUGUGAAAUUCGACCCCGACUCUUGUUGGGUACUAUAAUAUCAACGACCGUUUCACUCAUUAUUGAGUGAGGAUUAGACCUGGAUCAAUUUGGAACCGUUGUCGGGGAGUUUUUGCGGUGUUAGCUAUAUAUUUGAGUGUGUUCUUGAAAUAUCUUCUUUCCCUUCCGUGUUACUAAUUUGUUGAAGAAAUCGUAGGUACAAAAUGGCGAACAAUGAGCUCGAAAAUAUGCCAUUGGUUGAGUUGUAUGGUGAGGAGGAACAACUAGAUGAUGGGUCUCAAGUGCCAUAACCCAAUCGUCGAGGCCGGGGUCAAAACGACAACGUUCCCCCACCACCACCACCUCCACCACCACAACCACAAGCGGCACAACACCGGAUAUUGCCCAACGAAGGUUAUGCAUGUGUAAUAGUCCCCCCUCGCAUUAGGUCAAGAAACUUUUAAAUUACCAAUGUGAUACUCACUUUACUAGAGCAACAUGGCUUUUUCACCGGUGCGCCAAAUCAAAAUGCCUAUAAAUAUUUGAAGGGCUUUGUGGAUAUGUGUUGGAGGAGUAAGAAAAGAAAAUGUUUCCGAGGAUUCUUUGAGGCUAAGGAUUUUUCCCUUCUCUCUAGGGGUAAAGCUUUAGAUUGGUUGGAACGCUUGCCUAAACAUUAUUUCCUUACUUGGGAUGAAUUGCCGGCAAAGUGCAUUGCUAAGGCUUUCUCUCCCGGGCACAUGGCUACUCUUAGGGAUGAAACAUUGGCUUUUAAGCAAGAGACCAAUGAACCUUUGCAUGAGAUUUGGGAGAGGUAUCGGACAAUGGUGAAGGAGUGCAUGAAUAAUUAUAUGACCGACAACAUGAUCUAACAAACUUUCUACCGUAGUAUUAAUACUACGAACCAAUGUGUGGUCAAUCAAUUGUUCGGUGGCAACUUUAUGACAACACCGUAUGCGGAGGCAUGUGAGAUUCUUGAUGAGAUGGCGAAAAUGCCAACGACUUGGGAAUCACGAGCCAAUGUUCCACAAGAUGAUUCUAACAUGAUUCACCUCCAUAAAGAGUUGCAAGACCAUGGGUAAGCCAUUGCCAAAUUGACAAUAACAAUGACUCAAAUUGCAAAGGCCCAACUUAAUAGAGUUCAAGCUCCUAAGAAAGUUCAUGCUAUGGAAGGGGUGAAUGUGUUGGUCAAUAAGAAGAGGACCAAGGGUCCACAAGUGCAAACCCGAGUGGAGAGUUAUGUGUAAGAUGAAGGUGUUUUUGCUCAAAAUAAUUCUUAUCAUGGGCAAGAAGAAGAGGUUCAAUAUGUGAACAAUUGCCAAGGGAAAAGGAACAACUUUCAAGGCUCCAAUCAACAACAAUGACGACCACAAAACAACCAAGGCAAUUGGGGUUCUAACAAUCAAGGAAAUUGGAGUGGAAACAACCAAGGAAAUUGGGGAGGCAACAACAAGGUGAUUAAGGAAAUAAUCAAGGAAAUCGGGUGUCGGGUUUUCAAAGGCCCCCAAUGUAUCAACAACCUAGCAAUCCACCUCAUAAUCCUUCCCAUGGUUCAAGUUAUUCAAAUAAUGAGAUGGGCUAUAUUGAGAAUAUGUUUAAGCAAAUGAUGGAAAAGAAUGCAGAUUCGGAUGCCCAACUUGCCUCACACAACAUAUCAAUACGUAAUCUUGAAGUUUAAAUAGGGCAAAUAUCUACAGAUCUUAAUACCCAUCCUAAGGGUGCACCACCAAGUGAUACGGUGGUGAACCCAAAGGAUAGUAACCAUACGGGGCAUUUUAUGGCAGUUAUCACAAGAAGUGGAAGAGGCAGGAAUACACCCACCUCAACUGAAAGGCGACUUGUGGAUGAUGACCAAGUGAUACAAGAAGAGGAAAUAUCAAAAAAUGAUGUUCAAGCAAAUGAUGAGAUUCAGAUUGACAUUGAUGUUAGUGUAGAAGAGACUUAAGAGGGGGUGAACCCGUCUAGGGAGCAUAUCAUUAACAUACUGGAGUCGGUAGUGAAAAAGGCUAUGGCACCAUUGCCUAAAUCUCAACCUCCCUAUCCUCAAAGACUUGCCAAUAAAAAUGGUAAGAAUCAAUUCAAGAGUUCAUUCAAAUGAUGAAAAGUCUCUCUAUUAAUGUCCAUUUGUAGAAGCUUUGGAAUAAAUGUCCGAUUAUGCAAAAUUUAUGAAAAACCUUAUGACCAAGAAGAGGUCAAUGAAUUUUGAAACUAUCAAGGUCACUCAUCAAGGAGUGUAAUUGUUCAUUCCAUGGUUCCUAAGUUGGAGGAUCCAGUGCUUUCACGUUUUCUUGUACAAUUGGGAGUGCCAAUUUUGCUAAAGGUCUUUUGUGAUCUUGGGGCGAGUAUCAAUUUGAUGCCCUAUUCGGUGUUUAAAACUUUGGGAAUUGGAAAACCAAAACCCACAUCUAUGAGGUUGCAAAUGGUCGAUCAUACCAUGAAUAGGCCAUUAGGAGUGAUUCAAGAUGUUUUGGUCUGGGUUGAUAAAUUCAUUCUUCCGGCGGACUUUGUUAUUCUAGAUUGUGUAGUUGGUUAUAAAGUGCCUAUCAUUAUUCGGAGCCAUUUCCUUACUACGGGUAAGGCUCUUUGUGAUGCGCAAUCCGGAGAACUCGCUUUUCGGGUUGGUGGUGAAAAAGUGGUAUUCCAUGUGUAUAAGUCUAUGCGGCAACCAAAUAGCAAUGAUAUGUGUUCUUUUGUGGAGUUGGUGACCGAUGUUAUUAUUGAUGAUAUAAGUGGUACAAUCAAUGUUGGUGAUAUGUUGGAAGCCGUUUUGCUCAACUUUGAUGAUGGCGAGAUGGAUGUUUUCAUGGAGUGUGUGAAUGCUUUGCAAGGAAUGGGGUCGCACAACUAUGUACCCCAAAAAUUAUCUUUGGAUCUUGAGAAUAUGAAGACUCCUCGUACAAAGCUUUCUAUUGAAAAGCCACCUACUUUGGAGUUGAAGCCAUUUUUUCCAUACCUUCGGUAUGAAUUUUUUGGCCCUUGUUCUACUUUACCGCUUAUCCUUUCCUCUUGUUUGACUAACAUGCAGGUUGAUUCCAUAUUGGCAGUGUUGAAAAAAUAGGAAUAAGGCUAUUGGAUGGACUUUAGCGGAUAUUUGGGGUAUAAGCCCCACAUUUUGCAUGCAUAAGAUCAAGUUGGAGGAUGGUUCUAAACCGUCCAUUGAACAUCAAAGAAGACUCAAUGAGGCUGUGCAAGAAGUGGUCAAGAAGGAGAUUAUCAGGUGGUUGGAUGCCAGGGUUGUCUACCUCAUCUCCGAUAGCUCAUGGACCACUCCGGUUAAAUGUGUCCUAAAGAAGAGGGGCAUGAUGCUUGUUACCAAUGAUAAGAAUGAGUUGAUUCCCAUAAUAACGGUGACCGGUUGGAGAGUUUGUAUAGAUUAACGUAAGAUCAACAAAGUAACAAGAAAGGAUCACUUUCCACUUCCUUUCAUGGAUCAAAUGCUCGAUAAGUUGGCCAGCCUUGUUUUCUAUUAUUUUCUUGAUGGGUACUCGGGCUACAACCAUAUUCUUAUUGCUCUAGAAGAUUAAGAGAAAACAACCUUUAUAUGUCCUUAUGGUACUUUUGCUUUCAAGAGGAUGCCUUUUGGUUUAUGCAAUGCACUGUUGACUUUUUAAUGAUGUAUGAUGGCUAUUUUCACGGAUAUGGUGGAGGACUACCUUGAAGUUUUCAUGGAUGACUUCUCGGUGGUUGGGGAUUCUUUUGAUGAUUGUUUUGCAAAUUUGGACUAAGUGUUGGCUAGAUGUGAAGAGACUAAUUUGGUGCUCAAUUGAGAGAAAUUUUAUUUCAUGGUUGAGGAAGGCAUUGUACUUGGCCAUAAAAUCUCAAAGAAUGGAAUUGAAGUUGAGAAGUCAAAGAUUGAGGUAAUUCUUAAGCUUCCACCCCCAACUUCGGUGAAGGGUGUGCGGAGUUUCUUAGGCCAUGCAGAUUUCUACCGACGCUUUAUCAAAGAUUUAUCUAAAGUGGUGAACCCUUUAUGUAAGCUCCUUGAGAAAGAUGUCAGGUUUCAUUUCAAUGAUGAUUGUUUGCGAGCUUUUGAACAAUUGAAGCUCAAGUUGACAACUACUCCUAUCAUUACCGCUCUAAAUUGGAGCUUGCCUUUUGAACUUAUGUGUGAUGCAAGUGACGUAGGGGUUGCUGCUGUUUUGGGAAAACAUAUCAACAAAGUUUUUCAUCCGGUUUACUAUUCUAGUAAGACCAUUAAUAGUGUUCAAGUAAAUUACAUUGUUACGGAGAAAGAACUCCUUGCUAUUGUGUUUGCAAUUGAGAAGUUCCGCUCGUACUUGAUUGGUGCCAAAGUCAUUGUCCACACGGAUCAUGCGGUGCUUCGCUAUCUCAUGAGCAAAAAGGAAUCCAAAGCUCGGUUGAUGAGAUGAGUACUCUUGUUGCAAGAUUUUGAUAUUGACAUUCAAGGCAAGAAAGGUAGUGAAAACCAAGUGGCGGACCACUUCUCGUUUGGAGGAGGAGGGGAGGCCACAUGAUGGCCUUGAAAUCAAUGACUCUUUCCCGAUGAGCAACUUUUUUCACUAUCAAUGAAAGAGGUACCGUGGUUUGCGGAUUUGGCAAAUUGUUUUGUGAGUGGUAUCAUUCCGGAUGAGUUCUCUUCAAACCAAAGGAAGAAGCUCAAAAGAGAUUGUUAAGAUUAUUAUUGGGAUGAGCCAUACCUUUUCCGAAUUUGUACUGAUGGGGUGAUUAGAAGGUAUGUAUCGGAAGAAGAGCAAGGUGAUAUUCUUGGCGCUUGUAAUUUUUCGCCAUAUGGUGGUCAUCAUGAUGGAGCAAGAACGGCGGAAAAAGUUGUAAGUUGUGGAUUUUAUUGGCCUACUCUUUACUAAGAUGCAAGUGACUUGGUAAAAAGAUAUGAUGAAUGUCGGGCCGGUGGAAUUUCAAAGAAAAAUGAGAUGUCUCUCACAACCAUCUUGGAGAUUGAUAUUUGUGAUGUUUGGGACAUUGACUUUAUGGGCCCUUUUGUGAGUUCUUGUGGAAAAACUUACAUCUUUGUCAUGGUGGAUUAUUUGUCAAAAUGGGUUGAGGUCAUCACCUUACCCAACAAUGAGGUGAGAAGUGUAGUGGCUUUCUUGAUGAAGAAUAUUUUUACCAGAUUUAGUACUGCAUGUGUAGUCAUAAGCGAUGGGGGUCACACUUUUAUAACAAGGUUUUUGACACAUUACUUAGCAAGUAUGGUGUUACUCACAAGGUUACAACUCCCUAUCAUCCACAAGCUAGUGGACAAGUGGAAGUCUCCAACUGGGAGAUAAAGAGUAUCUUGUCUAAAAUGGUGAAUGCAAAUCGGACAGAUUGGUCCAAGAAUCUUGAUGAUGCGUUAUGGGCUUAUAGGACGUCUUACAAAAUACUAUCGGAAUGUCUCCAUACAGGUUAGUGUUCGGGAAAGCCUAUCAUCUUCUGGUGGAAUUAGAGCACAAGGCAAUGUGGGCCUUGAAGAAAUUGAAUCUUGAUUGGGAUGUAGCCACUAACUUGCGGGUUGCACACUUGAAUGAAUUAGAUGGGUUCCGAUAUCAUGUGUAUGAGAUUUUCAUCCUUGUACAAAGAAAAGAUGAAAUAUCUUCAUGACAAGUACAUUUGGAACAAAGAAUUCAAAGCUGGCGAUUUUGUAUAGUUGUUUAACUCAAGGUUAAGGAUGUUUCCCGGGAAGCUCAUGUCCAAGUGGAGUAAUCCGUUUGAAAUUGUUGGUGUGACACCCUUAGGUGCACUGGAUUUGAAUAACAAGAACAAUAAAAUAUUCUAAGUCAAUGGUCACCCGGUGAAACACUACUUGGGAAAAGUUGGAGAGAGCCACGUGGUGGCGAUUAUUUACUUCACUUGAGGAUGCUUUGAGAUUGUGUCAUGCUGCGACGUUAAAUCAGGCGCUUCUUGGGAGGCAACCCAAGUUCUUUUCCUUUUUUUGUUUGACUAAUUAGAUGUUCUUUAUAGUUUUUAACUUGAUUUGAAGCGUGCUGCAGGGUUGAGUGUUAGAUGAAAGAAGGGUGGACAAAAUUGUGUAAGUAGAGCAGAAAAUACGGAUCGCACUUUUAAAUUAUGCGGCCGCAAAAAAGAUUGUGCCAUCACUGAAUACUUUGUGUGGCCGUACAUUUGAUCUGCGGAUCGCACUUCAUGAAGCUAACCAAGGUGUCAAAUGAUAUGGUCUCUGAACCUUUUCCCUAUCAGUGCGGGCCAAUUGUGUGGACCACACAUGAGAAGCAGACAUCUGAAGGCCAGGUGAAGGAGUGCGGACCGCACUUGGAAUUGUGCAGCCGCAAUCGACCCUUUUCUCUCUCAAUUACUCUAGGUAUAAAUAGAAGUUUAGGCCUCAUUUUACACUUUUCACUCCCUUGAAAAAUUACUGUUACUCUGAGAGCUUACGUGAGGAUCUCAUGCUAUCAAACACACCCAUUUUCACUCACAAGAUCUUGCACACUUACAUCAUGUGCUAAGCUUCAUUUCAUGUUGAUUUAUUUUAUUUUGAUUUUUGAAUUUAUUUUCAUCUUUUUAGCUUCUUUUUAGGCCAUCUAUAAUUAUAUUCCAUCCGUGUAUCCAUGUGGGGUAGAUUUGUAAUGGGUAACUGUUAAACCAUGCUAGAAUGGUUGGGGUUAGUUGAAUAUUAUGUGUAUACCAUGUUGCCAAUUAGAUUUGAACAAGUAUUUGCAAAAUCUAUGUCACGCUGCAAACCUGAAGAGGCGUGGCCGGCACCCGGUGCCAUACUCGGCCCGAGCGCACCACUCUGUAACUGUGAACUCUGGAGGAGUAACCCUCAACUUAGGCCGGUGAGGCCAUAUUUUGAAUCAUCUAAAAAUAACAUCUUCCGCAUCUGAUUGGUAAACAUACCCAAAAGCUGAUAUAUAUAAUUGUGCAGGCCGACGAGGCUGCCAUGAAUGUCUCCAACCAGCAAUACCAAACUGAACAUAUACACAGUGCUGGAAAGGCAACAAUACUAAUAUACAAAAUACAUAGGACUCGUCUACAAGCCUCUAGAGAUAAUUGAACUGUAUCAUGGUCGGGACAGGGCCUCGACCUACCCAUCAAACCUGUAUAUAUAAAAUGGACUCCAAGGUCUAGACCUGGUAACCCCGGGGAAGUAGAGCUUACCAACCAAGCUGAUGUUUGACUCUGUCUACUGGGAAGGUCUAUCCAUCUAUCUAUCAGGACCUGCAUGCUUGAAAUGCAGCGUCCCCGGCAAAAAGAUGUCAGUACGAAAUAAUGUACCGAGUAUGUAAGGCAAUAGAAUAAAUGAAAGCUGAAACUGAACUGACAAUAUAAUAACUGGGAAUCAAAGAUAAUCUGAAGGUAUGCUUAACUGCUGAUACUAACUCAACUCUCUCGAUAUAGUAAAUAAAAUAUUUGACCGGCCUUAUAAGGCUCGGUAUGCGUAACUGCUCUGCCAACGUAGGCUCGCUCAUAGGCACUCGCCCAUACUAGGCUCUGUAUCUCGUCCAUUCUAGGCUUACUCAUAGGCACUCGGCCACAGUAGGCUCAAUGUAUAACUUACCAUCUAAUCAGAGAUUGCCCAGUAGGGGCAUGCCCAUUGAUUAUAGCUCGAUGGUGGUAAAAAUACUAUAAUAUUGCCCAAUAGGGGCCUAGCCCACCGAUUAUAGCUCGAUGGUGGUGAAAAUAUUANNNNNNNNNNNNNNNNNNNNNNNNNNNNNNNNNNNNNNNNNNNNNNNNNNNNNNNNNNNNNNNNNNNNNNNNNNNNNNNNNNNNNNNNNNNNNNNNNNNNNNNNNNNNNNNNNNNNNNNNNNNNNNNNNNNNNNNNNNNNNNNNNNNNNNNNNNNNNNNNNNNNNNNNNNNNNNNNNNNNNNNNNNNNNNNNNNNNNNNNNNNNNNNNNNNNNNNNNNNNNNNNNNNNNNNNNNNNNNNNNNNNNNNNNNNNCUGAAUAUAAAGUCCCGAUAAGGGAGAAUAUGAUAACCUAUGCGACUAGGAUAAUGUACAUAAGUUCAGGAAUACGAACUUCUCUUUAUGUCUCGUUUUUAAACAUAUGUAGUUAUAGGAUCAUGCCAAAAUGAAGGAAAGGUUUAUCCUUAACAUACCUUAACUCCGUUGAGUCCUUAAUACCUUCCAAGAAAUUCUUCAAACAACUCAACUCAAUCUAUCAUAGCAUAAGGAGAUUCAAAAUCAGUGCUGAGUAAAGGCUAUGUCCGCAAGUUAAACUAGUAGCUCAUUUAUGUAAAUUUGGGAAGCAUAUCCCAUGUAGCAAGGGCCUCCUUCAAUACCAUAUAUCAAUAACAACAACCAGAGCAAUUCAAUAAGAACAACAUCAACAAUAGGGUACAAAAUAUUUCAUUAACAAGUCAUCAACAUAUCACAACGAGCGGCAAGCUCGGAUUGAAUCCUUUUACCACCCUUCAACUCCAUUAUCAUUCAUUUUUUAACUUAGUAAUAUAUCAAGUAUAAUAACCAAUACCUUUUAAAUGAUUUCCAACCUUGUACUCAAUUUUAAAGUUACCCAAAAUAGCCUAACACAAGAUAAUAUCACUGUCGACAACUUCCAAUUGCUUUAUAGCCAUUUCCUUUUCUAGUUACCAAUUUUCUCAACAAGAUUGACAUGUAAACCAUCAUAAUCAUACUAACAAUAUCAUAGCCAACUUAUUUUCCAUAAUUUCUAGCCACUUAAAGUUCAUAAGAGCAUCUUUCAAAUCAAUCCAUAAAGAACAACAACAUCUCAAGCUAAUCCAAGUAUUAUUUUAUAAUUUAUUAUCCUAACAACUUAAUCAACAUACAAGCAAGAUUAAGAAAAAUUAUUUGGCUAUUAUACUCACCUUAGAUAGUAGCAACAACUUGAAAUUUCAGCCAAACACAGUCCACAAUUAUCCUCAAUGACAACACAACCUCAAAGAGGUAAUGUUCUUCACUAGAACUAACCUUUGAUGUUGAAAUAUGGUGUAAUCACUUUAGAAUCACUUCAAACCCUUAUGGUAUAUGUUUAGGAGGGUUAGGAGGAGUAUAGGGACGAGGUUGAGUCGAAAAAUGAGAAAUAAAACUCGUCCAAAUCGUUUUUAAAGUGAAGUAGGUCGAUCACCGCCUAAGUGGGUCCCAUUAGGAGCUGCUUGCGCUGUCUCGCAAAAAUGUAAAUAUCUCUAUACUUAGAUGUUGUAUUGAUUAAUGGUUUAAUGUGUUAGAAACUAGACUUGUAGAUAUUCAAUUUGAUAGGUAUAUCAUCCCAUAAUUCAAAGUACAUUGGGAGAAAUGCUCAGCUACAUUUAACCUAAUAUUCAUCACAUUUAUGAAUGUAACUUGUGAUGACCUUUGCAAACUUUUGUUCCACAACUCGCUUGACUUCAAAACAUAAUACACGACUAUGAUACGACUAAAAUAAAUAAUAGCAUAAUCUCCUUAUCAUGUUAAUCACCAUAAUCUCACCCCAAAAGUACAUGUUAUAACAUUCCCAACUUGUCGACUUUUGACGAAACUUAUAUUGUUCAAUACGUUUAGCUUCUAAGCCUUCCAACCCUCUUGGUACUUGUAGUUCAUGAUCUUAAAUAUUUGUAACCUCCAAGUUAAAAUGAUUAACUUACUUUAUGAACUUUCAAAGAUGAUCUCAUUCUGAUCUUACAUCAAUUAACAUACGACGUGCUCUCACAUACGAAAAUAUGAGGUGUAACAAUCUAGGUAAAAUAAAGACCUUCUCACUUAUUUUUGAAAUCUCGGCCGCACUUAAAAUUGUGUGGUCCACAGUUUGCUAAUUGUGGUAGCUGGUAGAAGGAUAGUAUUUCUGCGGCCGCACUUUAAUUGUAUGGACCGUAGAAUUCCUAGAGAGGUCACCCUGAGGUCUGCACUGUCUAUCAGAGAGUUGUCUCCUGAGAAAGCAAAUCUACGGACCGCACUUCAAAUUAUGUGAGCCGCAGAUGAAUUCUGCGGUCGCACAAUGACCUCUGCACUGUCCAACUAAGAGUAGGCAUCUGAGGCCUCUGAACAUUUUUGUCAGAAUUGCGGCCACACUUGAAAUUGUUCGGUCUGCACUCCCAUUCUGCGGGCCGCAUAUCAAAAUAUUUGGACCGCACUUCCCCAUUUAUACAUCACGUUUAUUCCUAUGCAAGCCCGUUGUUUCUUAAUUGUUCUCCCUCGCUUACUUGAGUCAUAACGGUGUUGAAUUAUGAUUUGUAACUGACAAUUCUCUUUAUGUUGAUACAGACAAUGAUUCGAUCACGAGGGCGCGACAAAUCCUCCAAGGGAAGAGGAGAGUUUUCAAGGGGUCAGGGCAAAGAUGCACUUCCCUCAAGUGUGCAAAUGAAAAUAAGGAAGAAAGCUACAACAGGCAGAGGGGGAGGUAGAGACCUCUCCGAGUCUAGCUCUUAUGCCCCGUCUAGGAAAUCCUCCAAGGGAAAUUCAGUAUCUAUUCUGGAAAAGAACACAGCUGAGUAGUCCAGGCCACGGGGGUGAUCUGAGCCUCUAGAUAUGCCUUCCAUAUCUCACAACACUUCCUAGGGUUCGGAAAGGUUUAGCCAGGAGUCCGAGGCAGCUGUUGUAGGGUCUAAAUCUGGUUCCUGAUGAUGGGAGAGGGUGAGAAGGUACAUCCACCGGUUUAGCUCUGGCAAAGAAGAAGGAGGCUUGGGAGGAUAGAUUUGUGAGCCGUCAGGCUUUUCCUGAUUUCCGAUUGUGAUGGACGUUGUGGUCUUUGACUCAUUAGAGGCAGUCUAUUGAGAGAUCAUGAUAAGUAUAACCCUGCAGUUCACAAAGAAAAAGGGAUGGAUGUUAUUUACGGAGAAGUUAUUUAAUGUUAAGGAGCACCUUGUCCGCAAGUUUUAUGCCAACACUUCACACAUUCGCAAAGGGGAAAGGAUAACCAAAGUUCACAAUAUUAAGGUGAAAUUUGAUUAGCACAUGCUGGACGCGUACUUAAAUUUGGAGCCGAGGGAGUACUUAGAGAAGUUGGCUUUGAAAGAAGAGUCCAGGCCGUGGCUUGCAAAGAUUUUAGCAUCGGGGCCACCUCCACCAUGGAUU